GUAUGGAGAGUGGGACUAACCUUGGAAGCAAAGGUCCCCUGAGGCCAGUUGAGCAACCCGGCAACCAUUUGCCCUGUUUGAUUGCAAUCGUCAUCAAUGGCCUAGAAAACCCAUGCCCACAUCAGAAAACAACAAUCCACCAUAAAAAGAGUCUAGGAUUUUCACGGAAUCCGCAAAUUUAUUUUUAAAUCGUUACCAAAAACCCUAAUCUCUGGGCACGAAUUCACAGACCUGUUUGCCCAGAAUAAGGAGGCCAGGCUUCUCCACAUCGACGAGAGCUUUGAGAAGCUUAGCAACUGAAAGUGGGUACAGAGUGGCGGAAGCUUCGACGUGGAUGGCCCUAUCGGCGCCCAUGGCGAGACCCGUUCUGAGCGUGUCGACGCACUGGCUGGGACCCACACUGACAGCGAUAACCUCCGACGCCAGACCCGAUUCCUUGAUCCUCAGAGCCUCUUCCAAACCUAUCUCACAAAAGGGGUUCAUCGACAUCUUGACGUUGCUGGUCUCCACGCCGCUCUGAUCGUGGGUUGGCGAUUGUUAUUGGAUGAUGAUGAAAUUACAGAUACUGAAUAACUUGAGAGUUUGGAUUUGGGUUACCUUGUCGGAUUUGACUCUGAUCUUGACAGCGUAGUCCACAACACGCUUUAUCGCCACCAUUAUCUUCAUCUCGUAUAUGGGUGGUUAUCUUCUCCGGCACAAGGGUAUUGGCAAAUGACUGAUGAUGAAGGACGAGGAUAUUCGCCCGAGCCCUACUGCACGACACCACAUCCGCUUAUAAAAUCUUUUGAUACGGAUAAGUACAAGGGAAGUGGAAAAAAAGGAUUAUUAAGAAAAAUAAAUAUAUUACCAAAAAAAUUAUUUAAAAUUUUGUUCAUGUAGAAAGAACCCGUGAAUCAGAUCGAAAAAAUUAUAUUAAAACUGCUGUAUAGCCGAAAAUUGUGUACAGAAUUUAUUUUAACAUUGUAUUAUUGAAUUUUUUAUUCAAAAAUUGCUUAACGUGAGAUAGAAAUUAAAAAAUCAUUAGUAAUUUUGUCCGAAAGUUGUUAUAUUUCAUGUGUUUUAAAAAUAGAUGUAAUUUAUUCCUAUUUGCAUUUUUAACGUACAUUUAAUUAAAUAACCCAAAAAGUUAUUGAGUUCACAUCAUCUAUGGAGUCUACCUCUCUUUGCUUUUGUUGCUUCCAAAAAUACCAUACUCCCAUAUUUUUUUGGUUCUACUCAUUUUACUUUAUUUUUUUCAUUCCAUUCAUUCCACGUGAAGUCUUCAAUCCUAAUAACAUUUACUAUAUUACAAUUAAGUUUAAUUUUUAAAAAACUUAAUUAGGGUUAAAUUUCCUUUGAGAGAACUUCAUUACAAUUAUUUGAGUUGUACGUUAAGUUUCAUUUAAAAAUAACUUAUUUAAAAAGAUGUUAAGCUUCCCCUAUUUUAUUUAUAAAGUUUAAUAUCUAUUUGAUUUUAUAUUUGAAAUCCAACUAAAACCUAAUAACGAAUUGUUGUAAAAAAACUCCAAUCAAAAUACUAACAAAAAUUAAAACAUAAAACUCUGAUAAAAAAUUGUUAAAAAAUCCAACAAAAAAACAAUCAUAAAAAACCCUAAUCAAAAACAUCAUGGAAGUUUAAAUGAAAUUGCCAAAAAAUAAAAAGUAUAGAAAACCCUAACAAAAAAACAACACCAAAACACCUGACAAAAAACAAUUACAAAUUCUAGCACAAAAACCCCCAAUUAAAAAUAUCUAUAAAGAAAAACCUAAAAAAAACCAAUUAUAAAACCUCCAACAAAAAAUAAAGAGAAAGAUGAAGAAUAUGAAAAAUUUUGAAGAAGAAAGAAACAUGAGAGAACUAUCAUUGAUCUUUAUUUGUUAAUCUUUGUUAUAUGUUUGAACUUCACUAGAAAAUGAGAGAGAGAGCAUAAACCUAAAGAGAGAAAGAGCUGAAAAUGAGAGGAGAAAUGAAUCACAAUGAGGGGAAUGACAAUUUGAGGAAAUAUAGAAGGGUUAAAUCAUUUGAACUAGGUUAACGUUUUUAUUAAAAAAAAAGAGUAAUGAAGGUCCUUGUUCUAAUUUCAAGAGUAUGUCUGUUAAUUACCAAAUGUGGCAACUCUAAAUAAAAUCCUUUGUUAUCAACUAAAACUAAAAGUCCCAUUACAUCAUAUCCAACUUUCAUUUGUUAUCAACAAAGUAAAACUAUAUACAACUAUUAUCACCAUCUCUCCUAUUUUGAUGUUAUUUUCUUAGAUGAAUUUGUAAAUCAAAAUUUACACCACCCAUAAAUUUUUUGAGCUUCCUAUUUAACACAACUUCAAUUUGUUAUACUUUGAACAUCACAAAGAUAAAGUAAUCAACAUUUUGCUUGGACAAGUUUUUCUUCUCUAAAGUUUAGAGUCCUAUUUCACUUCCCGUUUAUGGGUUGUUAGUUCAUCUAAUAUCUCACCAUCAUCCAUUCCAUGUACUGUGUUUCCGAAAUGAGUUGAUUCCACAUCCUAAAUGUCUGUGCAAAUUAAUAAGGAAUGUCGAGUUACCAAUUUUCUUAAAAGCUUAAUCUUGCAAGAUUUGGAUUCAAAAUGCAUAUCAUGCUCUCUUUAACACCCCUCCCCCCUCUCACAUGUAGCCCUAUACCCACACGUAGAGAAAUAGACUUAUAGGAAAAUUGGUAGUUUAAUAUAGUAUCAGCACUUGGUUUGGUGGGAGGUCUCCUGUUUGAGUCACCUCUCCACAAUUUACAUUUCUCCUAUUUGUUUAAUUUACAGUUCUUCCCUUAAUCUGUAAUUCUUUGGAUAUAAAUUUUCCCCCUAAUUUGUAGUUUUGUGGAUAUGAAUCUCUCUUCCAUGUUCAGGUAUGGGGCCACACAUAAGAGAGGGUGUUAAAGAGCAUGAUAUGCAUAUUAAACCCAAAUCCUAUAAGUUAAAACUUUUAGGAAAAUUGGUAGUUUAACGCUUUUAGGAAAAUUGGUAGUUCAACAUGUGUACACCCCAUUUUGGGGACUGCUAUUGCUCCCACUUCUUUUUGUCAAAUGGUGGAGCUUUUUAGGAGCACAUGUUGUAUUUGGAAAGGCUAUUAGAAAAUGGCAACAUGACUGUUAAUGGAAGUAAUGAUUUUCUAAAAAGGCAACCAUGGGAAGACACAUAACAAAGAUGUUUGGGGAGGAGGGAGAGUGUGCAUCAAGACUACUCAUGAGGGGUAAGAAACAAAAAAAAAAAAGUGUCGAAGAUAACUAAAAAAUUGGAGAAACAUAAAGGAAUAAGGAUUUUAGGGCUAUGGAUGGUGAACAAGAGUGAAUUAUGGGUGUCUAGGACAGCUAGGAAUGGUGAGAGGAGUAGGGAGCUGUAGAAGGUGAUGAGCUAGGUAAGAUGUAUUUUCGAGAAAGAAAAGAACCAAAGAAAGAAGGUGGUGAAUUAAGUGAGACACGUCUCAGAGAAGCAGAGAAAGUUGGCUUGAAGCCAAGCAAACUUUUGCUUGAGAUGAGCAUUGCCUAGUAAGAUUGUUUCGAUUCAUCGAUUAUUACUGAUCAUCAUACUUCUCUUGUCUUAUAUUCAUGUGAUUAUUUUACAUUGAUUGUGGGGUUGCUUUGGUUUGGUUAUUAUGGCUUCAUCCUCUAUUUCUUUAGUUUUAUUCAAGGAUAAAUCUAAUUGUGCUUUGAUUAGUUAUUCCAUAUUUGAAAAUCUUUGUGUAUUUUGGGUUUUUUCUCUUUAGAUAUUUUCUAGAUUAAUCCACUGACCUUUAAACCCACAAAUAAAGAAAAAUGAAAUGAGUUUUUUCAUAUUUGUUGGGUGUUUGGCCCUUGUUUAUCUUUUUUUAAAGCUUUAUUCCUUUAUAUUCUCUAUUUCUCCCCAUUUUGUACAUGGGUGUUUCAAUCAGAGUCUCUAUUUUGGCUUCCACAUUUGAGAUUUCUUUUAUGAGCGAAGACCCAAAAAUGGAGACUGGCUUCUUGUAAUUGAUAAAAUAGUUAGUCACCCAUUAGCUUAGAUGAAGCAUAGAUGUUAACCGGAUUGUGAACAUGGAUACUCUAUUUUGGGCCUAUUAGGCCUUCCAAUCCUCUCUUAGUUUCAUUAUUCUUGAGGAUAGUGUUUGGUUGUGUCUGCUACUUAUUCUGUGGCUUCGGUGGUCUGUUUGUUUAUUCUUGGCUAUUAUCAAUGCUAACAAUGGGAAAGAGACUGGUUUUGGUUAUGCUCUUACGGAUUUGAAGGUGAUCAAAGGGUCCAGUGAAGAGAAGAUUAGUAGGUCAUAUUAGGUUAAUUAAUUAAUUAGGACAUGUUUUGAGUUAUAUUAAGUAAUACAAGCUCUUAGUGGGCUUAAGUAACUUAAGCCUAGUGGGGAAUGCCAUAAAUACCCCUUAGGGGUUAGCAUUUCCAUAGGUUUUUCUAGAGAGUCAUCUUUCACCUCCAAAGAAGGAGAGUCAUAGCCUUUACCAUUUUUUCCAUCAUUAUCGAAGUGUGUCAAGAUUAAGGUUUAAGUCAUUGAGCGGAAGACUCCAGGUUUAUGAGACUUCAUACAACUUCGUUUUUCAUUUUCAUCAAAUGGAAUUAAUUUGAAAACAUUUGAAUCUGAAGUAUGGUUUUUGUUAGCAUAUUUCGAAUCCCUUUAAAGUUUAAAAAUGCAAAUUUUCCACUAUGUAUAGGAUUUAAAAUCGCUUAAGAUAGUUAAACAUGUUCCCCACUUGAUCUGAAUUGGGAAACGGAGAAAUCUGAUAUUUUCCCAUCACAAGGUAGGAUAAGAACUUGUGAUUGAUCUUUAUGGAUUGGACUAAUUAAUUAAUUGGAACCUAAUUAGGCUAAUUAAUUAAUUAAGACCUAAGCAAACUAGUUUAAGUUACACAAGCCUAGGAUGGACUUAAGUGACUUAAGCCCAUGGGAAGCUUAUAUAAACUCCUUUAGGGGUUAGGGUUUCAAACUUUUAUCAUCUAGUCUUCAAUUCCUUAAAGAGAAUAGAACUCGAGCCAACAACUCUCCUAAAGGAUUCUAUUGCUCCGUGUCAAGAUUCGAAAAAAAACUAUUUGAUGGAAGGUUGUUAUGUUUAUGAGAUUCGUUAUGUUUUUUUACACCUUUUCACUAAAUGGAAUUGAUAUAGGAAUGUUCAUAUCUCAAGUGCAACACACUUAUUCUCUUUAGAUUUAUAUUGCUUAUGGUUUUUUUUUUUUUUGUCAUGGUUUUCCGUUAAGAUUAGAUUAAGAGAGCCCUAUGUCAUAGAAUGCUUCAAAUGAGCCUCCCCGGGGGUUUGUAUAGAGCCCAUGAAGCUUCUAGAGACUCCUAUACUUAGCCAUUGGUGGGAAGAGUGUGAAAGGUUCUACAGAUGUCUAGAGAUAUUUACACAUCUCUACACUAUGGUGGAAGGCAUGAGAGGAGUCUAAGGCAUUCUAAAGAAUUAUAAAGAUCUCUUAUAUAUUCUUGUACAUAGGCUUGUACAUAGAAUUGUGUAGGAAGUUAUAGAUUAUUCUUGAGCUGUAAGGAACCCUCCAAGGUUCCAGAGAGUUCCAUUGGUGCCUAUAAAUAGGUGAAUGCCUCAUUUGGCCAAGACACUAAGCAAGUGAAUUCCAAAACACUUGUAAAGCUUCCUUUGAAUAAUAAAAGUUUCAAUUCUUCAAGAGUUGCCUAUUAUGCCUUCUAAAACUUCUAAGUCAUGAGCAUCUUAACCUAACAAGUUAAGCAUUGGGAGUAAUGCUAACUUAGCAAGAUCAAGGAUCUUGACUUGUCUAAGUGUUGCACGAUCUUAGGAAAAGAUUAAGUUUGUGACAGUUGGUUUCAAAGUGUGACUACGAAGUGAGCAUAGUAAAGGAAACAUGUCGAGCUUCAACAUGGAGGAAACUAGUGAGCAAACCCGUGGGAAAGAAACCGAGCCUACUGCAUAGGACAGGGACAUGAAGGAUAAAUCUCGUAAUGCCAUAGCCAACGUGGAGGCAAGGCUAGCCAAGGUGGAGCUAGCCAUGGCAGACACCCGGGAAGGGGUGGACUUAAUCGAGCAAGGCAUGGAAAAUGGCUUAGAGGAUCUAAAUGAGCAUAUCCAAGACCUUCAUGAGAGAGUGCUAGGCUUACAAGUUCGGCCGAUGUCAUAUGAGGAGUUCAUGUCCUUCCAAAACGAGGUCAUGAGCAUGUUUGCUAGCAUGGAGUCGAAGGUGGAGGCCUUGGCUGCACGCAUAGAGGCCCAAGACCAAGAGGUUCAACAAGAGCUAGCUAUCUACAAGACUGUCUUAUCAGCACGAGUCAUGGCCACUCAUGAGGCACUAAGGGUGGAAGUGCCCAAACCACACACGUUCAAUGGCAAGAGGGAUGCCAAGGAGUUGGACAAUUUCUUGUGGCACAUGGAGCUCUACUUUGAGGUUAUAACACUAAUAGAUGAAGCCACUAAGGUAUGUACCACAACCCUCUACCUCACCAAUAAAGCUACUCUAUGGUGGCGUCAGAGGUUUGCCAAUAUAGAAAAAGAAAUGUGCACCAUAGACACAUGGGAUGCCUUUAAGCAAAAGAUCAAAAAACAAUUAUACCUUAAUGAUGUGGCUUACCUAGCAAGGAAAAACACAAAAUGUCUUAAGCACACAGACUCGAUCCGUGAGUAUGUCAAAGAAUUCUCUACACUUAUGCUUGAGAUACCCAACAUGUCUGAGGAAAAGCUACUAUUCAACUUCAUGGACAACUUGCAAAGCUGGGCCGAGCAAGAGUUAAGGAGAAGUGGUGUCCAAGACCUAGCCACGGCCAUGGCGGUAGCGAAGUCCUUGGUGGAAUACAAAAAGGGAGACUCUUUUAAGCCCAAGCCACAGUCUAAGGGUAAUCAUGCUAAAGGUGGGGAAACAAGGGAUCAAGGAGGUACACUCCUAAGGAAUGAUCAAGCAAGACCUCUGGUGGCAAGGAUGGUAAGGGUAAGGAUAAACGGAAAUAGUUCACGCCUAAGAUCAAUUGCUUCCUAUGUGAUGGUCCACAUUGGGCGCGAGACUACCUCAAAAGAAAAGCCCUAAAUGCCAUGAUCGAGGAAAAGUAGAAGGAAGACAAUGCUCAUGUGGGAUCAUUACAACUCUUAAAUGAUAUCAAGGCUAAGUCAGUGCUUAAGACACCUCAAAGUAAAAGUCUAAUGUACAUAGAAGCCCUUGUAAAUAGGAAGGCUACCAAGGCUUUGGUGGACACUAGUGUCACUCAUAACUUUGUCUCGAAGGAUAAGACAAAGAACUUAGAGCUCCAAGCAUCUAAGGAAGGAGGUUGGCUCAAGGCAAUUAAUUAAGUUUCCAAGCCAUCACACGAAGUAGCACGCAGGGUGGCAAUGCACAUUGGCUCAUGGGAAGGAAUGGUCGACUUCACAGUGGCACCCAUGGACUACUUCAAGAUGGUACUGGGAAUGAACUUCCUAUAGAAAGACAAGGUCAUGCCACUACACUUCCUACAUUUAAUGGUUAUCCUAGAGGAUGAAAAGUCAUGCAUAGUCCUUACGGUCACCGAAGGUUCACCCAAGACCCCUAUGAUAUCGGUUAUGCAAGUAAAGAAGGGAUCAAAGAGGAAAGAGGUGACCUACCUCACCACUCUUAAGGAGGAAAAUGAUGAUGAGUUGGGGGAGCCCAUGCCUAAGGAAAUCAAGAGAGUCUUUGAUGAGUUCAAGGACGUGAUGUUGCCUAAGUUGCCUAAAAGACUCCUUCCUAGAAGAGAGAAAGAUCAUAAGAUCGAGUUAGAUGCAGGAACUAAGCCCCUUGCUAUGGGGCCAUAUAGGAUGGCACAACCCAAGCUGAAAGAGCUAAGGAAACAACUUAAGGAGUUGUUGGAUGCAGGGUUUAUCCAACCAUCCAAGACUCCCUAUGGCGCACCGAUUUUAUUUCAAAAGAACCAUGAUGGGUCCCUACAGAUGUGCAUCGAUUACCAAGCACUCAAUAAGGUAACAAUAUAGAAUAAGUACCCCAUUCCACUCAUUGUUGAUCUAUUUGAUCAACUUGGUAAAGCAAGGUAUUUCACUAAGUUGGACUUGAGAUCAGGCUACUACCAAGUGAGGAUUGUGGAAGGAGACAAACUGAAGACUACAUGUGUGACCCGAUAUGGCUCAUAUGAGUUCUUAGUGAUGCUCUUCGAUCUCACCAAUGUACCAACAAUGUUUUGGACACUCAUGAAUAAGAUCUUCCAUCCCUAUUUAGACUAGUUUGUGGUGGUAUACUAAGAUGACAUAGUCAUCUACAAUAGCAUCUUAGAGGAGCACGUGGAGCAUUUAAGGAAGGUCUUCAAGAUCUUAAGGUAAAACGAGUUAUAUGUAAAGAAGAAGAAAUGCUCAUUUGUUAAAGAGGAUGUGAGCUUCCUAGGGCAUCGCAUCAAAGAUGGCAAGCUGAUGAUGGAUGACAACAAGAUGAAGGUCAUCUAGGAAUGGGAUCCACCUACUAAGGUACCUCAACUAAAGUCUUUCCUUGGCUUGGCUAACUAUUACCAGUGGUUCAUCAAGGGUUACUCUACAAAGACAGCUUCACUCACUAAUCUUCUUAAGAAGAACAAGGCAUGGGUGUGAGACAAAAGGUGGCAACAAGCCUUUGAAGAUCUAAAAAGUGUUGUGAUUGAGGAGCCAAUGUUGGCAUUACCCAACCACAUGAAGGUUUUUAAGAUACACACAGAUGCCUCAAACUUUGCUAUUAGGGAAGUUCUGAUAAGAUAGACAUCUAAUCGCCUUCAAGAGUUGCAAGCUAAAUGACAUAGAGAGACGCUACAUGGUACAAGAAAAUGAUAUGACUGUCAUUGUCUAUUACUUGCACACCUGAAGACACUAUCUUCUAGGGUCUCACUUCAUAGUGAAAACCGACAAUGUUGUCAUUAGUUACUUCUAAACACAGAAAAGUCCUAAGUAAGCUAGGUGGCAAGACUUUCUGGUUGAGUUUGACGAUGCGCUGGAGUAUAAGACAAAAAGUACUAAUCAUGUGAAUGACGCCCUAAGCCGUAAUGUAGAGCUAGCAUUCAUGACGAGCCAGCCCCAAUGAGACAUAAUAGAUCUUCUAAGAGAGGGGUUGCAACAUGAUCUAGUGGCUAAGAGCCUUAUUACCUUGGCCCAUGAGGGAAAAACUAAGUGUUUUUAGGUAGAGGACGACCUACUCUACACUAAGGGGAGACUACUCUACGUGCUUAAGUGGGGGAACAUAAGGUAGAACUUGAUUAAGGAGUGCCAUGACACCAAGUGGGUUGGGCACCUUGGGCAACGACGCAUAAAGAGCACUACUCGAGUCAGCUUACUACUGAUCUUAGAUACAAGAUGAAGUUGAGGCAUAUGUGAGGACUUGUCUUGUGUGCUAACAAGACAAGGUAAAACAACAACAACCUAGAGGCUUGUUGGAGCCACUACCUAUAGCAGAGCGUCCAUGGGAGAGCAUCACCAUGGACUUCAUCAUCGGGCUACCUAAGUUGGAGGGCUAUGGCUCGAUCAUAGUGGUAGUGGAUAUGUUCUCUAAGUAUGUGACCUUCAUAGUAGCCUCUACUGACUGUACUGCAAAGGAGACAGCAAGGCUAUUCUUGAAACACAUGGUCAAAUACUGGGGGUCGCCUAAUUACAUCAUCAGUGAUCGCGAUUUGCAUUUCACUAGGAAGUUUUGGACAAAGCUCUUUAAGCUUAUGGGUUUGAAGCUUCACUUCUUCACAAGCUUUUCACCCGUAAACAGAUAGGCAGAUUGAGAGGGUGAACGCCUUAUUAGAGUUAUACUUAUCCUUCAUGAGUGUCAACCAAAAGGAAUGGACUAAGUUGCUAGAUGUAAUCCAAUUUUCAUACAACUUGCAAAGAAGUGAGACAACCAACAAGAGCCCGUUCAAGCUAGCCAUAGGGCAGCAACCAUUGACUCCUCACACACUACCAAUAGGCUAUACGAAGAGAAGUUCAGCGGCUUUGAAGUUCACUAAGGGGUGACACGAGCCAACUGACAUAAUAGCUCAUACUUGGAUAGGGCCGCUAGAAAGAUGAAGAAGUGGGCUGACAAAAAGCGACAUCACACUGAGUACAAGGUCGGAGACAUGGUCUUUGUCAAGCUCCUUCCUAAAAAAUUCAAGUCACUAAGGCCGGUACAUAAAGGCCUUAUGAUGAGGUAUAAAGGACAUUUCCCCAUACUUGGAAAGGUCGGCAAGGUGUCCUAUAGAGUUGAGUUACCACCGAGGUUGAAGAUUCAUAUCGUCUUCCACGUAAGUUACAUAAAAUCAUAUCACGAAGACAAGAAUUAUCCAAGCCAAGGGAUGUCCUAGAUGACACCUACAUCGAUUAUGACCUUCUAUGACAAGGAAGUAGAACACAUCAUUGCAGGCUGAGUCAUCAAGAGAUGAGGCGUGCCUCCUGCUACGGAGUACUUGGUGAAAUGGAAGGGACUACCAGAGAACGAGACUAGCUGGGAGCCAAUAGAUGCACUAUGGCAAUUUCAGGAGCACAUUAAGUGGUUCUAGGUGGAAGGUGCGACAAGGACGUUUACGGUUUAGGUAGGGGAGAGUGUCAUAGAAUGCUUCAAAUGAGCCUCCCCAGGGGUUUAUAUAGAGCCUAAGAAGCUUUUGGAGACUCCUACACUUAGUCAUUGGUGGGAAAAUGGUGGAAGGUUCUAAAGAUGUCUAAAGAUAUCCACACAUCUCUACACUAUGGUGGAAGGUAUGAGAGAAGUCCAAGGCUUUCUAGAAAAUUCUAGAGAUCUCUUGUAUAUUCUUGUACAUAGGCUUGUACAUAGAAUUGUGUAGGAAGUUUUAGAUUAUUCUUGAGUUGUAAGGAACCCUCCAAGAUUCCAAAGAGUUUCAUUGGUGCCUAUAAAUAGGUGAAGGCCUCAUUUGGCCAAGGCACCAAGCAAGUGAGUUCCAAAGCACUUGUAAAGCUUCUUUUAAGUAAUAAAAGCUUCCAUCCUUCAAGAUUUAUCUACUACGCCUUAUAAAGCUUUCAAGUUGUGAGCAUCUUAACCUAGCAAGCUGAGCAUUGGGAGCAAAACUGACUUAGCAAGAUCAAGGGUCUUGACUUGUCUAAGUGUCGCACGAGCUUAGGAAAAGACUAAGUUCAUGACACCUAGGACUAGUAGCAUGCACCCUAAGUAAUCCAAGGCUAGAAAUGAAAUGAUACAAGGAUUCCCAACACUUGACUUAAUUCCUUAGAAAUUGAAACUCAAUAAAAAACAUUAGUGUCAUUAACCUCAUUUUUUUUAUUACCAAUACUUAAUUAGGGGAAACCUUGAGCUAACAACCUCCUCAUUUUUUAUGAUGAUAAAACUGUACCAUCUAAAGAAAGCUUUCCUUAAUGUAUGCAUAUUAUAAGCAAUUUAAACAUUCAUCAUAAAAGAUGGAAAACAUAAACUCAAAUGGAGACAUGGAUAUAUAGAUAUAAGAGACAUCAUAAAGGUUGCAACAUGAUCGUAUAUCCGAAAUAGCAUCCAAAAGCAUGUCAUCCAAAAAAAAAUCAACCAUAAUAACCAUGUUCAAAUUGUCCCAAAAAGGAAAAAAAUAUAUAUAUGAAACAAAAAGUAUUAAAUAGUUUACUAAAUGUUAUGCCCUAGAUACCUAAAGAUAUCUCCCCCUUAGGCAACAUCGAAACAAUGAGGGAACUAUAUGGCUCAAGGUUGAGGUGGUGGAAACAAGGAACAUAGGACAGCUAUUGAAGAAGCUAAAAUUCUUCAUAAAUGAUUGAAUUUUAUUUCACCAUGAGAAACAAUACAAAGAGGGAUUUUUUUUUUUUUUUUUUUUUUUUUAUCAAGGGGAAGACCCCUUUCUCUUUACUACUUAUCCCUUUUAAUAAAAAUUCUUCCACAUUUUUCCACUUUAUUUUGCCAACAUUCUUUCAACCCCUUUUGCACAAAAAUGCCAAAGAUAGUAUUAGGAUAACCUUUUACAACCAUUGCUAACUUUUGACACAAGUUGCUAAAAAUUGUUGAAGAUUUGCUUUUAAUGUCAGGUAGGAUAGCAGAUUGGUUCUAAUUGAAGGUCAUUUCUUGUGGAGGACCUUACUUAUAAGUGAGAUGAUUGUUCCUAUCUUCAUGGUUUUAUGUUGUAUAGUUAUAGAGACUUUUUAGAGGCUAUCAGCUUUAGAGCAAAUUUAUGUUGUUUGUUAGGGAUUAAGUAUUUUAUUCAAAUUGGGUGAAUGGUACUACCUCUUUACUUGAGAUGGCUUUGAGAUUGGGUGGUUGAAUAGUAGUACUUUGGAAUGGUCUAGUUUUUGUUCGCUUUAGCUAUCAUUUUCUUAUGCUGUGUCUAUAGACGAGUGGAGACGUCAUUUGGAAAUUGGUCAAAUUGCCCGUGAAAUUGAUCAAAUUGUCAAGUUGUCAUCCUAAAAUUGACUAAACCUAGUUUGUAAAAAUGAGAAACGACCGUCACUAGCGACUAACAUCUUCUCAAGCUAAGUAUUAAUAGAUCCAAUCUGAGCAUAAAGGGCAUCUUAAUGUUGCAGGUUCAAUGCUCAUGAAGCAUAAUAUUUUGGAUACUUGGUGUGAGACACCUCAGCAUAAGUCUAAUCCAUAAGGAUAGUCUCCUCAGGAGGUUGAGAUGUGGGCAAUUGAAUGGUGGCAUCCAUGCCCUUGGUUUGCAUCUCCUGUUGAACAUCCUCACCCCCUAAUCCUUUAUGGUCACCCUCAGUCUCUAUCUAUAGAAUCUCUGCCUCUUACUCAACCCGGUCUUCAUUCAUAGCAGGACCCUUUCUUUUUCUUUCCAAUGAUCCAUUAGGCAAUUUCUCAAACAGCAUUCGGUCUGGAUUUUACGUUAUAGGUAUCAUAGGAUGAGGCCUGAAUGUUUUUUUCUCUUCUUAUGUCCACAUUGAAUGCUUUCAGGAUUUUUGUGAUCAGUCUUCUUCCGUUGGCCACUACUUUAGAAUUGCUUUUACAACAGUUUUUCAUGUGUUGAAAGAUGAUAAGGAAACCUUAGAAUGGAUCGGAGUCAAUAGAAAAUGCUACAUAAUAGGACACCUUGUCUCUAUGUCCACCCUUAGGUAGAAAAAUAUGUUUGAUCAUGUGGUGGUGCACCCUAGAGAUAAUGCUCAAGGCAUGGGCAUGGAGCUUUGAAGUCACUGUGUCGAUGGGUAAGUUACAUAUCCUCUAGAAAGCCCUACCUAGGUUAAAACUAGACACUAUAGGCCAUCCCUUCGUCUCAAAUAAACAAAGUCCCCCACAAAGGAUCUCCAAAAUAUCACAAAGCAUAUCAAUAUUUAGUUUAAUUCAACUCCUCUAACAAAUGUGCUAAUUGGCCUUCAUAUAUUUUAGGUUCAAGUAAAAUACCUGAACAAGGUUGGGGUAUGUAGGCUCUCUUGAUGAGAUGGUAUUGGUGAGUAUUUUUUUUUCUUCAAUACAAAACUAUUACAACACUUGGUUUUUUUUUUUUCUAAAAAAAAAAGAAAAAUAAAAAUAGUUUUAUAUUAUACUUAGUUUCAAGAAAAAUAAUAAUCAAAGCAAAAUGAAAAAAAAAUUCUCAUAUUGGUUUCUCGUGAAAAAUAUAAAAGCAAAUAAAAUACAAUUAAAAUUAAUUAAAAUCUUAUGUAUUUUUAAAUUAUUAAUUUUUAUAUAAAAAAUGAAAAAUAGUAUAAUGAAUUUAGAAGAAUAUAUAAAAAUAAUGUAUUAACUUUAAAUCUUUUUUUCUUUAUAUAUAUAUUUUCCCUUCAAUUUUCUAAUACCAACACAUAAUAAGGUUAAUGUCUUCUAGCCAACCAAUUGUAAGUCAAUUUUCAUAGAGCUUUUUUUUUUUUUUUUUUUUACAUGCCACCAAGUAGUUAUAUAAGCAUUUUUGCAUGUUAUUGUUAUCCAACAUACAAUAACUAUAACAUCCAAUUAUUAUGAACAUGAACAAUAAAAUUAGAUGCAACUAACUAUUUAGUGUAUAACAAGAAGUUGGUGAAGUAAUUCAUCCUAACAUGAUUCAACAAUUUUUGUUUAUUUUUCAAGAUUAAUUAUAACAUACCCAUUCUAUUAAAGUUGUUGAGAUAUUUGAGCAAAACUAAAAAUCAACAUUAAUUCAUUUUAUACCCACAAGAGAAAUAAGAUUUGUUUUUUUGUUUGAUAAUAAAGUAGUUGUAGUUAUUAAUGAUAAUUUUGAUCCUAAUUUAAUAGGUAUCCAAAAAAAAAGGAAAAAUGCAAGUAAACCAAUUCUUAUCUAACACAAUUAUUACCACCUUAAAAUCCUGAGGGGUAGCUCAGUUGAUCAGUUCGAGUCCCUUUAGGACCAUGAAAAGCUUACCCGAUGGUUCACCUUAAGAAAAGCAAAGCAUUUAUAUAAUUCAACUGGUAGUUGAUAAGUCUUAGAAAGGGUUUUGCCAUCAUUGGCUUCUCAGUAAAGGGCAAAUUUGGGUUGUGGCUGACAAUUAUUGAAUUUGUGAAGAAAUAUGUGAAGAAAGGAAACAAAAAGAGUUGAGGACAGAAUUCUUCAAUUAAAAAAUGGUUAGCCCAUGAACCCAUUCUUCAAACAGUAAGCCAAUGAGCCAAUGAGCCAAAAAGAAAGAAGAACAGCUGGUUUCAUCUUUUUAUCUUAAUGACUUUGACAACCCAUCUUUCUUUUAAAUACUUGUGACUUUGGAAUAUAAUUAAAAUGAAACUUUGGAAUGCCCACAUCUGAUUCACGGCCUUUUUACCUGUUUUCUUGUUUAACAUUUUUUUAAAUAUUAUAACAGAUGGAAAAACAUGAUUCUAACAGGCUGGAAAAUAGUGGAAGUUGGAACACCAACCAUAACCAAACUAUACCUUCCAUCUUUCUCCAACACUCGGAAUUAUUGAUACAAGUUGGUGGUUUUAUGAUUGUUUCUAUUGAGGGGACCCCUCUCCAUUUCCAAUUUCAAUGGAAAGGUUCUUCUUUCCCUACUUUUUUUUUUUGUUUUUCAAAUUCUUGUAGUUUUGUCUGUCUCUCUCAACAAAGCAAACUGCAAUCACUAAUUCAAAGAAAAGGAAUCCUAAAUGAAAAGAAAAGAAAGGAAAGGAAUGGUAAUUUAGGCUAUGAUGAUGCUCCUAUAUAAUGGCUGUAAGUCAAUAACAACACACUGGACCCGCCUCCUAUCUCAAAAGAUCACAAACCCAAAUAUCAUAUACUUCCAAAUUUCAAUUUGGUUCCCUGUUUAUAUCACAAUCUGUCCUAUAUCCUCUUAAUACAUCUAAAAUCUCUCUAUAUCAUAAAAAUAAUGAUGGAAAAAAAAAUUAAAAAGAAAGAAGGAAAAAAUGACAAAAAAAAAAAAACCUUGGUGCUGCUAUGGGUCCAUAGGAAUUGGCAGGACUGCACUUCUGGAUCCCCUUCCAUGGCCAAAAGAAAAGAAUGAUCUUCGGAAUCUGCUGCUGCAACCUUCACUAGGGCUGAAGUCACUGACAGGCCUGUUCUGUUGCAAAAUCUCUUGAAUUGCUAAAUACAGCUGCCUGUCGUUGGAUGAGUCCAUUGAAAAAGACCUCCUGAUGGGUUGGAUUGAGAACUGAUCAUCUUUGCCUCUAGUGUCAAUGCACUCAUCACCCAUGCUUGCAACAUGAUGAAACUUCCUUGCCUUUUUAGGCACAAUUCUCUGCUCUAGCUUCCUAGGUGAUGGACUAAUUGAUGGCGCAGAUAACUCUCUGGAAUUCAGUCUUUCUGGUGGCCUAAGCAGUGAUGAAUCAGCAGAACUAUCAUUUCCCAAUUCAAUUACUACAAAAUCUUCAUCCCCUCCUAUGUAAUUAUUGGCGUAGGGGCUUGGAUCUUGGGGGGAAGAGCUAGGAGCAAUGAUUUGGUGAACAGGAAACCGGGGUGUGGUUGAAAUGCUUGUUCUGCAAAGUGGGCAAUUAGCAUUGCUUUGAAGCCACACGUCUAUGCAAUCUAUAUGAAAUAUGUGACUGCAGUUUGGUAUGAUUCUUAGCUUCUCUUCUUCUUGAAACUCAUUCAAGCAAACCGCACACUCGCAAUGGCUUCUUUCUCCAAACUCUCUGCCACCUCCUUUCCUGAACUGGAAUAUUGGGAUUGAUCUGAUGACUGACUCGUCCAGGCCUCGACUCUCGAUUGCUGGGGAGUACACCAUUAAAGGGUCUUCCGGGUGCCGACUCCUUGAGAAAGAAAAUCGUCUCAGCAGAUCAAUCCGGUGCCAAUUGAGGCAGCAUUUGAUUACAAAGAUGUAGUAGCUCACCAGCAAGAAAGCAGUGGCCAGGAUUCCUAUUACGGCAAUGGCUAUAAUGGGGAAACUGGUGUCCGAGGAAUGAGAGGGAGAAGGAAGCACUGAGCUCGCCUGGCUUUUGAUGGGAGAAAAGGCUUGUGAUCCAUGGAUGGAGGAGUCUGUGCUCACAAGAUCCAUGAGAGAGGCUAUGAAAAACAUUUAGAAAUGAGUCUAUUCGGAUCUUCAAUUCACAGAAACAUGCAAAUGCUAGAAUAAAAUCGACAGACACUCAGAUAUAGACCCUACAGUUGUAAUGCAGCAUACCAUAAAUGUGAUUGAGUGAGUGAGGCUGAAACAGCAAAUGGGUCACUUCAAGAUCUCAACAAGACAGAAAACCCAUGUUGAAUUCACCAGGAGAGUAUUGAAAAGGGAAAAAUUAAGGACAUAUAGCUGUAUUGAAAGUUGAAACAAAUGCAGAAACAUAGAGAAGAGAGAGAGAGGGAGAAAACCCAGGAGGGUUGAAUGAGAGCGCUGCUGGGGAAGACAUCAAAACGCUUCAAAUUCAAUGAGAAUCUGUUGGGGACCUCUUUAAGAGGACUGCACAAAGCCUGAGCGUAGGGUACGUGGUUGGUUGGUGAAUUUCUCGGCUUCCAAAAGAGAAAUUUGGUGAGAAAAUUUUCAAGUCUCUUGAUUAUAGUAACGUAGCGUUUAUUUUAAUUUUAUGUAACCGAAACUAAUGGGCUGGUUCAAAAAAAUAAAAAAUAAAAAAAGGAACUUUCUAGGAUAGGCCAGCAGUCCACCGUUGGUCAUGUGGUUUCUUUUGCAUGUCCACAUCUUCCAACUAGUGGAGGUCCCUGUCACAACAGUAAGAAAACACCCAAUUGAAUAAAAGUAUGAACUUUUGGCUCCCAAUAUUACUUAUGCCCUCAUUCAAUACCUCAAAUAAAGCAGAGAUUUUGUGUCCCAACUUUUAUGAUUUCAUUUCAUCUUACUUCAAAUGCUAAUGACAAAAGUCCAAGUAUAUUCUGUAAUCACCCACACCCCAAUAGUUUUGAAUCACACUUGAAAUAGUUCCCAUGCUUUCUUAAUAAUUUAGAUAAUUAUUUACAGAAAAAAAAAUUCAGAACAGGAUGAUAAUCAUUUUGUGAUAGCAUGGAAGAAACUUUACUAGCCACUUUGGCCCCAUGAAGUUGAGUACUUGAUGCCAAUUAAUGGCAGGGUGGAAAAUAGAGAAAAGGGAUCAUAGUCAAAUCUAGAGUACAAGGCAUUGAAUCUUUGUUAAUAAUUAACAAAUGGGUAAAGCAUGGGUCACAGGGUCUACAGUUUGGAUUGCAAAAACCUCAGGCUUCUAUAAAAAGCUCAUCCAUUAUCAAUCAUCAAUCUGAAAGCCAGAAAGUCCAAGGCACAUGCAACCCACGACAGGGGUAAGAUUUCUGCAUCAUGUCCCUGAGUUGCAUUCACAUCAUAUGUUUCCCUCCGGGCCGUUCCAAUUUGAAAUCUCAUGGAAAUCUUCAAGAGCAAGGCUACAGAGUUUAAGAUAAUACUAGGGGUGGGUCCUGAUGGGAAAAGAGGUAGUGUAGGAUAGUCAAUAAAGGGCAUGUGUCUCUGGUGUGAAGUCAAAUCCAGUGUACCAUCCUCAAUGGAAAAUUUAGAAAUAGAACCGACACUCUACAGACUGCCGUGUUGACAGAUUAGAGAAAGACAAACCCACUUACACUUGCCUCAAAACCCAGUCCUGCCAUUUCAAAGGCAAAAAAAAAGGGUUUCUUUUUAUAGUCAAAGGUUGAGGCCUGGCCUGGCCUAGCAAAGAAACUUCACCUACUCUUUUCUUAUUUUUCAAAUUAAGGCCAUUCAACUUUUCCUGUUUGCAGGCUUGCUGCCAUAUCUUACUCCAAAAAAGGUGAAAACCCAAAAGAAAAAGAGUGUUUGCUUCAAUGGAAAACUCAUGUUUAAUAAAUUCACCGCACGAGUUUUGUUCCAGCUUUUCCUAUGAAAGCUGUGAUGCGUUUGGUAUGAAGUUGAUUUUGUUCCUAAAAAUUUUGAUCUUGGCGUGGAAGGCAACUUUUUCCUUUUCCCCCUUUUUCUUUUUGAAAAGUUCGGCAUUAGUUACCAAAUGUCCUUUUACUUGCAUGUAGGACAGCGGAAGCAUUACACAUCGCAGCAAAAUCCCAUUUACCCGAAUUUUCCACUAACUCUUUUUAUUUUUUACCAUCAUUUUUUAAUAGAAGUGAUGCACUCUUCAAAUUACAUGAAGCUUUUAAGAAGGUAAUAACCCGUUUCAAAGCGAACUUAACCUACAGAGUAUGUUUUAAAAAUAUUUAGGUAUUUGAUAAAAUUUAAAAAAUAUUUUUUAAAAUCUUUAAAAUGAUUUGUAAUAUUGAAAAUUUAUUUAUACUUUUUUUAAUAAAAAAACAUUUUAUAGGUAAUUUUUCUAAAAUACUUUUAGAGAAAAUGUCUUCCCUUCACUAUAAAUAUUAUAUACUAUCAAAUACACUUUAAAAAUCUGUUUAACAAUAAUUUUAUAAAGUGUUUUUAAUUUUAAAAAUAUUUUUAAAAACAAAUUAAAUUUUUGAUAAAAUUUAAAAAAUCUUUUUAAAAAUUUUGAAAAAUAUCUCGUAAUAUUAAAAAAUAUAUAUAUUUAUAAUGUUUUUUAUAUAAAUACUCAAAAUUCAUUUAAUAGUGAUUUUAGGAAAUGUUUUUAAUAUUUCUAAUACUUGAAAAUUUUUUAUCAUUUAAGUAUUAAAAAUAUUAAAAACACUUUAUAAAAUCACUUUCAAAUGGACUCUUAAUGAUUUUACUAAAAACACUUUUCAUAGAAAACAUUUAUAAAAAAUAAUUAUGAAAUACACUCUAAAUUAAGUAAAAGUUGUUUUUAACAUUACCACUAUUUAUUAAUAGUGCAUUUGUUUAAAAUAUUUAUAUGAAAAAUUCAUUAGGGUGGGAUAUAAAUAUAGAAGUGUUUUUCUUUAUAUAUUUUUUAUAAUAAAAAAUGAUUUUUGAAAUUAUAAAAUUUGAAUUUAAGAAUCAUUUGAUAAUAAUUUUUGUUAAAGCACCUUUAAUACGUGGUGCUUCUAUUGAUAGCGCUUUCAUUUCUAUGAAUGGCUAUAAAUUAUAUUUGAAUAAAUUUUUUAUAAUGUAUUAUAUAAUAAAAAAAAAGUCAUUUUUAAAAAAAUUAUACAUUAAAUGAUUAUUCAAAUAGUAUUUCCUAAAUUUUAUUAAACAUUUUUUUCAAAAAAAAAAAAAAAGUUUUCAAAUACUAGAAAACGUUUUUAAUCUCUCACACGAUCACAUCCAAACAAGUCCUAAUGCUACUCCUAGAAACACUCCAAAACAAAAGUCUUCCUCUAUUAAUGUUCAUAAAAUCCACAUAUAUUCUUCCAUCGUUUUUUCAAAAUUCAAAAUCAUUUCUAAAACAUCAAAUCAUGUUCUUUGGAUUGGCUGACUUGUUUUUUGAAAAUAGAAGGCUCAUUAUUGACGUCCGUUGACUUCAUAACCCAGUCUUGAUCUCUUGAUGGAGGGCAUAAAUGUAAAUUGGACGAAACCCUAGGGUGCGCUAGAGUGUAGAGGAUGAAAGGUUGGAAAAAGGAUGAGGUGGGGGUGUAAUAAAGAGGAGGGUUGGGAGAAUGGGACAUGUGUAGGUGAAGCAUUAAAUUCAAGACUAUGCUUACCAACAACAUAUAAAUAAAUAAAUAAAUAAAUAUAGGAACAGCACAUGGGGUGAGUAGGAGACAUCAGAAGAUGUGAACAACCCCUUGUCAGUCCAAUUUGCGUCUUUUAUCUACUCUAUUAUCUAUAUCGAUUUUCGUAUUUAUUUAUUUAUUUAUUUAUUUUUACCAUUUGAUUUUGCAUGGAUGUCGAAGGGUUUAUUGGCUGCCACGUGUAGGGUUAUGGUCAAGAUCACGUGGGGUGCCUACAUGGGAGUCACGUGAGUGCAUGAGGCAGGCUUGAAUUGCAGGAGGAGCAGGAGCAGAGCAGUGGCUGUUGUCUUAAGACUUUGCUCUCUUGGUGGAACUGCAGCUUAAGCAGCAUCCACGUGUUGUCACGUGCAAUGCGAGCCAUCCACACCACCAGUUUCUUUUUAGUGAUUUUCUAAAGUCAGUUAAGGUUGCAGUCAAUACCUUCAAAUGUUGACAGAGUUAGGGAUCUUUGUUAAAUGGAUUUUAUUAAGAUAUUAGUAAGUUAAUUAAUUGAGGGUCAACAUAACAGAUGGGUCGGGUUGGGUUGAAUCUGAAUUUAAAACGAUUUAAUUUAUGUUUAAUCAAAUUUAACAUUUAACUCGAAGCACUCAACUUAAGUUUAAUUGAAUCUUAGUUUUCAAAACAUUAUUUAAAUUUGGGUCAUUUGGAUUAAAGUCAAAUGGGUUAGAUUAAUCGGGUUAUAUGGUUCAAAAUCCACUUACCUUAUUUUUUAUACAUUAAUAUUAAAAUUUAAAUAAAAAAUAUUAGAAGAAAUUUCAAACUUGGGAUUAGUUGAUUGUAGCCAUGCAUUUGGAUGUUGGUAUUCUUGUUUCUUGUCUUGUUUCCAAAUACCCUUUCAAAUCGCUUUGUUAUUCAAUAGCAUCCUCCCGAUCAUUUAAAAAUUUAAAGAGCAUUGGUAUGAUGGAGGAAUUCAGAAAUUUUAGUUGAAUAAGUAAAAUUUUUCUCUCAUAAAACCAAAUAGCCUCUAUAGCUCAGUGGUAGAGCGUCAGUCUUGUAAACUGAAGGUCUGUAGUUCGAUCCUGCAUGGAGGCAACUUUUUAUAUUUCAUGAUCCAUUAUGCUCUAGUGAUUUAGUUUUCAUUAUAAUUUUAGAUUAAAAAAUUACAUCAACAUUUGAUAAGUUGGUUAUGACUUUGAUAUAAGGAUGAAACUAUCAAUAAUAUAUAUAAAUAUUUUGACACAAAAUAUCUAAUAUAUUAAAAAAUUAAAAAAAAACUCUAAAAAACAUUAUAAAAUUAUAUAUAUAAUUUAUCAUAUUUAAUAAUAAUAUCUUCUACCCUAAUAAAAAAUAUAAAUUUUAUAAGCAUACAUUUAUUAUUACAUUGUAUUAUAUAUUAUUUUACAAGAAUAUUAUGAUAACAUGUCUAAUUUUAAAAUAUAUUUAAUAUUAAAAUUAUCAUCAAUUUUAAUUUAAAUGUAUUUAAUGAUAUCAAAUAAUAUAUAUAUAUAUAAUUUUUUAAUAUUUAUAUAUUUUUAUAUUUAAUAAAUAUAUAAAUUAUGUAAAAAAAAAAGACCUAUUAAGAAGAUUAUGUUUUUAUAUUUGGAUCAAAAUUAAGUUUUUCCGAUAAAAUAUAUGAAACUAUUGAUAAAUUAUUGAUUGAAACGUGAAAAAAAAAAUUCAAAAAAUAGAUGAGAUAUUAGUAAAAUAUCCGAAAAUAUUGAUUGAUGAAUAUAUCAUUUCAAAUUUUGCAUCAACAUCCACAUAUGUUGGAUAUAUUGGCCAAAUAUAUUUAAACCUUGUUUCCAUGAGAAGUCUUUCCUUCAACAAUUUCAAAAGGUUAAUGAGGUGGUUUCCAAGAGAUGUGUGUAGGGGUCUCCAACGGGCGGGCCGGGCCAGCGGGCUUUUUGAAAUAAGCCAAAAUGGCUUUCAAAAAAGGGAAGGGAGAGGAUUUAAACCCCUUCCUUCAUGCUUAAAUUUCAAGGUUCUAACCAAUUGAACUACAUUCCUUUAAUGUUUAUUAAUUGAGUUAGUUAUAUAUAUAUAUAAAAAUAAAGUAUAUUAUUUUUUAAAGGGGCGGGCCUACGGGCUGGGCCGGGCCGAAAGCGGGCCACGGGCCACGGGCUUUUUGGAGACCCUUGGAUGUGUGCAAUCACAUUUGGUAUUAUAGGUGACAAAGUUUGAUAAAUGAGUAAUUAUUAGGUUAACUUAUAAAAUCCGAAUUUGAUUUAAAUUGAUUCAUUUAAUAAUCCCAUUUAUUUACCCAAUUAAAACUUUAAAUUAUUUAACUUAUAUUUAAUUUAAUUAAAAUUUGUUUUUAAAUAAAUAGAUCAAUUAAAACAUAAACAUAUUUGAUUGAAACAUUAAUAAUAUAGAUUUAAAUAAGACCUAAUUCAACCUAACGAUCAAAUAGAAAUAUCUAAUUAUUAAAUAAAUUAAACAUGUUACUUGCUUAAUAAUUAUGUGACAUUUGAAUUUAUGCUUUUGAUAUAAUUAUUAUUUAUAUCAGGUUUAUAUAAUGAAAUAUCUAGACUUUGACACCAGUCAACAUUGUCCACCAAUACAGAUUGCAACUCUUAUAUGCUACAUCACAUCAUGUUGAAGGAAGAGGAUGACGUUCAUUGGCAGCAGAGCCUCCAAUCAUAAGGAGCUUGAGCAAAUUCAAUCUCAACACUGAAAUUCACUAGAAAAAAAGUUUAUUAUUGAUACUUCAUUUGUGUAAAAGCAUUAUAUUUCUUGCAUCAAUCGUAAAGCAUGACAUUCCAGUAGGUACGGAAGAGAAAAUUUGUUAUGAAUUGAAAAAUCUGUCAAGCUUAAUUUGGAGGGCCCAAAAUUGACACGUUUAAGAGCUCUAUCAUUAGCCCAAUGAUAAGAGUCCAUUUCUUGAGUUUCAAGGAAGGCCCAAGUUUAACUUAGAGGGCCCAAUCUUGGUACCUUCUAAAAGGUGCAAACUUUGGCCCAAUUAUAAAAGCUUAUCCUUGCUUCCUAAGCAUCAAUGAUAUAUUUGAUCGAAGUAUUCACAUAACUAUCACGAAAUGAAAUGAAAUGAAAAUGUAUAAGUAAAUGAUGAUUUUGAGUUAUUUACUGACAAUAAAGAAUUAGGUGGUGUUUGUUUUUUUUUUUUUGGCUUUUUACUAAAAGCAAUUUGUUUUCAGAAUUUAGGUUAUUUAUUUUUCUAUUUUUUCAUGACUUAUUAUAAACUUUUUACUAAAUAAGAAAAUCCAAAAUAUAUAGUUUUUUCUAAAUAGAAAAAAUAACAUAUUGGUUUUCUUUUUUUUUUACUUUUUAAUAUUUAAUAGAAAUAAAAUAUUAUAAAAACAAACAACCUAAUAUUUAACACUAUUAAGUAUUAAGGUUUUAUUUAGAAUUAAGUAAAAAAACAAACACUACCUUAAAAUGAAAAGUAUGUAUAAUGACCUUAUACAAAAAAAGUCUCAUUAUUUUCUUCCAAAGAACUCAUACUUUUGUUUUUCAACUAUUACUUUGUUUUUAUUUUUUAAAUAAUAUUUCAAGUUUUUUUUAAUAAUACCUUUCUCUUUAUUAGAUAAUUUUAAUGACUUUAAAAGUAUUUUAAUAUAUUAAUUUAUUAUAUAAUUUUAAUGAUUUAAAAAUAUUUAAAUGUUGAAAUAUUUAUUUUCAAGUCUAAUUUUAAUUAUUUAUUUUUUGAAGUAUUUAAAUAUAUAAUAAAUGUGGGAUUAUGUAAAUCUAGUUGUAAUUAUUUAUUUCAUUCUAUUCAUGUUUUUAGUUGAAUUUGCUCAAAAUUUACACCUCUUUAUUUAAAGAUCAUGGAUUAGUUAGGUGUCUUGAGAUUUUUUUUCUCUCAAGACACUACUUGUUACACUAGAAAAUAAUUUGUGGCUAUAUUUUUUAGGCAAAAAGAAUUAUAUGUUAAAACUUCCUUUAUUGACUAGUUUAUCAUAGGGUGUAGAGGAAAGUUUGUGAUGUCUUUUUAUGUCAACUUUGGGAGAAAAAUAUCACUUUAGCAUUUUCCUUAGAAAAUUUUCAUACAUAAUUGAUUUUGGAACUAUGGAGGAGCAUAAGUAGGGAUAGAUAAUUCGAUUUUGGAAAAAUUAUAAUAGCUUUUCAACUUGGUGUUAAUGAUAUAUUGUUUAUUUCUUAUUUUUUUUCCAUUUUAAUAUAUAAUUGGGGAUUUUAAACUUGUAGAACAAGGCUUUUUCAAUUGAAUUGACACGUACAUAUGAAAGUUCUCUUUGGUUGCUAAUCACAUUUUUUUUUCUUUUGCUUUUUGUUUUUAUCAUAAUGAAUAUUGAACUCGAAAUUCAGUUUUUAAAAUCUUAUGAUGUUUUAAAGUUUAUAAAUAUUAUUGAUUUUUAUAAAUGAUGUUAUUCAUAUCUUGGUAAAGACAAUAUUUUCAUAUCGGUCAAGAUGAUUAAUAACAUAUAAGUUCAUAAAGAAAAACCUAUUGAUUAAUGGAUAUUUAAUGAUUUUUAUUAGGAAUGUUUUUUAAUUAGUUUCAAUACUCAUCUUUUAGAGCAUACAUAUAGGGUUUUAGAUGCUACAUUGGUUUUCAGCUUGUGAUUUAAAUUAUUGAAGCAAAAAAUGAGGGUUUUGCUUUAUGGAACUAUCUAAAGGGAGGUGAAUUAGGCGGUCUUCCUUUUUAAAAUCCAAAAAUUAGAUUUUUAAUACUUAUAUUAGUUAUACAUGUGUUCAAUAAUUAAAACAAAGAACAAGUCCAUAAUUUACAUGUGAUGUGCAUGGAAAAACACCUACAAAUUCUCUCAAAUACUUUACAAAUGAAAAAAAAAUCAAGGAUCGAUCAAUCACAGAGCAACUUCACUAAAUAUGAAAACAUGACUAUACAAUUUUACUUGGAUGAGGUGCUACCUUCUCUUAAGGGUUUUUACACUAGCCAACAAUUACACUCACCUUCACUCUCACCAUGCACCUCUAUUGUGCUCCAUAGUAAACACUUUAAUGACUGUAGCAAGAUUGCGAUAAAUUACUGCGAUUAAUUUGAGAGUGUUGAUAAUGAACAAAAAAUAAUGAUAAUUAACUAGAGAGCAUAUGAUUUUGUAAAAACACCAAAAAGAGGCAUAGUUAUAAGUGAAAACUUUAAUGGAUUGGAUUGAAUAUAUAAUUGAAGUAUGAAUGAAAAAUUACCAAAACAAUGUUCAAAACCGUGCUAAUCAAAGCACAAUCACUUGAGUACUCUCAUGGGGCACUUGAAUGCUCCUUUUAAUCACCGUAAUGCUGAAAUUAAUAAUUUGUCUCAAAUUGUUUUUCCAAAACAUAAAGCAAAAUAUUAUAAAUUUAUAUAAUCAAACCCAAUUUCAUCUUAAAGCUAGCCUACUUAGUCUUAAUUCAUGUCCAAAAAUACUCAUACUUGUCAAAGAAUGAAUAUGGUAUAAACAAAUUCUUUAUUUUCAAUUAUAUUCAAUUAUUGAAAGAAUAAAUCGGUUUACAUACAUUUUGAACAAAGGUAUAUACACAUAGACUAAAUCAAGGAAAUGAGGAAAUCAAUCACAAUCAAAUCAAAAUCAAAUGAUAGGUUGAUAUCUAGGAGAAGGUUAAGUUAGAACCAACUCAUGUAUUCAAUAUUCCCCCUUAAGAUGGCAUAUGGAGAUCAUGAAUAUCAAACCUAGAAAGUAAGGGAUAUGAAAUAUCUAUACCAAGGGAUUUUAUGAAAUAUCAACCAAUUGUUGUUGUGAUUAAACAAAUUGAAUAAGAAUAAUUUCAUUUCGAAUCUUUUCAUAGAUCAAGUGACAAUCAAUUUCAACGUGUUUAUUCUGUUCAUGGAAAAUUAGAUUAAUAGCAAUGUAUAGAGUUGUAUUAUUGUCACAAUAUAGAUGCAUUGACCAAGGAUGAUGAACUCCAAAAUCUAUAAGUAAAUAUUGCAACCAAUGCAAGUAGUAAUCAUUAAAUAAUAUUUCACUUUUCUUCAUGAGUGUUAUAUCAUUGAUUGCUUUUUAGAUCUUCAAGAGAUUGAUAGGCCACCAAGUAAAAUACAAUACCCUAUAAUUGAACAUCAAGAUUAUGCACAAUAGGCAUGGAGGAAGGCAAAAGAAUUCCUUGACCUAGACGAUUUUUUAAAUAGUAUAACACUCAUGUACUUGUGAGAUAAUUGAGACUACAUUGGCUUGUCAAGAAUUUGAACAUAAUUAGCAAUAUUAAGCCCUAUCAUUAUGAGUCAAAGUAACUUCCCAAUCAAAUGCCUAUAAUAAGAAGCAUCCAACAAAGGUUCUCUAUCUAAUUUACUCAAUUCCAAAUUUUGUUUCCUAGGAGUUUUUAAAGUUACAUGUUCCAAGAAAACCAAAAUCUUUUAGUACUUCUAGAGCAUGUUUUCAAUAACUUAAAUAAAUCUCAUUCUUAAAAUAUGUCAUUUCAAUGAUGAUGAAGUACUUUAAUUUUCCAAUCUCUUAGUUAGUUUGAAAAUGCUAUAUAGGUUUUCCUUGACCACCUUAAUUCCUUUAAGAUCAUUCAUUGUAAUAAUUAUAUCAUAAAUGUAAACAAGAAUGAUUGUGAAAUAGUUAUUUGAGGCUUGAGCAAAUAAGAAGUAAUAUGUACGUCUUGGCUUGCUUGUAAACCAUAAACAUCAAUGUGAUAGAUAAUUUGGCAAACCAUCAACGUGAAGCUUGCUCAAGGCCAUAAAGGGAUUUUUUAACUUUGCAAAUCAUAUUUUUGGUUCUAGAUUUCCUACAAACUUGGUGGAAGCUGCAUGUAUACCUCUUUAUCUAAGUCUUCAUAAAGAAAAACAUCGUUGAUGUCAAGUUGGUGAAGAUGUCAAAUUCUAAUUAUACAAUAAUUAGGGGUGACAAUGUGUCUUAUCGUGUUGAGGUGAGAAAUAGUGAAAAUUUACUUAAUCCGACUAUGACCCGUUUGAUAAUCGUGUCAAAAUAACCUAACAUGAAUACAAUUAGUUUAUUUCAUGUAACAUGACCCUUUUAACAUGUUUAAUAAAUAUAUUAACUUGGAUUAUGUAUUAAUUGACAUGAAUAACUCAUUAACUUGAUUUCAACCCCUUAAACUCAUUAACACAAUUCCAACCCAAUAAACUCGUUAAUAUGAUUUAACUCAUUAAACUUGUUAAUAGGAUUAUAACCUCUUUAACCUAUUUAAAAUUUUAAAUUUAUAAAUAAUAAAAUACUUCUAGAAAGUUUAAUUUUUAAAAUUUGAACUAUAAUACAUGUAUGCACCAAUUUCAUGAAGUCCUGAAAAAUUAGCAAAAUUAUAGAAAAAUAAUAUAAACAAAAAUUUGUAUUAAAAUUAAUAAGUAUGGGCUACAAUAUUAGUCAUAGUACUGCUUAUUUCUGAAUGACUUUAUUAAAAAGCGAAGAAUACAUGUGUAGUUCUUAUGUGAUUUCUUAAACUUGUAAGGCGAUUUUAUAAAGUUUUUUUUUUCUUUGUGAAACCUCUUUUUCUAUGUGAAAUUGUUUUGCCGAUUUGAAAUCUUCAUUAAAGGAAGUUACUAUUAUUUAUAAUUGAAAUUAGAGAAUGAAAUGUGGAAUCCCCAUGAUUUAGUUGCUUAAUUCAAGGAAUUUGAUUAAUUGAUUUUGGUAACUUGUCUCAUAAAAUUUUCUAACAAGAAUAUUUAUUUUUAAUCUCUUUUAUUUCAAUUGGAAUAUUUGUUUCCUUUGUAAAUUUGUCAAUAGAAUAUUUAUUUAUUUAUUUAAUUCUCUUUUGACUACAAUGAGAAGAUUUGAUUUUGUUUGUAAGACUAAAUUUUAUAACCUUUCAAAUUUGGCCAAGUGACACCUUUUGAAUAUAUGUCACAUGUCAAAUGUGUGUGACUCAUUAGUUGUUGAACCUAAAUUUUCUUGAAUUAGAAAGCUAUACUUUUGAAGACUAAUUUAGUGAUAAUUUAAUUCAUUAAAUUUUUUUGGUGUCUACAGUAUAUUUAUAAUAUGAAAAGUAAAUUAAAAUUUUAAUUUUUUUACUUGUUUAUUAUUUUAUUUAUUAUUUAAUGAUAAAUAUUUUUAUUCUUUAUUGAAAUAUAUAAAAUUUUAAUUAAUAUUUUAAUUUUUUUAAUUUCUAUAUAUAAAAUAUAUAGAUUUAUAUGGUCUAAUUGAGUCAUUAAAAUAAAUAGGGUAAAUAACUCACACAUAAGUGAUGGAUCAUUCUAACAUGAUUAAAUUAACAAGUUAGAUGAAUUGAGUAGUCAAAUACAAACAUGAUUUGUUUAUUAAAUAAGUUAUAUGAAUUGAUACGAUUAUGACAUCAACUCAAUUAAACUUAACUCAAAUAAGCUUUGUCUUUUAUUUUAAGUUGUCUAGUUGUUCACACAAAUUUUCUCAAAAUAAAGAAAUUAUAUAUAAAAUUGUAAAUUUGAUUAUUUGAGGGGACCAUUUUCAAUACUCUUUUUUAAGUAAUCUGGUGUUUAAUUUUGAAUCAAAGGGGCUUUCAUUAACAAAUAAUAGACUGUAGUUUUCAUAUAAGAAGAAAUCUCAAGCCUUUUUUUCUUGAAGGAAUCUUUAAAUUUUCUUUGAUACUUUAAAAAAUCAAUCUUCUUUGAUUUUUUAAGAAAUCUUUGAAUUUUCUUAAAGUCUUCAAAAAAAAAAAAAAAAAAAAAACUGAGUUUAAGGAAUUUUUUUAAUAACUCUCCAAAUUUCUUUGAUAUUCCAAAGUGUCCUUUAGAAGGGGACAAAUCCUCUAUUUACAGGAUUGAGAGUUUUAUUUUAAUAUUAUCUCUUAAUUUUUAAGAAAUAACUCUCUUAUUUAUGAUAAUUACUAUUUAUUUUAUUUAUCAUAAUUAGUUGCCUAUGAUAAUUAUCAUAAUUAAUUUUUCUAGAGAUAAAUAAUUAUAUAUAUUUAAUUAAUCAUGAUAACUAUAAUAUUUAUUUAAUUUUUUAUUAAAUUAUUUUACAUAACAUAUCAAUAUAUAUUAUUAGUCAAUUAUUAACACCGAAAAUUAAUGAGUUGGCAUAAAAUUUAUCUCUCUAUAAUAGUAUCAAAGCGAGCCUUAAUAAUAACAUUGCUUAUAGUCAAUUUCACAUGCCAACUUUUUACUGGGCAUUGGCGAUUUCAAUUUUGAUAGUCCGGUUAGAAAAAGUAGGUAAAGAUUAUUUGAUGUGGUAGGUCAUUUCUUUCAUAAAGACGAUGGCGGUGAAUUCAUGAGACAGGUGAUAAAGGAGAGAUUCUUUCUUUUGGCUUUGGAAUUUUAAUGAGGUCCUCGAUCCUCAUCCAAAAUACACCUCUCCAAUUAUAAAAAUCUUAUUAAAAAAAAAAAGAUUUGACAUGUGCCUUUCGAACUGCUGGUUUUCUGUUCCAAAAAUGAGAAUGGUUUCAAGUGGAUGAAGGAAGGUGAAGAACCCUUGGUUUUGUUAAGCGAAAAGCCACAUGAUUAAAUAAACAUAAGGCGGCAAAGGCUGAAAAUUUAAAAUUAUACUAAGGAACCCACCCCACAGGGCGACUACACUUUUGGUGAAGCCACGAGAAUGAAAGAUAUCGAAGGUGACACCAAGACAUUAAGCAGCACCAAGGUUUCGAUAUAUUAUAAGAUGGGAUCUUAUGAAAGACGAUCUCUAAUCUCUCUCCAAUCUCUUCUUUAACCUUUUCUUACUUAAAUCCAUUUCCAUGGUAGGGCACAUGUCCAGCUGACCCUACCCCCUCACCUACCUAUACUGCUAUACCCUUUUGUAUAAUUUGAUAUGGAUUGGAAGCCACCCCAACAUCUUUCUAAUUGCUCGUAAAUGUUGAGGUGCCUUUCCAUUUUGAGGCUGCCCUAAUGUGUGGCUGAAGUACGUAGGAAAAAAAAAUUGUGAUACAUGCACUGACGAAUCAAAUCCCAAUGUCAAAUUAUUAGACUCACCUGGUUCUUAAAUUAUUGUGAAUGCCGCUGGCCAUGGAUAAAUGGAAUUAGUGCGUGGCUUAAUGAAAAUUUAUUUUGAAAGGGAUAUUAAUUUGAGAGAAUUUUGGCUGAUACUUGGAGUUGAACGUAAGCAUAUAUGACCUCAUUUCGGGUGUGAUAUUGUGCUUAUAACGAACCUUUCGUUCUUUCCAAUUCCAGUGGGUAUUAAAUAAUUAAAGAAUUCAUGGUUCGAAGGCGAAAGGUAGAAGACCAAAAAGGGAUUACAAAGCCAUCGGCUUGACCAUCCAGAUGCAAUGGAUACAAACUUUGGACUCUAUCGAAAGUUCUUUGGGCACGUGCCCAAGUGUCCUACCCAUAUGAUAAGUUACACGUGGCUAAUUGCGGACCGGUUGCUCGUGCUAAACAGGGUACUUUUUCUACGCAUAUAAGAUGUUUCACUAGUGGGGCUUCACCAUGCAAACUCAUGGAUGAAGACCCUGAGGCCAAGAUGAAGGAACAGAAAGAAGGCGGAGGAGAGGUUCGGUAUCGAGGCGUUCGGAGGCGGCCAUGGGGGAAGUUUGCUGCGGAGAUACGUGACUCGACUAGGCAUGGAGCGCGCGUCUGGCUCGGGACUUUCAAUUCUGCGGAGGAGGCUGCAAGAGCAUAUGACCGAGCUGCUUAUGCCAUGAGGGGUUCCUUGGCGAUUCUCAACUUCCCUAAUGAGUAUCAUACACCCGGCACGGCUAGCUCUUCAGCUUCAUCCUCAAUGCCCGAAGGUGAUCAGCAGGGAAAACAAGUCAUUGAAUUGGAGUACUUGGAUGAUAAGCUGCUAGAGGAUCUUCUCGACUCUGAAGACAAAAAGAACAAGAAAACCUGAAGUUUCUGCUGCCUCGAAUCCCCUGAAAUCUAGUGCUUCAUCGAAAAAAAAUCCCCUCGCUCCUGAUUAACAACAUUUUUAUUUUAGUCAAUGAAUGUGUUCUCGGAUCAUUAUAAGUAUUUCUGCCGAAGUCCAUUGAUUUUUGGAGACUGAAAAAUGUCAGAAAAAUUGGUGCGAACAGGUUUACUCCUUUCUAAAUUAUGCAAUUGAAGUAUUUGGAUUAGUGCGCAGUGUAAACAUCAAGGAAAGCAUGAUCCACUAUUUUAAGGAGCCUAAGUGCUUUCCCCUUUACUCUUUUAGGAUGUCUUUUCAGUGAAGAAAGUUGGGAGACCACCACUUACCCUUUUGAUUGGUAUAUAACUGCCAACUAAUAACUGGACUAACAUUUGGCCCGUCUGGCCCUACUUCUUUGACUUUGUUGUUAAUUUAUAACUUUAUGUGAAGUGGGGGCUGUUUGGGAAUGUGUGAAGCAAGGAUUUGAGCCGACUUCGCCUAAUCUGAUUCUCCAUAAGUGACUUCAUUUUAUCAUAUUGGUGUUUUUUUUCUUCUUCUUUUUAAAUGGCUGGGGAGGAGGGGAUUUGGGAGGGAUGCAAUGCCAUGGUUGCAUGCUGGAUUAUCCUUCCAAAUGAAACAUCCAUUUGGUUUCUAGUAACUAAUUGCAAACAAUUAAAGAGAAUAAAAUUUUAAGAUGAUUAAACAAUAAGUACCUAUGUCCAUGAAAAGGAGAGAAGUUCACUCAUGGGUGUUCAUGAAAGACAUCACAAAGAACCAUCAAUAUGAGAAGAAUCCUGAUACAAUUAACUUUCAUGCAUAAGAAAAGACGCUCAAAAAAGAAUAAUGCUUACAAGGAAAGAAUCUCACUACGAUCAACUGAAAAAAUAUUCCAAUUUAAUUGGAAAUCCUUACAUGGGAAGAAUAUCAAUAAAAUCAACUAAAAAAAUAUUUUAAUUUUAUAUCAAAAUAUUUGUGAUUUAACCCGUAUCAUUUCAUCAUGACUUCUUAUAAAUUUUGUUCCUUUUUAUCAACACCACCCCUUGAGUUGGAGCAUAAAUAUUUAUUAAGCUAACUUGAACAAGAUCUUGAGAAAUUUUGUCGCAGGAUUUGUUUGCACUUUUUUUUUUCAAAUAAAGUCAUAAUUAACUUUAAUAUGUUUAAUCAUUUCAUGAAAUACUAGAUUUUAAGCAAUGUUGAUAGCAUACUUAUGCCUGAAAGCUUUAUCCCAAAUCACAUGAGUACAUGAAGUGAUUGCAUCAUUAAUGGUAGUAUUAUUACUUUAUAUUCAACUUCUCCACUUGAUAGGAUGCAUGAAAGCAUUGUGCUUUCUUCUGUUUCAAGUAAUAAAGAUUAUCACCAAGAAAGGUGCAAUUAAUACCUAGUAACAGAGUACCUAGUGGUAGCAUGCACCUAUCCACUGAACUUGUACUCGACUCUAUGAGUGUACGUUACAUAGUCCUUUUUUCGAAGUCUAAAUGUCCCUUGAUAAAACCUUCUAAUAUUUGAGGUUUUGGUAACAUUCAUGUAUCAAUGAACAAAUUAAUUUACUAGCUAAACUUUAAAAUUAGGCAAUGUUUUUCAAUGGGUGAUCAAGAUCUUGGAAUUUUCAAUGUUGUUUGAAUAGCUUCCACACACAAGCAUAUUUUCUCCUAUUUAGGAAUAAUCCCUUUUUUGAAGGUGUGAUCUUUAUGCUCAAAAAAUAAAGAUACUCAAAAAUUUAAUAUUGACCUUCUCGUGAAGGAAAAGCUUUAUAACUAAUUUUUUUUGUGCAUUAUAUAUAUCCUCAAUAUAGACUUUAAAAAAAAAAGAAGUAACUCCCUCUACAAAGAGUGAAGAGUCAAUUAAACUUUUUUUUUUUUAAAAAAAAGGAACCAAUUACUCGUAAAAGUAAUGAUUAUUUUUACAUACCAAACUUGAGGAGAUUACUUAAGAUCACAAAAGUUUUUAUUAAAUUGCAAGCUAGAUGCAUUUGAAACGAUCGUUGAUGUCUUAGCAACACCUUAUGUAACUCAUCAAUCUUUAUGUAAAAAUGCAUUUUUAACACCCAUAUAAAAUAAUGAUCAAUCCUAAUUUAAUAGAAACAAAUGGUAAUACAUGAAUAUCAUUCAUAUUAAUGAGAAAAGUAAAUAUUGAUUUAUAAUCAACUUCUUAAGUUUGUGUCAAUGCCUUAAUCAUUAGUUUAACUUUGUCAUUCAAUGAUACCAUCAUUACGACAUUUAAUUAACUUAGAUUUGCGUAAAUCCCUUAAUCACUAGUCUAGCUUUAUGUCAUUCAAUGGUACCAUCAUUAUGGUAUUUAAUUGAUCUUAUACCCCCAAUUUGUAUACCCCAUGUUUUUCUUAAUUUACCAUACAUCACUUAACAAUGUUCCAUGCAUGGAUUUUGUUAAGUGCCUUAAGUUCCUUUUGCAUAGCCUUUCUCCAAAUUGGAUGAGGAUUGGCUUCAUUAAUGUCAUUAGACUCAUGAUAUAUGGAACUCAAACAAUUGUUAAGUGAUUUUGUAUAUAUAUAAAAAAAAAAUUGUAAUUAAUGUGGUAGGCAUAAAAAUCUCACAAAUGAGGAUUGAUUAAUUGUUAUAAUUGAGCAACAUGCUUGAGGCUUAGUCACAAUACUAGAACUUGAAGUCAGACAUUCUCUUCAAAUAAGGACGUAUAUACAUUAUAUUGGAUCUCCAUUAAACAAGUAAAGAACUAUUUAGUAGACAAUGAAACCUCAUUGAUCAAUGGUGGUAGAGAGACACAUGAUGACCAGACUAUUCCCCUGGAAAUGAGAAUAAAAAAUAUCAUUAGCCGCAAAAAUCUCAAAAAAAUUUAGAUAAUGGGAUAUAAAGAGUUUAUGAAUUUUACAAUCAUAACUCUUAUACUGGUUUAAGUGGUAGAGUAAUCAAGAACACAAAACGAGUUUGAUGAGUGGUUGAGAUAUGAACAAAGCAAAGAUUUCCAAAGACACCAAAAUCAGAAAUCUCAAUUUUUGGGCUAAGGAUUUCAAGAAGAAAUUUAAAAUUAACUACAUGACUAGAAAAUUUGUUCAUCAAGGAAAUAGAAGUAACGAUAUCAUAACAUCAUAAUUAAUCAAUAUUUUUAAUAACAUGCAUUUGGAACAUGAUAUACCGGCUUUCUAAUAAUCAAUGAUUUUUGGUUCAACCACACCAUUUUGUUUUGGGAUGCCAAUACAACAAGUUUAACGAANNNNNNNNNNNNNNNNNNNNNNNNNNNNNNNNNNNNNNNNNNNNNNNNNNNNNNNNNNNNNNNNNNNNNNNNNNNNNNNNNNNNNNNNNNNNNNNNNNNNAUGUAAGUGCCAAAUUAGGUAGUGUCGACAAUGAAAUGGAAAUUUUGGAAUAUAGAAACAACCUCAUUUUUAUGUUCUAAUAAGUAAACCUAUGUAGCAUAAGAAUAGUCAUUAAAAAAAAAGGUAACAAAAUGUUGAUUUCCAUCCUAUGGAUCAAUUAGGACACAACCCCAAGGUAAACUAAUUUGAAAGUUGCAACAAAAAUGGAAAGAGAUGAAAAAAUAAUAGAGGAAUUUAAGGUUGUUUCAAAAUUUCAAGACAUGCUAAGAAACACAUGAGAUUAUAGAUGAUUAGGUAACAACCUUGGUUAAGUAUAUUCAACAUAUAUAUCCCACGAGGAUAAAUAUCUUCACUAAACUUUUCCUAUUAUUCAAUCCCCUAAUACCAUACAAGUGAAAAAUUAAUGUCACGGUCAAAAAUUUUAAUAAGCUUCCAAAGAGAUAAUAAUUUUGGGGAAAAAAACAACCUAAGAAACCUAUGAAUUGAGAUAAUUUAGGAAAAAACUAAAUGUUCGUUAGCUCUAGAAGGGAAUUGAAGCUCAUCAUCAAUAAAGAUUGUUGCUAUCUCGAAUAAUAUCAAGUAAACCAUUAAGAUCGCUAUUAAUGGUAUGAUUAGCAGCACCAAUUAUCGACAAAAAAAUUAUUAAAAAUAUAAGAAAUGAGAGCUUUAAGAUUAUCUAAUUGAUUUGUAAACCUAGGUAAGUGAAUCAGUAUUACGUUUUGUUAAGGAAGCUUAGAUCCAAUUGGUAUCAUUCACCAAGUUAUUGGAUUAAAUUACACUAUCAAACUUUGGCUUUAAAUGAGAAUGAAGAAUCUAACCACAAUCCUUAUUGGGAUUAGAUAUGUUAUUGCAAUAAUGUUUACAAUCGGAUGAGUGCUAAUUUCUAUUGAAAUCAUGAAGCAAUCUCUGAUCAUUGGUCUUCUUUGUAGAAACAUGAGCAUUGAAUUUAAAAUUAAUAAUUGUUACUUGGGAUUCAACCUUCAUAAUCAUUGCCUGGGUUUCCUAAUCACUUUCAAGAAUUACUUAUAUAGUGAAGGCACUCGAAACUAAUCAAAUUUGUCCUCUUAUAAAGUUGUCAUAUUCAAGCUUCAGAAUAGCCAAUAAUUGAAAAACUUAUCAUACUCCGCAAUUUGUUGAAGAAUAUUUGGGUCUAUUGAAGGGGACAAUAUAGGGAAUAUUUGUCCCAUAUGCUCAAAAUGUUCAAUUAACAAAGUGUUCUGUAUGUUUAGGGAUUUGUUAGCUUUAAUUACACAAAACAUUAGCAGUUUUAGAGAAAAUUAAUUUUUUUUUGCAAUCUUAGGUUCCAUGAAAUUAAAAAGCCAAUAACAAGUCAAUAUGGCUUGAGACCCAGUCAUCAUAUUCAAAGUCAUCCAACUUAGAAGCAUUCAUUUUGCCACUAACAUGUGCUAAUUUCCAUUUUCUAUCUUUCAAGAGAAAAAGACUGCUCUUAACCAUGGCAAAUAAUUGAACCCAUUAAGAAGAUUGAGGAAAGUAUCAUAUGAGGGUUGUCAUUUUCCUCCAUGACAAAGAAAAAGCAACAGAGAAAAACUCAUAAUAUUAGAAAGAGAAUGAAAGAAAUUGAGUCAUAGAUACACACAGAAGAAUCCAAAAAUAAAGCAAUAAUACAACCACAAAUAUGAGAAGAAGCUCAAUUACAAAGAAAGGAACUCAAUACAAUCAACUAAAAAGCGUUCCGAAGUUCAUACGAAAAUAUUCAUAAUGUGAAGAUCAUUUCAUGAUUCCUACAAUUUCUUCCUUCUACCAGUCCACUCCAUACAAGGUUUGAUCAACAACUUCUUCAUUGAUUUUCUGGUCUCUCUCCGGUGUAUCAUAGAGCAUUUUUGACAUGUUUCUGCAAGAUACACUUGUUAACUUUAAGCGACAUAAGUGCAAAAAAAUAAGAUCAUGUUGUAUUGCCUGUGCUUCCACUCUGCCUUGUUUAGUACUAUUAUGGAGCAGUACUUCCAUAUAGAACCAGUGAUCUCCAGUUCAUUAUGUUGCCUUCUUUAAACUAACUUUAAUUAUCUAUACAUAUAAAACAAAGUGGUCCCAUCAAGGGGCUAAAUCAAGAAUCAAGUGGGGCGAACAGGAAACAGUGGCAUCAAUUUUUAAGUCCAUAAGCUUUAAUAAAAGGAAUAAAACCAAGGAUAUGAAUAUGUUAUUUUUUCAUUUGUUCAUGCACUGGAAGAUCUUUCCUCUUCAAGCAUUGAACCAGCAUCCUUCUGUGCAAGUUGCUGUCGGAACCUUCUAUAAUUGUCAGAAGUCUGUUUCUGAAAUAUACAGAUAAAACUUUUAGCAAGUCUUGACAUUGCUCAUCACUAGGACAUUGUACUAGGAUACCAAUUCAUCUAAUUAGGGUUAAGUUGGCAUCUCGUACACUAUUUUUUAUUUUUCCUUCAUCUUUUGUUCCCAUUUGCAGUGGAAGUGGCACUUAGAAUAUCUGAUCAUGAAGAAUUAGCUUUCGGUGAGAUGAUACUAGGUCAAUUGCCAUUAUCUUUUUGAGUUACUGUGCGAGCAAUCUUGAAAAUAUUUUGGGAUAAAUAGAAUUUGUGCUUAUCAUAAACAUGCUAAACAUCCAAAUCAAGUGCUUUUACUAUUGAUAUCAAAUCAGUAAUUGAUUUUAACCUUUAUGCUUAUCUUUCAGAUUCUCAAUUAUGUAUCUUGAAUAAUGAUAUUAAGCAGAAAUCAUGAAUUGAAUUGCUUUAAUUAACUGUGCCUUAUCAAGCUUGUCAGCAGUGCUAUUGCUACCGCGAAUCAAAUUCGCUGUGCUUCCCGCCUUCUCCAAAUAAGCCACAAGCCCAAUUAUAUCCGCCCUCCUCCCAUCUCCAAGGGAUCAAAAAAUAAAAUGACUUCAAUCAAUUUUCAAGUUUUCCAUCUUGAUCAGUAGACCACCCGGCAUGAAUGUUACCCUCAGUUUAGGAAUAGGAAUUCCUUUUACUAAUCAUUUGGCACUAAAAACUAUGACCCCUAGCAAUUCAUUCCCUCCAUUAGAUAUCUGGGGGCAUCUUGGCUCAGCCAAAAAUGAUAAGUCAUUGCAUUUCACAUUGCAUUCAUUUGUAUUAAUGAGCUAAUUUUUUUUCACAGAAUGUGAUGUGAAUCGAAUUACUUCCAACCAUGUGUCUCUAUAAGGGUUUAACAAAUGUAAUUUGCAUUGUCUGUACACUUUUUUUUCGGUUUCUUUUCUUUUUUAUGCAUGAUUCAUUAGUCCACGGAUCUUCUAUGCAAAGUGUGCAGGCCAAACACCUCCUUCAAUGCAUUAUUCUAGAAGUUAAGACUCAGUUUACUCCUUAAUUGAUCUGUUCCAUUUACUUCAAAUCAUUUGAUUACAUUAAAUGAAUCUUGAAAUUCAAAAAUGCAUCAAAGUUAAAAGACCUUCCAAUGCAUUAAGAAAUCAUCUGAUACAAAUAUAUGUGAACCUGCAACAACAAUAAUGUCAAAAUGGAAAACUUAGGUAGAAAAUAUUAGAACGGAAACUUACGACGAACUCAAUUUUUGGCGCCUUUCUUCUUCUCAUCUUCUGAUCCAAGAAGCUCUUCCAACACCGUGUCAUCCAAACACUCGAACUCAAUGACUUGCUUUUCUUGCCCAGAAGAGGAACCUCCCAUCUCUAAACUCCUACAAGGCCCAGAAGAUGACGAGGAAGACGAUGAGGAUGGUGAUGGUGGGGGGCGAUGGGAGCCCAUGAUUUCAGAAUAGUACUCAUUAGGAAAGUUAAGAAUGGCAAGAUGACCCCUUAAGUUAAAGGCCGCUCGAUCAUAGGCGCGAGCUGCAUCCUCCGCCCUGUCAAAUGUGCCUAGCCAUAGACGAGCACCUUGCCUAGACGGAUCCCUAAUCUCGGCUGCAAACUUCCCCCAUGGCCUCCUCCUCACCCCUCGGUAUCGAACUUCUUCCUUUUCCUUCCCUUCCUGCUCCUGCUUCUCAUUCCCUUUCGAAUGAUCUUCCAUGCUAAACGUGUCGAUUUGCUAGGCGCAAUUUUUUUGGUUUCAAAUGUGCUGGUUUACGAGAGGCAUGGAUGCUUAUGUAUAUAUAUGGUUGCCACAGUCAGGUCUGACGUCACCGCUCAAUGUAUGUUCCACAGCGUGGGUUGACGAGCUUUCUGAGGGGGUUUCCUCGAAUUCAAAGCAAGUAUAAAAAUUCGAUUCUCCGACCUUUCCAAUGAGGAUCGAACAGGCCUUUUAUUAGAACCGUAUGAUAACUCCACACUGUUUUCAAAUAGUCAAUGUGAUCUAGAUUCUUCGUUAAUUUUUUCCACCUGACUGAUUGUUUACAAUUUUAUUUUUCACCGUCCCAAAUUUAAACCAUUUACGCGAUUCCCUGGAUUGCAUUUUUCUUUAAUGUUGACUUUACGAGGCAAUAGGACCCCCCAGCAACCCCACUAGGGCGACUUCAUGGGAACCAGAUUACUUUUGGAUCCAGAUAUGGUCCAGAAGAAAUAAGACAAAUCAAUUAAUGUCCACUAAAGUUUUGAUGGAACCCUUAGUCCGUGUUUCCUGUGGAUGUAUGUAUUGUAUGCACCUCAAUUUUCACCAAUCCCUGCUACGAGUCCCUUUAAUUUUGACGUUAUAAAUGUUUUUCCUGACAUUAGCAGAGUGUUUUUCUGCCGUCUUUGAGGACCUUCCACGGCCCAUAAACUAAUAAGGAUCGUCCAGUGAAUUUAGUCUUCCCCAGUUAAUUAUCCUGCGAGGGAAACUUGGGCAGUAAGUUGCCUACAUGAGUGGCUCCCGCCUACAUGAGUCAAGGGACCAUACGUCAGGACGACAACCAGUGUGGUCACACCAAAGUGGGUUGCCUGGACUCCAGGGUGGUCGCUUCAAAGUUGUCAAAUGAAGGCUAGCUUGGCAAGUUUUGGAAAACAAUUAUUGAAAAACAUUUUUCAUGAAUAACAGUUUCUAUGAACAGAUUUUAAGAAAGUUUAUUUUGUGAUUUUUAGGAAUAUUUUUAAUUUAAAUUUUUAUAUUUUUAAUUUUUUAUUAAUUUAUUGAUUAUUUAAUAUUAGCUUAAUUAAUGGAUUUUUCUUGGUCCCAAAUUAUUAAUUUAUCAAGAUUUAAUCGCAUCCAUAAUUAGUCUAAUUUCUUUUGGAGUGAGUGUGACAAAGUGCAAAUUUCUAGAGUUUUAUUAAUGUUAUUCAAUGUCAUAAUUUAACUAAUUAUAUUAAUUAUUUAUUAAUCAAAAUAAAUCAUUCACUUGAAAUAUGAUAAUUUAAAUUAAAAGUUUCAAUUAUUUAUUAAUUAGCAAAGUAUGAACUUUUCUUCUUGUUUUAUUAUUGUUAUUCCAUGUAUAUAAUUUAAUUAACUGUUUCCAAUAUUAAUCAAUAAAAAUAGAAUAUAAGCAUGAGAAGAAUUAGUAAAAUUCAUUGAUUUGGAAUUAGAUAGCUAGAGGAAGAACUUCAUCAUCUUCCCAUUACUUAAAUUUGUAUAAAUUCUAAAUAUUUAAACCCCCCCCCCCCCCCCCCCCCCCAAAAAAAAAAAAAAUGGUAAAGAAAGACUCCCCAAGCUUUCUUGGUUGGUGUUACCCUAAAAUUUGUACAAUAAGAUGAACCAUUUGGCUUAAAGCUUGGUGCGAAACCCCUUAUCAAUUGAAAAUAUCAAUGAAGUUGUUGAAUGGUUUUAGAGGACUAUUCUUAUGCAGAGUGGCAUAAGAAGCGAGGAGAUGAAGAGCGGAGAGACGUUAACAUCGGAUGCUGCUACGAAGGUGGGAAUACGGUUAAUUAAUUAGAUUUUGUGAUGGCUUUGAGUUUGAAGGAGUUAGUUUAAUGGGUAUUAUUAGUGAACUGAUAAUUGGAUUUGAUGUAAAGAAGGUUGGUCCAUUGGAUUAGCAAUUGGUUUGGCCUUUUGGGGGCCCCAUUUCCAAAUGCAUUGCCUUUUACAAGCAUUCAACAUCGCUGGACGUAACCAGGCUUGGUUCACCUAAAAGUAUCGCAUGGAUUGAAUUGACUAAGUUUUCAUUGUAGACUAGCCUUGAUUUUCCCUUGACCUGCCCACCAAAUCCUGAUGCCCACGCGAGGGAAUACCUCAAUUUUCUAAUAAUUUAUGCAGUUUCUCUUCAAAGCUCGUGUGAUCACUUGGGUCGGUAAAAUAAUGCAUUCCUCUACUUUUUCUCCCUUCCUAGAUGCAUGUUAUACCAUUAAUUCAAAUGUGAACAUGGGCUUGGCUUUGAAACUUGGUUCAAGGCCCAACAUGUUGACCCACAAUUGAGGUGUAAUUGAAUUUGUACACUUUUCGACUUUGAUACCAUUUGUCAUUACCAUUGACAUUGGGUCAUUGUUGAUUUUGAGUCCACAACUUUUAAGGUUGUUAUUACAAUUUUAAAUUGCGCCCACCCAAUUUAUAUGCAUUAUCCCUUAUAAAUACCGAUAACCUCUCUUUCUUCGAUAAUAUAAAAUGUCACAUAUAUUAUAUAUCUCAAUGUUUUCUUUUACUUUUUUUUUUUUUAUCGAUCGACAUUCUCUCUCAGAUGAUAUGAGAUGUCACAUAUAUUAUAUGUUUCAAUGUUUCUUUUACUUUUUCUCUUUUUCCUCAUGAUUGACAUUGUCUUUCUCAAAUGAUAUGAGUUGUCACAUAUAUUUUAUGUCUCAAUGUUUUCUUUAACUUUUUUUCUCUCUUCUUUAAUGAUCGACGUUCCUUUUCUCAGAUGAUAUGAAAUGUCAUAUAUAUUAUAUGGCUUAAUGUUUUCUUUUACUUAUUCUUUCUUUAUUAAUAAUCGACAUUUUAAGCAAUAUGUGAAUAUAAAGCAUUAAAAUUAUCUCCAUCGUUUUUGGAUGUGGUAUAAAUACACAAUUCUUAUUUUUGUUUUAAAUAUUUCUAUUGCUAUCUAUUGAAAUUUUAUGCAUGAAGCUACCAAGUUAAUUAUACAUAUAUCUUAAGAUUUUUUUUUUUUUUUUUUAUAGGAUAUAUUGUCCAUGAAUAUUUUCUGCAAUGGUAUCUUGUUUGAUUACUAUAAGAAAUAAUAUAUAUAUAUAUAUAUAUAUAUAUAUAUAUAUAUAUAUAUAUAUAUAUAUAUAUUAUAUUUCAAUGUUUCAUAUUUGCUUAAAAUAAAAAUUAUAUUUUAUCACAAUAUUUGGUAUUAAAAAAAAUGAAAUCUCUCUCAUUUAUUAUUACAAAAAAAUUAUAAUUUAUAAUUUUCUAAAUAAGUUUUAUUUAUUUGCUAACUAUAUUCAUGAUUAAAAGAUUUAAAAUUUAUAAAUAAAAAAUAUUAUGUCAUGUCAUUAAAUAAAUAAAAAUAUAUGUAUAUAUUAAAAUUAUGUUUUAUUGUAGCUUUUAAUAUUUUUUUUUUUAUUCUUUUCUUUUUUGAACUACAAUUUUAAUUUUUUUUAAUCAAAAUUUUUUAAUUUACAAAACGAGUAACAUAAAACUUGCCUUUGAACUUUAUUGGAAUGUUAUAUACUACCAUUUGGCUUUCAAGACAUUAGAAAAGGCAUAAGUGUCCCUUUUAUUUUUCCGAAAGGCAUAUUAGACUAUAGUAGGAAGUGUUGUAUAGAGGCAACUAAAAGUUGCCUUUAACUUUAUGAAGUCAUAUACUCCUCUUUGGCUUUGAUGACAUCAACUAGCAAAUUGGAUUUUGUUUCCUUUGCAACAUUUUUCCAUCCAUUAGCCAGUUUUUUUAUACUGUUUGGUGCUUGCCAACAUGGCACACACUAUGGUUCUUAAAAAGUAUUUUUUUUUUUAAGAUACUACGAAAUAAAAUACACGAUUGAAAGAUGAGUCACAAUAAUUUUCAAAACUAAAUUUUUUAAUAUUGUUAAGAAAAUUUGACCACCAAAUGAUUGAUUUUAAAUUACAAAUACUUUUGUUAGCUAAGAAAUUUGUUGUUCUAUUUGUUUCCCUAUAAAUAUGACAACAAUCAUAAAUAUUUUCAUUUUAAGAUAAUUUUCAAAUAUCUUCCAUUAAUAAUAUAAUAGAAUUAGGAAUUUUUUUUUUAGUUAUAACAAUCUAUAAUUAUUUAAGAGUCUUCCUCAAUCUCUAGGUUUAAGAACUUAUUGUUCUUAACAACUAACAUGUCAUCUCUUAAAAUAAUACAUUCUGCAAUAAUUAUUGAAAUAUGAUAUAAUAUAUAUAUCUACUUACAACCAUUUUUGUAGUACCAUUAGAAUUUUUAAUUACCCAUUCUAAAGUAUUUUUAUUCUCUAUUCUUAAACCAUCAAAAUUUAAUUUAAAUCUUUCAUUAAUUGGAUAAAUCCAAUGAAUCUAACAAGUUAAAGGAUUAUGAAUCCGACAAAACAGUUGAUAAUAAAUUAAUAAUGCCAUUAAUAUGAUUUUAAUGUGAAACACAAUUAUCACAUUUAAUACAGUUAGUCCUUGUAUGAUUAAUGUUUUGGAAGCUAAAAUCAAUCUUUUGACUAUAAUAAGAGUUUCUACUAUUUCUAUUUUUGGAUGAUUUUAUAUUUUUCUUAUUGUUUUAGUUUAAUACAAAAAAUAAAAAUAAAAUUACAUUAGUAGAAUUUUUUUAACUUACUCAAAAACCUAUUUUAGUUGAAUGAUUUUUUUAAAAAAAAUAUAAAUAUUUUGUUAAAAGGGAUAAAAUAACCUUACCUUGUGAAAAAGACCUCUUCACCCAAGAUUACUUGUUCAUAAUCCUUUUAAGACGAAAAUGCCCCCUUCCUAAAAAAUAUUUCAUCUUAAACUUAUUUUUCUUUUUAUUGCCCUUUGUUCCAUCCUUCCGGCUUGGGAGAGAAAUUCAUUCUUCUUUUGCGAAGAAAAAUUCCUAUUGCGAUUUUUCAUUUCAAGUGGAAAAAAAAAUUCUUAUUUCAUUUUAAAGAAAUUGUACAUUUUCAAUCUUUCUCUUUGUUCCUAGUUGAGGGUUUUUUUUGUAAUUUUAUCUUAACACUACAAAUUUAAAGGUGAGAUUAAAUCUUAAUGGUUAUUAGUUAAAUCACAUAUCUAACUUUGUUUUUGUCAGGACCUAUAAUAUGAUUGGAACCACCAUCCAAACUUCAUUAGGUGGGAUACUCCCCACCCUCCCCCUCCCCCCGCGAAAUCCUUGGAUUUUAGUUUUGACUUGGAUUUCAAUUGCCCGUAUCAAUUUUUCUUUAUUUAUUAAUUUAUUAAUUUUCAACUUUAACAAAAGCCUUGAAUCAUAUUUAAAUUCAAAUAACUUAAUCCUAAUUAAGUUCUUUUUAAAUAAAAAUUAAUCAUUGAAAAGUUCAUGUGACUAUUAUAAUUGAGAAUUUAUCCCAAGUUGGGUUUUUUGCAAAUAAAAUUUUAUUAUAGGACAUCAUGAUGCAACAUAACAUAAGGUUGUUACUUAAGUUUGUUUUGACCUUGUAAUAUGUUAAAAUGAAAAUGAAGCCAUUGUAACAGGAGAGAAUGAUGAAGCUGUGGAGAGAGCUUAACAAAGCUUGGGUUGGAGAGACUUCACAGGAAGAGAGAGAGAGAAAUAAAGGGUAAAAUUAUCAAAAGAGAAAAGAAAAAAAAAAAAAAAAAAGAAGGUUAUGUCUUCAAAUAAUCAAUAAGAGAUGUCAUUUUUCUAAUUUUCAAAGUUCUUUUGGUCCUUCUCUACAAAUAUCCCUAUAAAAAUAUUAUAAUAUCAAGUUAAUUUGUCAAUACCAAAAUUUAUAUUUUAUAUUAGGGCGACUAAAUAACAUAUAGAAAGAAUUUUAAAUGAGUAAAUCAAAUCAAUUUUGAAACCAAAACUUAAUAAUUACCAAACUUGUAAUCUUAGUCAUUAAAAGUGUACGAUGAAAUCUAAAUUAUUAAGCAAUGAAACAAAAAAUUAAGAUUAAAAUACAAAACGUUAAAAUCAAGAUACAAACUAUUAAAAUGUAAGUGGGAUAUGAGAUGAUAUUAUAAAAAAUAGUGUGAUCCAACAAAAAGUCUAGUACAUCAUUAUCUUCACUUCCAACCAUGUUUAAAAGGUCACAAGUUCUAGCGGUUUCCAAGGACAAUGUUAAAAAUAAUAAAAAUAAAUCCAAUUAAAUAUUAAUUAAUUUAUUUGAAUUUGAGUCCGACAAAAUAGUUGGUAAUAAGUUAAUAAUGCCAUUAAUAUGAUUUUAAUGUGAAACACAAUUAUCACAUUUAAUACCCGUUAGUCCUUGUAUGAUUAACUUUUUAGAAAUUAAUAUCAAUCUUUUGAUUAUAAUAAGAGUUUCUACUAUUUAUAUUUUUGGAUGAUUUUAUAUUUUUCUUAUUGUUUUAGUUUAAUACAAAAAAAUAAAAAUAAAAUUACAUUAGUAGAAUUUUUUUUAACUUAUUCAAAAAACCUAUUGUAAGGUGAAUGGUUUUUUUAUUUUUUUUUUAAAUAUAAAUAUUUUCUUAAAAGGGAUAAAAUAACCUUACCUUGUGAAAAAAGGCCUCUUCACCCAAAUUUACUUGUGCAUAAUCCUUUUCAGACGAAAAUGCCCCCUUCCUAAAAAAUAUUUCAUCUUAAACUUAUUUUUCAUUUUUAUAACCCUUUGUUCCAUCCUUAUGAUUUGGGAGAGGAAGUCAUUCUUCUCUUGUGAAGAAAAAAUUCCUACUGCCAUUUUUCAUUUCAAGUGAAGAAAAAUAUUUAUAUUUCAUUUUAAACAAAUUGUACAUUUUCAAUCUCUCUUUGUUCCUAGUUGAGGUUUUUUUUUUUUUUUUUUUUUUUUGUAAUUUUAUCUUAAUUGUACAAAUUCGAAGAUGAGAUUAAAUCUAUAAUGGUUAUUGGUUAAAUCACUUAUCUAACUUUGUUCUUGACAGAUCGUAUAAUAUGAUUGGAACCACCAUCCUAACUUUAUUAGGUGGGAUCCCUUUUUUUUUUUCCCCAAACCCUUGGAUUUUAGUUUUGACUUAUAUUUCAAUUGUCUGUAUCACUUUUUCUUUAUUUAUUAAUUUUCAACAAGUUCUUUAACAAAAGCCUUGAAUCAUAUUUAAAUUCAAAUAACUUAAUCCCCAUUAAGUUCUUUUUAAAUGAAACUUAAUCAUGUGAAAGUUCAUGUGACUAUUAUAAUUGAGAAUUUAUUCUUAGUUGGGUUUUUUGUAAAUAAAAUUUAGUUAUAGGACUGUGAUGAUCCGUUCUCAACCGUAUAAAUAUUGUUCGUUUUGAAUUCAAAAUAACUUUUACGGCUUUAAAACAUGUUUACAAGAUUAAGAGGAGUCCAUAUUUAUAUAGCUUCACGAACUUUCCCCCCUAUUCGAUGUGGGAUGUCACAAGGACAUCAUGAUGCAACGUAUAACAUAAGAUUGUUUCUUAAGUUUGUCUAACCUUGUAAUGUGUUAAAAUGAAGAUGAAGCCAUUAUAACAGAAGAGAAUGAUGAAGUUGUAGAGAGAGCUUAACAAAGCUUGGGUUGGAGAGACUUCAUAGGAAGAGAGAGAGAGAGAGAGAGAGAAAUAAAGGGUAAAAUUAUCAAAAAAGAAAAAAGAAAAAAAAGAGGGUGAUGUCUCCAAAUAAUCAAUAAGAGAUGUCAUUUUUCUAAUUUCAAAGUUCUUCUGGCCCUUCUCUACAAAUAUCCCUAUAAAAACAUUAUAAUAUCAAGUUAAUUUGUUGAUACCAAAAUUUAUAUAUUAUAUUAGGAUGACUAAAUAACAUAUAGAAAGAAUUUUAAAUGAGUAAAUCAAAUCAAUUUUGAAAUCAAAACUUAAUACCUACCAAACUUGUAAUCUUAGUCAUUUAAAGUGUUCCAUGAAAUCUAAAUUAUUAAGCAGUGAAACAAAAAAUAUAAGAUUAAAAUACAAAACGUUGAAAUCAAGAUUCAAACUAUUAAAACGUAAGUGGAGACGUAAGAUGAUGUCAUAAAAAAUAGUGGGAUCCAACAAAAAGUCUAUUAAUCAUUAUCUUCACUUCCAAUCAUGUUUAAAAGGUCACAAGUUCUAGCGGCUUUCAAGGACGAUGUUAAAAAUAAUAAAAAUAAAUCCAAUUAAAUAUUAAUUAAUUUAUUUGAACAAUAGAUAGGACCAAAAUAAUAUUCUAAAAGGAAUCAUAGGGAAGUCCUUGGACAACCUACGACAUUGAACAAAGGUACAGUGAGACAAUGCACUUAGCCCUUCCUUGUCAUUGCGAUGAAUAUAAAAAGACACCCUGAUUGAGGGUGCCCCACUAAGCCAAGAGUGAUUCUUUUGUAUUGUAUAACGUGAAUAUUUUUGAACUUUGAAUGACCCUUCCUAUAGUCAUCAUUGUCAAAACUAGAAAAUCAGAAAGAUGCGAUGUACGAAGGCACCAUUGAAUAAGAGGCUUAAUUCUCUUUGGCAAUUAGGAUAAAGUUUCAAAAUAGAAAAAUUAAACAAAUGUACAGUGUACGGACACUUGGGCAUUGCCUAUUUGUUUUGUUCUUCUAGAGUUGUAUAUGGUAAAGGUCAUAUUGGGUUGGUUCUAUUUGGUUAUUGAAGUCGGCUAGAAUAUUAGAUUUGGUUUCAAUCUAAUCCCAUAUGAUAUUAGAAUACCAGCCCAUACAGAAUUUUUGACCAAAUAUAAUAUUUCUUUUAAAUAUAAAUAUAGUAAUUAAUUUUAGUCUAAGAUUAAUUAUGUAGUUUCCUAAAGAGACCACUUCCUAAACGGUAGCUAUGUGGAAGUUGGGCCAGGUCCUGCCGAGAAGGUUUCCACGAGCUGAGCCCAAAACUGAGUAGCUGUGAUGGGAUCAUUCUAGCAUUCAGCCUGAAACUUGUAACAUAACGGAUCGAGAGGCCUGAACUCCAAGACCAUGGUUCGUCAGCCCAUUAACUUCAACAGCACGCAUUUUAGAGGACUGGGCUUGCAAGGGGUGAGGUUUCCGGGCCGCGACCCCAAAUAUGAACAGCCUCAGAAGUGAUAUUGCUUACUGGCACGUGAAGAGCGCAAGCGUAACUAGAAGAUUUGUAAUGCCGCUUUAAUUGUUUGAUUAUAGAAUCCCACGCAUUACGCAUGGAAAGUGUAAAAGAUAAAAGAUGUAGAAUUUUUUCUUAGAGAAAAGUUCGUUUGGAUAUAGUUAUUGUUUUUUUUUUAAAUAAUAAUUGUUUUUUUUAUAAAUUAUAGAUAAUCUUAGAAAUUUAUCUUUAAAAAAAUAGUUUUUAAAAAUAUUUAAGGAGAAUAAAAGUGAUAAAAAAAAACUUUACAAUUUCAAAUUUUUAAAAAAUGAAAAUUAUUUUUAAGAAUAUAAGUUAAUCUCCUGCAUUUAAAUCUUAGGUGGUUUUUGUUUUUUUUACUUUUCGCUGAAAACAAUUUGUUUUCAAAAUUUAGGUCAUUUGUUUUUUCUAUUUUUUCAUGAUUUAUUAUAAAUUUUUUACUAAAUAAAAAAAAUCAAAAUAUGUAACUUUUUCUAAAUAAAAAAAAUAACGUAUUGAUUUUUCUUUACUUUUUAAUACUUAAUAGAUAUAAAAUACUACAAAAACAAAAAAUCUAAUAUUUAACACUAUUAAGCAUUAAAGUUCUAUUUAGAAUUAAGUAAAAAAACAAACACCACCUUAUAUUUUAUAUAAAAGUUACUUAUAUUUUGGUUUUUGGAAAUAAAAAAUAUAAAGCAUAUCCAAACAUGAGCUUAGCUAUUUUAAAUCAUAUCAAAAUAAUAAUCCCAAUAAGGUAAAUGGACUUUUAUACGGAGAAUAAUCUUUAAGGUUUUCAUUUUUAUUGGAUUUUUUUUUUGUGGUGUUUUUUCAAUCCAUCUUCUCAAUUAAUUCCUUAAAAUUAUUUUACUGUUUUUUUUUUUUUCAGUUUCUAAAUAUUUGAUUUUUCCAAAAUGCUUAAAUGGAAGACACUAAUUUUUCAAGAUAUUUGGUAUUACAAUUUUCCCUGUUCUCCCUAUUAUCUAUCAGAUUCAUGGCCCUUUUGUUUUUUCAUUGGUUUUCAAUUUAAUUUUCCAAAUAUUACAUUGUUGUGUUUUGAAUUUGUGAAACCAAUUUUAUAUAUAUAUAUAGUAUGUAAGUCUACUUUGGGUAACAUGUACAGAGAGGUUUUCAUGUGUUUGAAACCUUUUACCUCAAAAAUUAAUUAUUUUUAAUUUUAUAAUAAAUCUUUUUUUAUUUUUUAUUUUAUUUAGGAAAGCCUAUAUUUAAACUACAUGUUUGCAACGCAACACCAUACAUACUCCUAGUGGAACUUACCUUAGUGCUUGAGGGGGAUGCAGAUCUUCUUCUAAACCUAACUAAUAAGCAUAAAAUUGUUCACUAAUUAGCAUAUCUAGUAAAUCAUACAAAUUGGCAAUAUUUCAUGUUUUUCAUGUUUUGUCAAUAAAAGGCGUCUUGACCAUUUUGUGAGUUUUGUAAUAAAUAAAAAAAAAAAAAAAAAAAGGGCAAAAGGUGACUAAAAUGAGGCACUUUGGAAAGGUUAAUAACCUAAAAGGAAGAUGAAUUAAUACCCCCUUAUUCCUCUUCAAAAACCAUUGAGAAAAUGCAAGAAAUGCUCUUAGUUGUAUGCUAGGCUAACAGCCUAGCAACCAUAAUACCCUUCUUUGCAAUUGUAAGCAUUUUUUUUUUUUUUUUGAAGGCCAAACAACGUUGCAAACUUCCCAAAUCCCUUCUUUAUUUUUUAUUUUUUUAUUUUUGUUUUUAGAAGGAGAAUGAAUUUGAUGACAAACUCCUUGUCAAUCUUAUCCAAACCACGAUCGAACAGAACUCCUUGUCAAUCUUAUCCAAACCGUGUUCCACCUCAAAAACAUGUGUAGGACUUAAGGCAGCAACUGGCAAGCAUGACUGAUAGGGCCAAGUGCCCUUGUCUCUACAAUCCAUUAAGUUAACCAAGGGCAGUGAACCAUCAUUCUUUUCAAAAGCUUCAUUCCGUGUUGAAAAUGUGAGACUGAAGCAUGGUGCCCCCAAAAAUAACGAUCUAUUUACUAGCAGCAUGCCUGGACCCAUUAAAAAUACUCUACUUUAGGAAUAGAAAAAAUUACAUCUUUAUCCAAUAAUUUUAUAACAAUUCAGACGUUUCAGUCUAUAAAUAAUUGUACAUAGUUGCCAACGUUUAGCUAGUUUCAAAUGAAUAGCCUAGGUUCAUGCACCAGUUUGGCUGGUGGAGGAAAGGGAUUCGAGACAUUGAACCCUCUUUUUAGUGUGCCAAAUAUUCCACAAAAAUCACUACCUUCUCUUUGUGUUUGUUCACUUUUAGUUUAUAUUUAAUAAAUCUAUGUUUUCGAGUAGAGGUUGGGUUCAGGUGCGACCCACGUCACCUCUCGGACGGUCUUGAAAAAGGAGACCGGACCACGUAAUUUCAAAUGUAGUGACCAUCUCACUUUUACCUCCAUCCUUGAAGAUGGUUUCCCAAAUCAAUAUUAAUCUUUUGUUUACGACAAUAUCGAUCACUUUAUGUCUAUAUCGUUGUUAAUUUACCUUUUUUUUUUAGCCACAUUAUUUGAAAAUUGAUGCAAACUUUACCAACAUCUUGGUACCAUUUUAAAAUAUUAGAGUUAUUUGAUUAAAAAAAUAAAAUAAUCUCGAUAACUUGUUUAUAAAAUAAAUAUCUUUUAACAUUUAGACUAUUCUCACGCAUGCUUUAAAAUUGUAAAGAUAUUCAUAAAGUGGAACUUUAGACUUAAUCAAUAUCGAUCACUUUAUGUCUCUAUUGUUGUUAUAUUUUUUUUUUACAACAUUAUUUGAAAAUUGAUGCAAACUUUACCAACAUCCUAAUACCAUUUUAAAAUAUUAGAGUUAUUUGAUUAAAAAAAUAAAAUAAUCCCGACAACUUGUUUAUAAAAUAAAUAUCUUUUAAUAUUUAGACUAUUUUCACCAUGCUUUAAAAUCAUAAAGAUAUUUAUAUUCAUAAAGUGGAACUUUAGACUUAAACAUGAUAAUAGUUUUUUUACAAUAUUAUAAUUAUUUUAUCGUUUUAAUUAAGCCCUUUAUCAUACAUAUAAAUGUAAAUUAAUGCUAAAUUUUUAAAGCAACGUAUAACCUUUUACAUCUUUUUUUAAGAUGGUGCGAAAAUCCUAUGAAAAAUAAUAAAAGUCGAUGCAUAAGAAGAUUGUUUUGAUAAUUCAAUAGAAAAAUUCUUUUAAAAUGAUAUUAAAAAAUACCCAUAGAGCCUUUAUUAAAAAAAUCAAUUAUUUUCAUAAUAAAAAUUAUAAUUUUUUAUUAUGUAUUAUUAUUUUUAAGUAUCUUUAUUACAAAUACUUUUUUUGAGUUUAUGAGAGGAAUCAACAGGUUGGUACAAGCUUAGGCGUCCUCGUACAUGUUCCCGCUGUGCAAGGUUUUUGUCUUGUUUCGAGCUAGUCGGAAUUUACGUGUUUGAUAACGUUUUGUCCUAUUUUUGUAACGCUUUAAAGGGCGGCCCACCGUUGGAACAGUUCAAGCCAUCCAAAUCAGCCCGGAGGGUUAUGGCGACGUGGCAUGACGCCUACCACCUUAGUUCACAUGAACCCUAUGAUCGUACUACCCUCACAUGACAUCUGUGAUUCUUCACCUCCAAACCCUCUUUAACUUGGUAAUGUAUUCAAAGCUUCAUCAAAUCAUAGCGAUUAGCGACCCUCUUCCACCCUAAUUUUAUAAUAAAAAAUAAAUCUUAGUGGACAUUAAAGUAGUAUUUUGUGGGGGGAAAGAAAAACUCUAUGGGCGUAUCCACUAAAUACGAGCCAAGUAUAAGAGUUAUCACCAUGGAAUCAAAUUAUGAAGCAUUGACAUUUUAAUUGUAUUCAGAUUUGAGGAGGGCACCGCGGCACCAGCUGGCCCAGUGUAGUCUGCUAGCCUACCCGCCAUAAUGACCAAAUUAAUAAAGUAAAAAGGAUUACAGGGAUAUUCCCAACUUUAUUCUGGGUCUGAGCUGGAACUUGGGAGUUAUCACGAUCAACGGGAAAGAUGGUGGGUAGGGGACGAGGAUUGAGGGCUCCAUAUUCACAUCAGUGAAAAACGAAAUGUAUUGAGACAAGUCUUCUAAGGAUUUUCUAGCGUAUUAUAUGGUUUAAAUGAUUAUAAAUCUGUAGUUACUGGUAAAGAGUAGAGAGUGAAGACGAAAGACGUUGAGUGAAAAGGAAGGAGGAGAGGGGAUGGGGCCAUCUUACCGUGUCGGGGAGGAUCCAUAAAAGGACUACGUUCCCUGAAUCUGUAGGCAUCAUGCCUCGCCUAACGGGUUAGUCAAAAUACAGUGAUGUGUGUGAGUUGGGGGCCUCACUCCUCAUUUCUUUCCUUCUUUUCACCCCCACCCCCACUUUUUUUUUUUUUUUUUCGAAUUUUUCUUUGUCCUUUUCUCUCACUUGCGCACGCGGGAGAAGGACCACAAACUAGACAAUUCCUCUGCUCACGUGACCCCGAGUUUUUAAAUAUUUGCCUAUUUGGAAAAUAGUCAUGAAUCAUGAUCGUUAACAAACAAUCUUCACUUUAUUUAUUUAAGAUCUAUUUUUUGGAGCUCUAGUUUAGUUUAUUAUUAUUAUUAUUAUUAUUAUUAUUAUUAUUAUUAUUAUUUAGUAACUCCUCUUAUAUUAAUGAAAAAGAGAGGAGGAAUCCAAACUUGUUUAUUCUUCCUCUUUUAAGGUGUUUGUUUUUUUUAUUUUAUUUUUAUGCUUCAUAUGUCUUCAAUUUCUUAGCAUUUGUCUUAUAUUUCUUCUUAUCCGAUUCAUUAUUGCAUCCUUGGUCAAUCUUUCACGAGGAGUGCCUACUUUUUUCCUUUUUAUUAUUUAAUUCACUUUAUCUUUAUAUUUUCCUUUUACACUUUAUUUCCAAUUCAAAACGUGUCAAAAAAAAAAAUUGGUAACAAAAAAAAAAAAAAAAAUCAAUUGUAAUGAUUCUUAUAUAAUUUUAUUUAAUUUUUAUUAAACAAUAAAGAAAUUAAAAAUAUAUAAAUUUUUAAAUAAUUAUUAUAGUCUUUCAUUUUUGUGUAUAAUUUCUUUUGCAAGAAAUAGUGUAGGCUUUCCACGGUCUAAAGGAAAUGGAAUAUCAAAUGAGAAGGUAAUAAUAAUAAAGUGAGUUAUAGAUACUAAUCAAACUAAUCCACUAAUGAAUUAUUUAUUUUUAUUUCACAUGGACAAAUCCUAAAAGUUGGAGUUCUAAUUUACUUUUAUGUUAAGCUUUUUUAAGUAAAAAUCUUUUAUUAUUAUAAUUUAUAGACAAAAAGAAACCCAUUAAUGUGAUGGAUAAAAAAUUUCAAUUUAAAAAAAAAAAAAUUAAAGUUGCUAAAUUUUUGUAUUUAUUAUUUCAAACUCAUUUAAAUAAUUUAAAAAUAUGUCUUCAAUUAAUUUUAAUGAAACAAAGCAUGAUUUUUUUUUAAUUUUUUUUUCUUUACCAAAUAAAGCAUUAUUAUAAUACGUUGAUUAAAUUUUCAUCAUGUCUCUCAAGAUUUGGAUUAAAUAUACUUAGUUGUCAUAAAUUUGAAAUUUUAUUUAAUGUAUUUUUUAUUUUAAAUUAAAAAGAUGAAUGCAAAUAAAAAAAAUAUGUAUAUUUUAUAAAAUUUUAAAUUAAACGAAGGAUACGUGUAUUUAACCAAGGUGAAUGAAAUUAAUCCAAAUACUUUUUGGUAACUUGCAAAAUAUCUUGACGAAAUCAUUAUGGCAGGCAUCGUACAAGCUCAACCCUUGUCGCCUUGCUAGAAAUAGAGAAACAAAAAGACCCCCAAAUUGGGUUGCAUCCUAAAUAUGAAGAAGUGGUAACAAAGGAAGAAAAAAUGCUGUGUUAUUGAAUAGUUAAUACAUUGAACAUGAUAUGUUACAUAGAGAGCCAGAUUAAUCCUAGUGGAAUUCCACUGUCACGAUGGUAACCUAGGGUUAUGUUUGGUUAUUGAAAAUACCAAGAAAAGAAAAAAAAAUAUAAAGGAAAAUAAUUUUUUCAUUUUUGAUUGUCUUAUAAAAGAUAUAAAAAAAAAACAAAUAUAAUUAAAACUAAUUAAAAAUUUAGGUAUUUUUAAAUUAUUUAAUUUUUAUAUUAAUGAGCGAAAAUAAAUAAAAUAAGUUUAAAAUAACAAAAAAAAUAAUUUACCGAUUUUUAAUCUAUAUUUUAUUUUACUUUUUCUUUGUAUUUUUUUUUUCUUAUAUUUUCCCUCAAAUUUUCUGAAUCAAACAUAGCAAAAAAGGAGCUACCCCUUUCGAAAGAAACUCCCAAGAAUUUCAAAGAAACCUGCUGAGAUAAUGAAUGAGGGAUCACUGUCGGUAAACAGUAUCCAUUCUUUUGGGAGGACUUUCAAACUGAGAAGUUGUUUUCAUGACUUGGAAACAAAAUUUUGAGCUCUAAGGGGGUCUGUAUUUGGGCCCUAAAAUUCAAUCCAUCAAUCUGAAAAAUGCUUAGGAUAAUGAUUUGAUUUAGCCACAAUCACUAAACAAAUUCCAGAGGAAAAUUUCGCUACUCAUAGGUGGCUGAUUCUCAUAAAAAGACAUCGUGGUAGGGUGUCUCAAGUGCAGGCUCACCAUCAACUUGCUGCCCUUUUUAGAUUAUUGUAAAAUGAUUUCACAUGAAGCCCAAUGCAAAACUUUGAAAGAAAAGGUUGGUGGAGACGUGAAGAAUAUGUAACCCAUAGGCCAUAACUAGUACCGAAGAUUAUUGAACAAACAUUCAAGGUUUUUGUAUAGACGAAACUGAAAAGAAUGUGUACCAGACUCAGGCGUUCAGAUCAGAUGAUGCCGUAAUGUGGAUUGUGGAGGAGCAUUGUGCAGACAGAUAAUGAGAUUCUGAAAGCGAGGCCACUGAUGGGCCCUUGGAAGGGGGGCGUGCCUUCAAAAUUAUAUAUAUAUAUAUAUAUAUGUCAUUGAAAAUUGGAAGCAACUUUUCUUCUUAAGUUAUUUUAAUCGAAGAAGAAACAAAAAGUUAAAAACAUACAUUAUUCUUCCUUCUUACGAGGUUUCCGGGUCUAAAUUACUAUGGUCUCUGCAACUGGCGUCGUUUUCUCUCCCCUCUCUCUAUUUUCCCUUUAUUUUUUCACUUUUAGAAAGAAGCAUCCCAUCAAGAAUCUACUACAACCCUACGCUUCCAUUUUGAUUUAGAAAGUUAAAAAUAAGUUUAAGUUAAAAAAAAAUAUUUUCUUAUAUAAUUAUUUAAACUUAUUUCUUUUCCUUUUUAUAUAAAGAAACAAAUAUUUUGCAAAUAAAUAAAUUUCUAAUUAUUUUCAUUAACAUAAUAAUAAUAUUUUUCAUAUGACUUUAAUCACAAUUUUUUUUACCACUUGUCCAAGGCGGUGAGAGGUGAUAAAAUGUAUUAAAAAAACGAUUAAAUUGCAUUAGGUAUAGAAGUUUUGUGCUUCAAUUAUCACUUAUAAAAAUAAAAUAAAAAUAGUCAAAUUUGAGUGUGCAAGUUGGUAUUCGUAUGUAGAAGGAAUUGGGGGAUUUGGGGGUCCUAACAAAUUUGAUAUGAUUGAUGGAAGGAAAUGAUUAUUAUAGGAUAAAGUCCGAAUGAAACGCUGACGAGGGGGGAAAAACAACAGUGGCAAUGCACUAUCCACAGAUCCAUGAUUGAUUUAUGUUAGCAAUAAUGAAUUAUUUUGACUUUGAUAACCUUGGUUAAGAGAAUUUGGUCUUGUUAUUAUCAUUUUUUCAAAAAAAAAAAGUGUAGGUAACUAGGUAGUUGAUUUAUUAGAAUUUAGAAAUGAGGAUCCCCUCCUCCUGCAAGAGCCGUGACAGACAUGCCUGCUUUCUUGCCAGAUUAUACCAAUGUGCCCAAAUAAUCCCCCAUCUAUCAUCUCUGCACCCUGGAACACGUCACUCCCUCCUUUGAGCAAUAAAAUAUCUCUUUUAUUUUCUUUUGAACCACUCUUCUAUUUCUUUGUACCAGACUGGACCCAUUUAAAUUCUUCGCUACGCUGUUCCCAAGGACUACGAGAAUCAAAAUAGCAAAAUUCUUGAAUCAUUUUAAUGGGUUCAGAAACCACAUGUUUCUCUAGAUCAUAAGAGGAAAAUCUUUUUGGAUGGUGUUUGUGUUGUGUUGUGUUCAAUAUUAAAUACUCAAUUAAAUAAGCUAAAUCAAAUAUCACAUGAAAAAUAAUCAAAUUAAAAAUAGGGAGAAUUAUGUUUUGAGGGUAGAUGGACCCCAAAUUAACAAAAGGUUCAUGUAACUCUUCAAAUUGAGCCCAGACCCAAUGAAAAUAUGGAAAUUGAGUUGAAGUAUAUCAUCAUUCAGUAUUUCCAAAAAUGUCCUUUGUUGAUUUUGAGAAAAAAAUUAAUAUUUUUGAAAAAUAUUUUUAUGUAAUUUAAUAUUUUUUUAAAUACUUUUAUUUAAUUUAAUAUUUUUAAAAAAUAAAUUUAUUUAAUUUAAUAUUUUAAAAAAUAUUUAAUUUAAUAUAUUUUUUAAAUACUUUAAUUUAAUUUAAUAUUUUUGAAAAAAAUUUUAAUUUAAUAUUUUUGAAAAAAAAAUUAUUUAAUUUAAUAUUUUUUAAAACUAUUUUUAUUUAAUUUAGUAUUUUUGAAAAAAAAUUAUUUAACUUAAUUUUAUAAAAUAUUUUAUAUGUGUUCUUAAAGGGUAUAUUUGUCCGUUACUAUUUCAUAUCCUUCAACUCAAUUUAAAGAGUUAUAUGGACCUUUUGUUAAUUUGGGGACCCAUCUACCCUCAAAAGAUAAUUCUCCCUUAAAAAUAUAAAUUUAAAUAUGACAUAAUUAUUAAAUAUGUUAGAUCUUGUAUGAGUUUAUAAGAUUUAUGUUUCAAAAUAACAUGUUUAUAAUUCAUCUAUUGAUUUAUAAUCAAAUUUUAAAUAAAUUAAAGUUAUUCAAGUUAAUAAAUAUGAUUUAUGUUAUAAAGACUAACUAAAAAAUAAUUUAUUAAUUAAACGGAUCCUGGUCAAUAAAAAUUUGAUUUAAAUACGAUCAUACUUAAUCAAAACUUAGGUCAAAUUGUAUUGAUAAAUUACAUCAAAACCUUGUUGUGUUCAAUAUUUUAUAUUAAACUAUUUUUUAAUAAAAUUAUUUUUAUAAAUAUAAUAUUACAUCAUUUGGAGAAACAAAAUAGUAUUAUAUUGAUUUUACAUAUAAAGCAACCAGUUAACCCCUCAUUAUUUUGAUCCAUUUCACAUCCAUAUCAUUCUCAUAAUUUUUUUAUAAUAUAUUAACAUGAUGGACGGUAAUUGAGGGUAGAAAAAAAAGAUGAGAAGAAUAAAAUAAUGUGAAUCCUCUCUAAAUGUUACAUCUUCUGACAAAUGAAGUCUAUAGAAAUGUGUAAAAAAAAAAAAAACACUUAAUUGUGAGGUUCACUUGAUUUAGCAAAAAAUUAAUAUUUUAUUUGUUGUGUGAUUUAAAAAUAAUAUUUUAUUUUUAAAAAUAAAAAAUUAUUUUUAAAGUUUUUUAACACUAUUUUACUAUUGUUCUUUGAAAUAAUUUUUAAAAUUAAAAUGAAAUAACUAAUAAUUUUUAGAUAAUAAAUUAAAGUUGUUUUUAUUAGAUUUUAAAAAUAAAAGAAAAAUAUAAAACCAUUUGAUCAAAUUUUUUUAAACUUAUUUUUAAAAGGUUUUUUUUUUUUUUUUUUUUUUUCUAUCCUAAGUUAAAAGAUAAAAAAUAAUUUUUAAAGAUAGGUUACGAGCAAAUGCCACAAACUUUUUUCUUCUCUUUCCCUUGUUCGGAUAGAAGUGAAAAAUAUCCUCCCAUGGAUCGACAUUACGUGAGCCAUCACCAUUCCCCAACUGCAAUUCAACCGCCAAAGCUGAGGUGUCAUUAUUAGUUUGAACAAAAGUCAGCAUUGUCCACGUGGUGACAAGCGGAACUGACCCAACUUGCAAGGCAAAAAAAUAAAUAAAAUAAAAUGAAAAAAUCAGAUCACCAUUAUGACGUCAGUCCAAUUGCUGACCUGGCCGCCGUCCCCCAUUUGACCCACGUGUUCAUUUAACCCAUUCGCCGUAUGCCGUGGCUCCCCACCCAUAUGGCCAUAUCUGCCAUUUAUUUUAUCCGUUGCCUCCAUUCGGUUUUUGGAUUUUACCCAUUCGCCCUCGUCUAUUCCCAUUUCCGUAUUUGCCCACCAAGGAAAUUCAAUUCCCAUGCUUUUGUUUUACAUUCAAAUCCUCCCCCCUCUAUAUAAAGGAGGGAGUAGGGCUUGAAAGUUUCUCAAGCCAACAUGGACUGUUGAGAGUGAAAGACAGAGGAGCCACAAACAAAUAUCACUCACUCAAACCAAAGCCAAAACCAAUACCGAAUUCAAUUCAAAUGACUUCUUUCUCUCUCAUCAAUUCCCUGAAUUCCGAUUCCGAUUUCAAUUUGUUAUCGGAUUCUUUUUCCUGGGAAAACUCCCUACCUUUCAAUGAAAACGACUCCCAGGAGAUGCUCCUCCUGGGCAUGCUGGCCAGCUCCACUCAGGAAACCUCAGAAACAGUUUCUUUGAAUCGAGUGAAGGAGGAAGAAGUGACUUCCCAGGAAAAUCCCGAGAAGGAGAAGUCAUACAGAGGCGUUAGGAGGCGGCCAUGGGGGAAAUUCGCAGCAGAAAUAAGGGACUCGACCAGGCAUGGCAUAAGGGUGUGGCUGGGAACAUUUGACAGUGCAGAGGCAGCUGCUCUGGCCUAUGAUCAAGCUGCUUUUGCGAUGCGGGGCCCUGCGGCAGUCCUCAAUUUCCCGGUGGAAAGAGUGAAGGAAUCGAUGCAGGAGAUCAAGUGCAUCUUGGAGGAGGGGGGCUCACCAGUGGUGGCCCUCAAGAAGAGGCACUCUAUGCGGAGAAAAAGUCCUUGCAAGAAACAUAAAAGUGAAGAGGUGAGGUUAGAAAAUGUGGUAGUGCUGGAGGAUUUGGGUACUGAAUACUUGGAACAGCUCCUCACUUUCUCUGAGACCUCUAGUCCUUGAUCAUCAUCAUCCAUCACCUGGAUAGCUUCUUCUCUUUGCUCUGUUUCUUACUUUUCUCUCUCUCUCUCUCUCUCUCUCUCUUUUUUUUUUAUGUAAUUUUUCUUAAUGUAUUUUUGGAGAUGGCGGGGGUGUAGUGGUGGCAAUUAUCCAUCUAGAAUUUUUCAAAAGAUAUGUUCUUUUGUUUCUUUGUAUAAAGUUGAAAAGUGGGGAUCAAUUGUGAUGGUGCUCUAUGUUCAUCCACCCAAUUUAUAUAAUCAAGGUGAUUAAUGUUUUUUGAUAUCAACAAUUUGUGAAUGACAUAGAGAGAGAGAGAGAGAGAGACCUUAUUUUCUACACUCAUUACGGUGGUUUCCAUUUGGGGAAGGAAAAGGAAAUGGCUAAGAAUGUUACCAAAAGAAGUGGGGUGGCUUUCAUAUGCGUGGUGGCAUACUUGCAUACAAACUUUUCAAUUGUGUUCUGCAUGCCACUCGGGUCAAUUUCAUUUCUUUUACUCCUAGUAGCCUAAUUGGAUUUCCUUUUUCUCAUGAGACAUCAAAUAAAUUUCAUUUUUUUAUAUUUAAAUAGUUAGGUAAGUUUGAUAGUGAGUUAUAUUUUAUACAUUAAUUCAUCUUUUAGAAUGUUGUCUACAAUAUAAACAGUGUAAUUAAUUUCAUCAUUACAGAACAGUCAUCUUAUAAAAUAACAUAAAAAUUAUUGGAUCACUUGUAUGGCACCACUGAUUUGGACUUGGUAUGGCUCUGUUUGGCUUCAUAGAAAAAAUUUGGACCCAAUUUGAAUGUCUUGCAUAAAAAGAGAUACGUCCCACUUUGAAUGAUAUUGAAGAAAAAAAUUUCUGAUGAAGAAUAUAUUGUUGGCAGGGUCAUGCAGGCCAAUAGGGAAACGAUAAAUUCAGAAGAAUGAGUCCAAACCAGUGGGCUUGAAAAUUAAGAAGAGAAUUGCUGUAUAAAACAAUCAUUUCUUAAUCGAGUUCACUUUCUGAAUAAUCGUCACUUUGAGAAUGCAUACUUAGGAAGAUGAUGAUCCUUAAUGGGAAUAAUCAAAGGCAUCAAAAAAUUGUUCUGGAACAAUUCUUGAUUGUCUCCAGUAAAAUUCAAAGUCAAAAGUCAAAAGUCCAGUCGGUCAACACCAAACCAGGCCAGUCCAAAAGACAUUAAUUUGCAAUCUAGAAUCUAUGAUGAGGUGGCGAAAUCAAACCUUGGCUUUUCACCAGGGAAUGGUACUCUGAAUUUGGUCAGUUCACUGUUUCGAGUGAAUAGGGUGUAGUAAUUAGUAAAUCAUAUUUUAGAUUUGUGUCACAAGUUACAAGGGAUAUGGGCUGACGUUCAAUUUUGGCGACAAUUUGUGGGCCCGUAUAUUUGUUGAGAUGUGGAAAUUGGGUGUGUGCUUUUUUCUGCUACCACAUAAAUAUAUUUCUUUGAAUUGAAGAGUGUUUCAGACCAUUUUUUUUCAAGUCACAAAUGGACAACUGAUUGAGAUUGUAUUGGUGAGAGUAGGAGUUUAUUUUGGGCUGGUUGAGCGAAGUUGAAAGUCGAGUUGGACCUAACCCUUGAAUUCAGCAGACUACAGUCCGAUCCUGUAUUUUGGAUUUAGGGAACCUUCUUUCCCAGAAGCUUCGUCUGGGUUUUAAAGUCUAAAUGUGGCUACUCUUAAACAUUGGAGAAAGGAUGAGCGUUCACAAGCAAAUGGGUAAUUGUGGAUGGUUCAAGGACCUGGCCAGCUGGUCUUCAAGUUUGGAUGCCGGUUUGGGCCUGAGAGAGUCUUUGCAAAGUGACUUCACUUCAGCCUAUGAGAUCAAGAUAUCAUGGUGAUGUCCGAUCACUUAGGUUUCAUUUUCACCUCGGAUUACCGUUACCAUGUUCAUGAAUAAAAAUAAAUAAAUAAAUGAAGCCUUAUAGAGAAAUUAAUGAAGUGAGCUAUACAAGCAACUGGGCCAGGAGCCUACAAGGCAGAAAUUCCCUGCCCUAGACUAGGCCGAAUAAAUUAGAUGAAUGAAUUGGGGAAACCUGGGCCAGCCACACAUCCUCCUGAAGGCUGAUGUCGAACUCGCUUACGAGGAAUGGACAUGGGAGAUUGGGCUGGGACCAAAUAACCAAUUGACAGCCCUAUCCUUGUGGCAAGACGUCAGUAAAAUGGUUCAUUCUGAUUUUACGCUGCCAUUCAAUUUAAUUUUAAUUUUUGUUUAAAGCGAUGUACAAAUUGAAUGGUGUCUAGUCACUUAAAGAGUGGUUCAUAAUACACUUAAUUUAAACAAAAAAGAAAUUAUUAGAUAGGGGAUUCUCCAAUAAAAACCACCCCAUCUUGUCAGCAAGUCCGGAAACUUCCUUCACUUAGGGCGUAUUUGUUUUUUUAACUUUAAUAUUAAAGAAAGUUGGUUAAACCUUAUGACACUUUUAUAUUAUUUUAUGAAUUUUUUUUAAUUUUUAUUUUAAUGGAAUUUUAACUUUAAUACAAGUUGGAGUAAUUCUUAUCUUAAAAACAAAUCAAAAUUACUUUAAUUUUAUAUAGAAAUAAACUUACAGUAAAUUUACCAUGAAAAUUUCUAAGUCAAAUACACCAUAAGUGCUAGUAUUUUAUAAUAUUUAGAAACAUGUUAAAUUAUUAUUAUUAUUUUUUAAAAUUAUUAGUUUUCAUAUUAGUUUUAGGGAAACUUGUGCUUUAGGUCUUUUAUUUGCAAAUAAUAUGGUUUUCAAAUCCUAAGAAUAGAAAAUAUGAGAAUCAACUGUUAAUGUGGAAAAUAAUAUCAAUUUUGUGCAAUCUCUAUUGACUCAUUUUUUUGUGCCUAGAUUGCCUUCACCCACUUCCAUGUCAACAACCACAUUAAUAGAUUGUUUUUUUUUUAUAAAACAAAUAAUUAUUAUGUUUAAAAUUUUGGGGAAACUCUCUAUCUCUCUUACUUCUUCACUACAUCCGAGACCCAUCUUCCUUAAACGUUUGCCUCUCAUUUUGCCCUAACCCCAAAUCUCAUAAAUUUCUCAUUUUCUUGCCUCAUUUGAAAUAUGAAGAUGACCGAUUCUCAAACAUCUCUGUCUCUCUCUUCACGUUUUGACCAGUCUAAUUGGAAACCCAUUUUCCAAAAACCUUCUUUCUUUCAUUUUGCCCUAACCCCACUAUCUCCCUCUUCAAGACCUAAUCACCCAAACUCGAUAUCUAUCUUCCCAAAACCUUCAAGCAAACUGAACUAGACCCAUAUCUUCUUUUUUCAUCAUCAAAGGUGAAAUUUUUUUAAGGCUUUUGGAAACCGAAUUGGAGCUUUCCCUUCUUCUGGGAUUAAUCAUUCGCAAGUGAGUUUUCCAUUUAAGGCUUUGUUUGGCUGUUGAAAUCUUGGGAUCAAAGGUCUUUUAUUUUCAGGUUUCUUGUAUUUUGCUUUAUUUUCUUGUAUAUAACAAUAAUCAUUGUAACAUAUGCUAGUAGUUACCCUUGGUGCAACUUUACAUUUCCAAAUACCCUAAAGUCCAAAGCUUUUAAUUCCCUUUUCAAAGCUUUCAACUUUGAAAGCAGACUAAACCAUAAGAACUAUGAAACUUAUAUCUCUAUCACCACUAAUUAAGCAUGUCUAUGAAUCCUUCCACUUUAAGUCACUUAUUCUCAAACCAAGAAGGGCUCCUCUCAUUCUCACCCCACCUCAUCUAAAUGAGGGAAAUGAUCAAUUGCAGCCAUGCUUUGCACCAAAUUAGAGAAGUGAUCCUCCCAAUCAUCCAUUACCAAAAAUUGAUCAUGCUGAUGAGAUCAUAAGAGUCUAUUCGGAACUCCCAGUUUACUUGCCUCUUAUCUCAGGAUCCUCCAUUACCCCCUGUCUUUCCAACAUCAAAUCAACUUGCAAACAAUUCCUUUGUAGAUAAAAUGUUUUUAAUAUUGCAAAAGGGGACUUAUCAUAAUGGUUGAAUCGAUUUAUUUGAUAUAAUCACUCAAAUUCAAGCUUAAAAUUGAUCAUAAUAAAAUGUUUUUAAUAUUGUUAAAAGGAGAUUAUAAUGGUUUUAUUUGAUAUCAUUACUAAAAUUCAAGCUUUCAAACAUGCUCUACAAAGAAGUUCUAAAAGACUACAAGAAAGAGUUUCCACUAAAGAAAAACAAUGAAACCAUUUCUACUAAAGACAAACAAUGAAACCACAGAUGCUUUGUGAAAUAUGUACCCGCACAAUCCAACAAACUUUAGAAAUUCACAAACACUACCUAGAAUUUUUGCUGACCAGCAAAAAAUUUAUGCAAUUUAAUUCUUAUUGUUAUUAUUAUUUUCAAUGUGAACAAAUAUGAUUGAAUUAUGAAGUAUUUGGCCAGAAGAGGAUCUUGCCUAAUUAUAGUCAUUAAACAACCAUUUAUACCAUAGCCUCUAGACUUUAAAAAGUUUAUAAAACUCAAGGGCUUCCACCCAAUUUCUAGAUAUCUCCAUAACAUUCUUCUGACUAUUAGAAAGCAAUUACCACUUUAAUUUUUCAUUUCAUGAGUGUUCAAUUCAGAAAAAGACCAGGAUCGAACUUGCGAUCAUGCAGUCGAAAAUCCACCUGUGCAUGAAACUAUUGCCUCACGAUUGCAAACUCAAGUUGGAGUCCAGUAACAACUCUAGGUUUGCUGAUGUGCUCCAUUUGAAAUAAAGGAACUAAAGAAUACUUUAUAAAGAUUAAUUACCUUCAUAUUUUAGGUUGGGGUUAAGGCAAAAUGUGAUAGAUUGAGAGGAAGAAAAUAUAUCUUGUUCAGGAAGCCAAUAUUUUGGAGUUCACCUUUCCAUUCGAGUCCACUCUGCUAUAGCAAAAUCAGAGUCACAACUAUGCCUCUUUAAGCUAUCCUUUAAUUGGAUGAAUUGCAGAUUUGGUUGCUGAGAAAGUGGAUAAGAAAGAAAAAUGCAUACUGUAGCUUGAGAUUAAGAGUUUGUUUUCUAAAAUGAGAGAAAGGGAAAGAGAAAAAAUGCAUAUUGUAGCUUGAGAUUAAGGGUUUGUUUUCUAAAAUGAGAGAAAGGGGAAGAGAAAUGUUCGACAACUUUGAGAUGACAAAUUUUUAGAUUUGGAAAAUUUGAGAUGAGUCUCAGGUUUUUUUUUUUUUUUUUUUGUCUUUGUCUUUGUUUUUUUUUUUUUUUUUUGUUUUUUUCCCAAAAACAACCUGUUAAUGUGGUUGUUGACAUAGAAGUGGGUGAGGGCAAAAUGGGCAUAGAAAAAAGAGUCAACACAAAGUGCACAAAACCCAUAUUAUUUUCCACAUUAAUGACUGAUUCUCAUAUUUCUUGUUCUUGGGAUUUGAAAACCAUAUUAUUUGCAAAUGGACCUCCCAAAGCACAGGUUUCCCUUAGUUUUAUGUCUCCAUCUACAUUUUACAUAUAAAUAGAUUAUUUUAUAAAAUUUGUUUUGUAGAUAUAUUAGUUAAUAAUUAUAUAAUUAAUGAUAUAGAAAACAUAUAAAAAUCAUAUUUAAAAAAGAUAAUUACAUAUUCCUCAACAAUCCAUCCCAAGAAUUCGAGGUUGAGUUGAAAACAUGUAGAGUCUUUGAUGUUAUUAUAAUCAUAUCCAACACAUAUGAUUAUUGUUUAUGAGAUAUUAUUAGAAAGUUUGUCUUAAAAUAAUUGAUUUAUUACCCACCUUUAGCAAAUGCCCAUUUUUGCGUCUUUCAAAAUUUUCAUUUUUUUUUUGUUUAAAAGAAGUAUUGUAAAGAAUGAUGAAAUAAGAAAUUUGUUGAGAAAGUGUGAGUAAAUAAUUUUACAUAAAAAGAGAUUUAAUACUUGAUAAAUAAAAUAAUAAAAUCAUGAUUUCUAGUUGUAUAGGGCCGGGUGGAUGGAGUGGCUAAGAUGUAAUUCUUGAAAUAGAGGAGACAACAUCAAUGUAUAAAAGUUUAACAGAGAAGGAAAGUGUGUUUGAAUGACUUUAUUUUCUUCAUUUAAAGUUUUGACGAUGAGUGUUUAUACAAGAUAAAUUUUCAAAUGAUAGGACUCCUAUUUACAUGGAGUUUGUGAUAUACUAUGAUUAUACAAAUUUAAAAUUCAAACAGAUUCAUGAGUUGAUAGGAGUCUGCUCAAUACGCCCCUUCAAAAUGGUGGGAGAUAGCACACCAAUCUUGACUCGAAGGGCCUAAACUCGUGCAGAAGAUGAGGGCUUUGUUAGAGCAUCGACAAGUUGAUCCGUGGUUGACAUAUGGGACACCUUGAGCUCACCUGAUUAAACCUUGUUUCAAACAAAAUGAAAAUCAAUCGCCGAUGUGUUUCAUGGAGAGUGAAACAUGGGAUUUGCACAAAGAUAUGUUGCACCCACGUUAUCACAAGAGAUAGGAGGUGGUGAUAAAUUUGAAACACUAAGUUUUGAGAGAAGAGAAUUAACCCAAAGAACCUUUGAGGCUGUAGAGGCCACGACGUGAUAUUUCGCUUCAGUGGAAGAGCGUGCUAUGAACUUUUGUUUCCUCGAUGACCAAUACACAAGAUUGUGACCAAGAAAAACAAUGGGAGCAUUGGUGGAGGAUCUGACAUAAGGAUUCCUUGCCCAUUCAACAUUCGAAUAUGCAUGUAGAUUGAUGGGCGAUUUCUUAUGCAAGAACAGACCAUGCACCAUUGUGCCGACUAAGUAUCUAAGCAAUCUUUUAACACAAGACCAAUGUGUUGAUGUUGGAUGGUGCAUAAAUUGAGAUAAUUUAUUCAUCAAGAAGGUGAUGUCAGGGCUAGUAAGAGAGAAGUAUUGAAGGCUUCCAACAAUUGACAUAUAUUUAGUGGGACCAGGAAAAGAGGUGUCAUCACACAGAUUUGGAACAUUGUUGAGGAACAUCAAUGAUUGAACUGGUUUGGUAGCCACCAUUUGUGUUUUCUUAAGAAGCUCUCGAAUGUACUUGAGAUAAAAAUAAUCCUUUGGAAGUAUGUAUCAUUUCAACACCAAGAAUAAAAGAUGAAGUCCUGAGAUCCUUAAUGGAGAAUUUGACUGCUAAUUGAGAGAUCACGCGAGCACGAAAAACAUUAUUGUUACUUGUUAAAAUAAGAUCAUCAAUAUAAAUAAGUAGGUAAACAAUGAGACCACUCUUUUUAAAAAUGAAGAGGGAUGUCUCGGUUUAGGAGUUGACGAAGGCUAUUGAGAGGAGAAAUUGGCAAAGUUCAUGAUACCAUGAUCGUGGAGCUUGUUUAAAGCCAUAAAAAGCCUUACAAAGUUGGCAAAUGUGAUGAUGUGUGUAUUCGUGAACCCAGGAGGUUGAAUCAUGUAAACAUCUUCAUGAAGUGUCCUAUGCUAGAAUGCAUUAUUAAUGUCCAAUUCAUGAGUUGAUAGGAGUCUGCUCAAUACAAUGUGGGAGUGUGAUUUCAAAAUUAGGGUAAUUUCGAAAUGGAUUUUGUAUUCACAAGUUGAAUUUCAAAAUUAUUUUGAAAUGGUCUUUUAACUUUAAGCAGUUGUGUUCAAAAGGUCAUAACUUCUUCGUUUCAAUUUUGAUUUACACAUUGUUUAAAACAUUGGACUCUUUACUUCCCGAGCUUCAAAACGAUAUAUAGUAUGCUCAAAAAUGACAUCAGGAUUGGUUCAAAUUUCAUCUUGAUAUUAGAGUACAUGUUGUGAUUAGAUUUUGAGUUCCAAAUUUCCAUGUAAACUUGAUUGCAUUUGCUUCAAACCUCCUUCAUUAUGGUUGCUUGCCCUCUAUCUCACUUUGCAACAUUUGUUACUAGUAUUUUAUGUCCAUGACUUACUCAUUUCAACCUUUCUUGGAUUCUUCAUGGUUCACAAAUUAUGGAUUCUUCAUGGUUCACAAAUUGAGUCUUUCAAUUAUGCAUGUUUAACUCCUAUUUCCUUGGUUGAUAAUGACUUUUACACUUAUCAUUUUCUUUUAUUCUUUAAACCUGAAUUUAGACUUACAAAAAAAAGUUAGAUCCAUAACUAGGGUCUUAGCAUCAAUUUGAGUUAAGUUGGAUGAUUUGAAAAUUUUAUAUUACAUAAAUCAUAUCAUACAUGUGCCAUUGGAGUGCACAUUUUGGCUCUAAUCAUGUUCCAACCCAUUGUUUUACUCUUGCAUGAAGUAUGUGGCCAUUGAUUUUAAUUUUAUUUGCGAUUAGGUUCAAAAUGGUGCUUUUGUGUUGCUCAUGUGUCAUCAGAAGAUCAACUAAUGGAUUCUCUAACAAAACUACUACAUCAUAGUCAUUUUUUUUUUUCUUAAGACCAAGAUUGAGAUCUCCAAUCGGAGCCAACUCCAUCUUGGGGGCAUGUUAGUGAAAGAUAAAAUUUAUCUUUAAUUUAAAUAUUAAUAUUUAUCAGUUAUUAGUUUUAAUUAGAGUAAAAGAUAGAGUUUAAAUUGGAGUAGGAGAUAAACUUGUGUUUGAACUAGAAUAGAAGAUAAAGUAUAAAGAUUUAUGUUUGAAUUAGAAUAAAAUAUAAAGUUUGAAUUAGAGUAGAAGAUAAACUUGUUCUUUAUUUGUAUAUAAAUAUUCAUCAAUUCUUGAGAAGAAGAUUAUUUCAUAGUUUUUCUAUCUUCUUUUUUCUUCAUACAUAUCUGCAAGAAAUUGAAGAUUUCAAGUAAAAUAUUUUCUGUUUUAAAUAGUGAAAAAAGCUAGAAAUUCACUUUGUUAUCUCUUGGGGUAAAUUGACAAGGUUUAACGUUAAGAAGGUGAAUUAUUUUUUCAGAAAAACUGAAGUAGCUAGGAUAUCUGGCCAGUUGUGAUCGAUAAAAAAGUUGUAAAAUCUCUCAUAUACUAAACAGGUUUUGGAUGUUGGUAUGGUAAAUCCAUCUGCAGUCAUUCGUCAUCUCAUCUAGUGAGAUGUUUGGGAGGUGGUGACCGCCGGAUUGGGUUUCAUUUGGUUAAAUCUGUCAGUGGGUUGGCUACUACCCGAGCCUCUUGCUUUGGGGGAGGUGGGUUCUAGAUAUAAUGUUCAAACCAUUUUAGUUAUCAUAUGCAUGACAUGUAAGCAUAAUCUCUUUAUCACUUCUUCAAUGGGAGUUCAUGGUUAGGAAUUGACUUCUUUUCUUCUGGGAUGCUUGGCAUGUAAUGGACAAAGUUACUUUUAUAUCGAUCGAAUUUCUAGUAUUAUAGUGAAGACUUACCCUUUUGACAUUUUAUAUCGAAUUAUAGAAGAUGAAAGGGACAUACAUGCAAUCGACUGACGCUUUAGUGAAUAUGCUGAAAAUAUGCUGAUGCUGUGGAGAUCGUAUGAGGACAGAGGAAAAAGAUAGAAAUGGAUAUAUAAUUAGACCUAGGUUUUUAUUAAAUGAGAUGGGGAACAUAGAGUGAGGGAAAAUCAAAAUUUUUGGCUGCAGUUCACAUUGGUGAUAUUUUGGAUUGACAAAGACUAACGACUUUUCUAUUUUUCUUUUCGGCCUGACUGGAUAGUUGGACAUGGACAAUACAGAAUCCACAGAAGGAUUGUUGGGACCGCUGAAAAUUAGCUAGAAGAAGCUGAGGAAGUAGUCUACGUAGUCAAAUACCAAACACAAAGAAAGAAAGAAAUGGAUAUCAUGGAUGCCUAGAGUUAUACUCCUAAUACCGUCACAGGUAUUUUUCUUUCCUCCUUUUUUUUUCUACGAUAAUUAGAGCAUUUCUCCUCCUCCUCCUCCUCCUCCCCCCACCCCACCACCAAAAAAUAAAAAAAUAAAUUAUUGCAAGUAACACUUCAAAUAUUAAUUUAUACAUUCUAAAGUAUAUAUUCAUGAAAUAACUUGAGUAUCAUACAUUAGUUCUCAAAAAAAAAAAAAAAAAAAAAAAAAAAUUACUGGAAGAGAAAAGUUUAAGAAAACAUAAAAAUAUUCAACUACUAUUUUAAAGAGAAAAUUUAAUUUUUACACUAUAAAUUUGAAGAGAACUUUUACAUGCAUCUUAUAUAAACUACCAUUUUUUGCUAAAAGGCUUAAAUUUGUCAAAAAUACCCCUUAGGUGCUUAACGUUCUGGUCAUAAUAUAAUUGGCAUCUUUUCUCAAACAUAAGGCCUGUGUGUGGGAACAAGAUUUAAUGUUAAUGAGCUUCGCCACCGACAUUUAGUUCCAGAAAUCAUUAUUUUAAUAGAGUGGGCUCAAUUUACAACUUUAAUUAAACUCUAACCAACUGCAUUGUGAAAUGAAUAUGUUUCUUUCGUGGUGAAUCCAAUGAGUUGGGAGUCAAACUUUGCUUCAUUGUGUAUAGAUGAAAUGUUAAGACUCCAUGUAACCUCAAACAUUUCCGCAAUNNNNNNNNNNNNNNNNNNNNNNNNNNNNNNNNNNNNNNNNNNNNNNNNNNNNNNNNNNNNNNNNNNNNNNNNNNNNNNNNNNNNNNNNNNNNNNNNNNNNUUCUUUCGUGGUGAAUCCAAUGAGUUGGAGUCAAACUUGCUUCAUUGUGUAUAGAUGAAAUGUUAAGACUCCAUGUAACUCAAACAUUUCCGCAAUGAGCGGGAGUUCUAAAUUUAAUAAUUGAAAUUGUCAGUGGAACCAGUGGACAAGAGUUGGUUUGUGGUUGACAAACUUAUCCGUUUGAUCUUUACUUGAACAGUUCCAGUGUGUGGAUGGGUACUGAUGAAGUGUGCGCAUUUAUUUUGAGAAGCCUGCUUGUUCGCAUAGAUUUUAACGACAUGAACAUUGUGGUAAGGUUAGAGAGUAAUGCGAAUGUAGGAGCUUAUAUUAGAAAUGACACAAACACGUAAAUAGAAGUAAUCUAUAUAUGAUAUUACUCAUGGACUACAAGCAAAGAAGUACAAUACAUGGAGUAAGUGAUGAAAUGAGCAUUCCUCACUACUACUGCUUGACUGAUGGAACAUGAUGCACGAGAUAGCAUAAGUAGUAGUAGGAAGCAGCUCUUAUUUGUGGCGUCGGUAUACAUCAUACUAGGUAGAUGGUUCAAUUGGCAUGGAUGGGUGGUGGAGCCUUGAAGUGCUUGUGAUGGGGAGCCCACGGCUUCUUCUCAGGAGUUGGUGGCUUCUUGUAUGGAGUUGAUGGAGGUGUUUCUACUGGAGGGUGGCCAGGGUAGUGACCCUGGGGUGGUGAAGGUUCUUUUGUCGGUGGUGGCCUCACUAUUAUUGGCGGUAGAGUUGGUGGCUUGGGCGUUGGCGGUGGUCUCACUACUCUUGGGGGUAGAGUUGGUGUCUUGUGUUUUGGUGGUGGAGGUGGCUUAACAGGAGUUGGUGGCUUGUAUUCUGGGGGUGGUUUCUCCACCGGAGGUGGCUUAUAAACUGGAGUUGGUGGCUUGUAUUCUGGGGGUGGCUUCUCCACUGGUGGUGGCCUGUAAACAGGGGUUGGUGGCUUAUAUUCUGGGGGAGGCUUCUCCACUGGAGGCGACUUAUAAACAGGGGUUGGUGGCUUGUAUUCCGGGGGUGGCUUCUCUACGGGAGGUGGCCUGUAAACAGGGGUUGGUGGCUUCUCCACCGGAGGUGGCUUAUAAACGGGGGUUGGUGGCUUGUAUUCUGGGGGUGGUUUCCCCAGUGGUGGAGACUUGUAAACAGGAAGAGGUGGUUUGUGCUCAUAUGGGGGUGGCUUGUGGUCAUUAGCAAGUGAGGGAGUGGUGAGGACCACCAAUCCAAGGAACAACACGAGUGAGCAAGCAGAAGACAUGUUUGGGCUCUGGUGAUGCACAAGUAGAAGAAAUGGGAACCAUUUAUAAUGCUUCGAGACCUUGGUUAGCACCAAAAUAUGUCAAAAUCUUGAUUACUUCAUUUCAUACAUAGAUUUAAAAUUAUUUCAAUCAACCAUGAUCCUUAAUUUUCUGGGUGGUCCAUAAAUGUAAUGGGGUCAAUUUGGGACCUAACAAGCUGAGAAGUUUGACAAUGCUGCAAGGCUUCAUCCGAAAGUCCGGGGAAGAAUAUUAGGAGUUACACUCCGUUUCCUUUUUUGGGUGCAUUUUUCUCCUUUAACAUUCUAUUCCCUUUUACAUUAGCAUUUGAUCUUAGCUCAUUUCAAGUACAAGUUUCUUGAACCCUAUACCAUUGUCAAAGUUGAGUAACCAUCUCUACUUUGCUCAAGAAACAUAAAAGACAAUGACAAUAAAGAAAAAGGAGAGAGACCAUACGUGACUUGGUUUAUAGGUGGCUUUGUGUUGACAUUUGAGUAUGGAAGCCGACAUGCAUCUUAGCUUCGAUUUUAAUUAAAUUUGUACAUUAGUGUCUGUGUCAUUCAUUUUGGUAUAAAAGGUCUCUUGAUUUCGUAAGUUUGGUAAGAACCGUUGAAAAUAGCAGUAGCAGCACAUGGUCCACUUUCUUUCACAAAAUAAUUUUAAAAGUUUAGAAGCAUAGGAGGUAACAUUAGUGGCCUUGUGGCUCAGCCACGAGUACUAUGUGGUGCUCGAGAAAUUGAGUUUAAUUUCCUUCCGAUAGUUCAUGAUAAGGUCCGUCACUGUCCUGAGACAGAUUGCGUUUUUUCUUUUUUCCUUUUUUAGUGUUUUAUUGACUAGCUAGGUGUGACUUUUCCUACUUUAAGGCACGAGGCAGAAAAGAAACUGGGAUUUAGUGCUUAAGAAGGCAAAUUUAAUUCGAUUUGGAUCUAAAAUUUGCCAGCAACAUGAGAUUUUCCAGCCUAUCGUUGCUCCACAUAUAGACAAGGCACUUGUAGAAGUGGCUUGUUUGUAGCCAUUCCCGAUAUUUGGACUCACUUGAUUCACCGGACACUUUGAUAAAAUUUAAUAUUUAUUAUUUAAUAAUUUAAAUUGAUUUAAAAUUAAAUUAUACCGAAGUUGUGAUUUAAAAAUUAUUAUUUAAUUCUUACUUUUAAAUAUGAAGAUUAUUUGAUAAAAAUAAUUUAAAAUUUAUUAUAAAUUAUCAAAUUAACAUAUUUAUCCUUAUAAAUUAUAAUUAAAACAGAAAAGGUCAAAUGAUUUGAGUAUCCAUAGAUGUGGUAAAAUAAUAAAAAAGAUUAUAAAAACAAUUAUGAUAAAUAAAGAUAAAAAGUAAAAUGAAUAUGUGAAUUUAAAGAAUAAAUUAAUUAUUUUUAUUUAUUACUUAAAAUUAUUUUUGACUUUAAAUUAUAUUAUUAAAUUAUUUUACCAAACAUACUUAAUUUAGUUAAUAAUUUAAAUUUAAUUUAAGUUAUUAAAUUGAUUCACCAAAUACCCACUUAAUCAAAGACUGAAGUAUACAUUAUUUGGCCAAAUGCAGCUAUUGAAAUUUAACUUUUUCCAAACUUAUUCAUUUUGUGGAAAUAUUUUUAGAAAUGAUUUUAAAAAUGCACUAUUCUGUGUGUUGAUUUUAUAUUUUGGCAUUAAUCCAACAUAGAAAACGGUUCUUAUUUUCGCUGUUAAAUAGGUACCAGAUCCUUAAUUAGUGCCGUGAAUCCGGCAGCUUCCAAUGAGUAAUUUGGACUUGGGUAUUGACAAUGUGUGGCCAUGCUUCUACUAUUUUAUUAUUCUUGAAACAUAUAUGAUAUAUUGGACUUUAUACAGGGAAAAAAAAAAAAAAAAGUCUUCACCAAAAAUGAUUCCUCCUAAAAAAUAGACUCCACAAACUAGGUUUAACAGGAAAAUGAUUCUAAUCUAGUAGUUUCCAGCCACAUGAGCAUUUACGUAACAAUAGUAUAGUUGAUAACGACUUUUAUUUUAUUUAUUUUUAAAUAGUUAAAGGGAUAAUUUUUGAGCUUAAAUUUUAUUUUUUUAUUUAGAAACAUUUUACUUUAUUUUUUAAUCAUAAUUCUAUUAUAUUAAUGUUUUAUUUUCUAUUUUUUAAUAUAUAAGGAGAUACUAAAUUUAUGUGAUUAUUUUUUAAAAAUUUAGUAUAUGAAAUUAAAUAAUUGGAUAUAUAUACAUAUAUCAUAUAAUGUUUUUUAAGUGUGAUUUUUGAACUUUUUAGUCAUUUUAUAAGUUUAAGCUUUUGAUUUUUUUUUUUAAACUUUGGUAUUUUUUAUUUUAUAUAAAACUAUUUUGAUUUAAUUUUAUUAAAAAAUAUUGGUAUUAUAAAUUAUUGUAUUAAUUAUUUUUUUAUAUUAUAAUGUAACUGGUAUAUACUAAAAAAUGUAUGCAAGUUCAAUUUAAGUUUCAAAUUAAAAAAUUUCAUUUAAAUAUUUAAUAACUUGUUCAUAAUAAAAAAUUAAACAACAUAAUACAAAUGAAAAGAAACAUAAAAGAAAAAGGAAAAAAUGGUCCUCUCUGUGUGUCACAUUACUAGGUCAUCCUCUUUUUCUAUGACCCUUACAAUAGAAUGGCAUAUUUGUCAAAUCUACUUAUGAAAGUUGGAAUGUUUCUACAUGUGUAGGGUCCAUUGGAACUAAUGGAGGAAAGGCUUAACGUCUAUGUAAAUCACAACGUUGCCUAGGUGGGCAUAGAUCUAGUUGUGUAACAUGAGAUGGUGUGAGAGUACAAUAUAUGCAUUGUAGUCUCUAUGGGAAGAGAGAUAGGUAAUGGUAGGGUGGUAGACGGUAGGGUGAUCUCUAAUAUAAUGACAUUUGAUGUGGUGGCUUCUAAGAGAGGAGAUAUAAGAGAUGGUAGAAUGACAUUUGGUGUAAUGGUCUCUAGUGCAAUGACAUGUGAUAUGGUGACCUAUAAAGAAGAGAUAUAGGUGAUGGUGAAGUGGUAUGUGGUGUAGUGACCUUUGAGAUAGAAAAUAGAGGUAAUGGUAGGUUGGCAGGUGGAGUGGUCUUUGGUGUAGUGACAUCAAUUAUAAAUGUCUCCAAGGGAGGAAAUAAAGGUGAUGGUAGGUAGUAAAUGUUGAGGUGGUCUUUGAUAUGUUAUGCUCUAAGAGAGAAGGUAUAGGUAAUGAUAAUAGGGAAUUUGACAUAGUGGUGUUGGAAAUAAAAAGUGAAAGUGACCGUAGAGGUGAAAGGGCAAGUGUAAAAGCCUCAAGUACGAAUGGAGUAAUUAAUGUGGAUGGUGCUAACAUAGUCUUAGGUGGAUACACAAAUAGUCAUAGUCAUCAACUAGCUUGCCCACCAUCUGUCUUUCUGCUAGUGAUAGGUUACAUCUUAAUAGUAAUGGCCAACAUAAGUGGUGUGGAUCCGAUUUUUUUACGUGUGUCCCCACUCAAUCGACAAGACUUAUUUUUUAUUAGUGAAAAAUUAAUUUUGGAAAAGUUGGAGUCACCACUUAUUUUAUUUUAUUUUAAAAAGGAAAGUAAAACAAGAAAGAGAACUCUAAAGAAGUGACUUCAUAGUUUUGGAAAAGUUAGUCUUAAAAAAUCCAAGUCUUGGUCCGGAGAUCAGGUUACUUAUUGGGAAGAUACCUCUAAGAGGUAAUACCCCUCUAAACCCUAAAGAAGUCUCUAAUGACUAAGUUGAGGAGAAUGUGGUAAUUAAUUAAUUGAUUGAGGGUACCUAGGUAGACUAAGGUGAUUUCAGAAUUAACAUACCAAGCUAGAAAGUCCAAUCAUGAUCAUAAAAGAGAGUCAAAGUAUGUACCUGAACUGCUUCUCAAACGCUAUCAUAAAACAUCAAAGUUAGUAUAGAAAUAUAACACAUAAUAUUUGUUUUAUCCAAGCAAAUAAAGCAUACAUCUAAGCACCCAAGAAUCACAUCAAGUAUGGAUAUAGUCAUCAAUAGCAUACGUGUCCAUAGAACUAUCGAAAGUAAAUGUGGAGGAGCGUAUCUGGACAACAUAGAUAACUUAUAAUGUGCUUCCACAAGACAUGGGGGUUAGAUAAAAGUUAUAAUAAUAAUUAGUAAAUGAAAGAAUUCUAGCAUGUUUGGUAUCUAAAUAACAUAGCAAAAAUGAACAAGAGUACACGAAAACAUCAAUUAUCACACGAGUCAUAUUGGCUAGUAUUUAAUCAAUAAACCAACAAUAAAUGACUAUAAACAUAUAAAAUGACAUAUUCAAAGAGACCCAAACAUAAAGAGCCUAGAACACAAGCUUACACUAAAUUUAGAAAACUAAAACAUGGAAUUUUAAAAGCAUAAAUUAGCAAACAAAUUGAUGGAAACUAAAUUUAGAUAACUUAAGAAUAUUUUUCUUAUCCUUCAAUUUAAAUCAGUAAGCCAACAAUAAAAAAUUAUAGAAACAUGGAAUAUCAAGAUCAAUGGGAUACCUAAACUAUAAUUUUUAAAAGAAAAUAAACUAAGCAUAAUAUCUACAAAGCAACUAAACUAACAUUUUUUUAAAAAUAAAUUAAACAUGACAUUAAUGGAGUAACCAAACUAAAUUAAAGUAAACUAAAAACAUUUAUGAAUUUUCAAACAUGGAAUCAGCUUUCUUAGUAAAUUAAAAUUAUUAAAAUAAAAUCUAAGCUUAAAAAUGAAUUAAAUACUAACUAAAGCAAAUCUAAAACCAAAUAUUUAACACAUAGGAUCAAUUAUAUUAACAAACUAAAAUUUUAUAAGAACACUUAAACCUAAAGUUGAAUUAAAAACUAACCAAUUUUUAAAACUAGAUCUUUAACCCAUAGGAUCAAUUAUAUUAACAAAUAAAUAAUAAAUAAUAAAUAAAUAAAACUCAAACCUAAAGAUGAACUAGAAAUGUACCAAAGUAAAUUCAAAACAAGAUCUUUAACACAUUAGAUCAAUUAUAUUGACUAACUAAAAAAAAAAAAAAAAAACACUCAAACCUGAAACGAUGUAUUAGAAACUAACCAAAGCAAAUUUAAAAUAGAGUCUUUAACACAUAGGAUCAAUUAUAAUCACUAACUUAAAUUACAAUUUUUGAAACAUGAACUAAUUAGUGUUGGAUUAAUUAAACUAAUUAACUAAAAAAAACUAUAAACUAGAAUACGGUGAAUCAAGAAUUCAAAUCAACAAACAUAAAAUAUGGGUACAAUGAAAUGAAAAUCUAUUAAACUAAUAAGACGGAAAUAUGACAAACUCAUGAACCCACAUUUUGAUCAACUAGGAAAUAGAAAUUAAUAGACCUGUAGCAUGGAUACAAUGAAAUGAGAUCAGUUAAAUUUAUUUGCCGAAAUUCUAAAAAACACAUACACUCAAAUAAGAUCUAAAUCUAAGACCAAGCAAAACUCAAACUUUCUCAAUCUAAUGCAAUGAAUCAAAACUAAAAUUAAAUAGAAAUCAAACCAUUUUUUUUUUAUCUAAUAUAAUAAAUCAAAGCUAAAACUAAACAAAAUCGAAUUUUCUUAAUUUAAUAUGAUGAGUCAAAGCUAAAAUUGAACAAAGUUCAAACCUUUAUAUAAUGGAUCAAAGUUAAAUCUAAAUGAAAUCCAUACUUCCACAAUUUGAUAUAACAAAUCAAAAAUAAAACUAGAUAAAAAAAAAGUCAAAGCCUUUCAACUUGACAUAGUGAAUCCAAACUGAAACGAAACAAAAUUUUAACUUUUCCAAUGAAACCCAAUAUAGAAAAAAUUAGCUUACCUUCUUUAGAAUAUAUGUAUGGGCCAUAAAGAAGUCACCUUGGUGCAUGUGUUCCUCACUUUGACGCCAAUGGACGACUUUCUAUGGUAGCAAAUGGAGAUCCUUUUUGGUGGUAACUUGCGUGUGGAAACCUAUGGUACAACCAAUGUCAUCUUUUAUUGUGCGUGUGGACCAAUUUCUUCUCGAGAACUCAUGUGUGUUGUGCUCAAAAUAUGUUGCCUGUGAGAAUCUAUUGGUAUACCCCACAUAUGGUUUCCUUGAGAGAAUCUGUGGUUGUGUGUGGGCGUUUUCUUCAUGACAGCAUGUGGAUGUUCCCAUCUAUGGUAGAUUGGUUGUGAUGCUUUAGUGCAUGGUCUCCAUAGGAAUAGUGUGUUAUGGAAAUUUGGUUUUUUUAUUGGUGCAUGUUGUCUAGACUUUCCCAUAUGCGUGGACUGUGUGUUCAUGCUUUUCUUUUCGGAUGGUCGCCUGUGUUAAUGUGUGGCGGUGUCUACAAUGAAAGAUACAACCCUUUCUCUCCUUCUGCGUGAUAGAAAAGUCAAUCCCCCAUGGUGCGACUAUGUUCCCUCGUCCUUUUUGAAAAAUUUUGGUGUUUUCCCCCCAAAAAAUCCCCUCCAAAAAUCUAAUUAUAAAUGUCUGCUUUGGCCUAAUGUGUGUGCUACUUUUUUUUUCCUUCUUUUUAUGGUUGUGCGUGCUUUUCUUGAUACGUGGCUUAUUUCUUAAGGAUAUGAUUCGCUCCCAAUUGGUGUCUCAGCUGAUUCAUGUCCUUUCAAUGGUCCCUGACAGUGGUGCCAUUUGAUUCGUGUCCAGCUGGUGUCCCUUGAUUGUGGUCCUCAGAAGGGAGUAAUCAAUAAAAUUUAUAACCUAUUACACCAUGUAUUAGGAUAGCCUUAGCUAGCAUAGCAUAGUGGCUCUAGGGUCGUUUAUUGGGAUGAGUUUUCACUUCACAAUUGAUAUUAAUUCAAGAGCUGAAUUGGUGCCUUUUCAUUUCAAGGUUAGCUUUAAAAGAAAACAUAAUCUUUGGUGGAAAAAGGUUUGGUUUUAAACUAACCAAAAAUAGUAACUGAUUUUACUUACAAAGAAAAGUGUUCUUUGGAGUUUAGAUCACUAGGCUCAGGUUCCUCAUACAAAAAGGAGAGUUCCGAUCAUUUGUUUCUUUUCCUCGCAUUAGAGAAUUAACAUAUAGUUAAUUCUCUAACCGGUGCGGUACAUAUGCUUCCCAUUAAUGGGUUCAAACACUAAAUACCUCUCACUGAUGCACCUUGCAAUGGCUCGUGCCUCUCACCUAGCAUUUAUCAUUCAAGGUGAUCUUUAACCUUGGAUUACCCAUCAAAAGCUCGCAAGAGAUAACUAAAGGAUGUCUCCUUAGAGUCCAAAAGCUUACCAAGUGUUGGUUAUUCUAGAAAAUCCUACCUUCAAACCACCUCCCAAAGGCUCGCAAGAGAUAAACAAGUGCAUCUCAAUGGAUGAAGAUCACUUGCCUUACCAAGUUUUGGCCCAGAUGAUUUAAUGACAUUUUAAGUUAACUAAAAAGAUAAAAACCAUUAACGGGUCACACUUUCUCUUCAUUAAAAACUAAAACAACAAAACUUCCAAUUUAUGCAUGAGGAAACUUACCUGGCUUUCUUCACUUCAAGAGAUGAAGAGCCUAGCCACUCAUCAUUUGAGGAAAAAUCCUCAGAGUUUGAUUUGCUAGAAAUAAAAAUAAUGAGAAAACAAAAAUAUAUAUAUGAAAAACAGAGCAAGUUCUCUGUAAUAUAUUUUUCUUCCUUAUACAAAAGGUUGUCUCUAAGAACAAGUUCCCGAGAUCUAUCUGAUUGUAAAUAAAAUUACAACUAUAUAUAAGAGGUUAUUCACCCCUUUGUUCUUUCUUAAAGACUAAGGAAUCCUAUGAUAGGUGGGUUACAAGGAGAGUUUGGGGAUUUAGACAUCAAAUAUCUAAAGCAAAAUAUCUCAAGAUGUUAGUCGGAAAUAUCAGGAAGCUUCAGGAGAACACCGCGACACUGUAUACUGAGAGAAAAACUCUCCGGGUAAGCUCUAUCAAAGGAUCCAGACAUGUCUGACUGGGAAAGUUGAAACGUCCUUCUCUCCCAUCCGGAUGUGAGAUAUCCGGAGAAAGUGAAAUGUCGGUCGGACAGAAUUCUUUCCCCGGGUGGAAUGAGUUGUGUUGCGCGUCGCAAGGGGGACCGUCUGCGUGUACAAGUUGUAGGGACCCCUCUCCCGGAUGACACCGAGCGCGUAAGGCUAUCCGGAUCAACUCCAUUCGGAUUCCCCAAGAGGACAUGUGGCGUGCUCCCCUAUCAGGACUCCCUUAGGGAGAAGCACACGACACUCGUGAACAUCAUACCCGGACGAUAGCAUGUCCUAUCCGGAUGUGUUGUCCGGAUCAUUGACUAAAGUGAGCAAGCCUUGCUACGUCAUUCGGACAGCUUGCCACAUACCAUGUUCCGUCGCCAUCUGAUGGUGUGUCCGAACGCCUUGUCCGGACAUCUUUUGCUCCUUGCAUUCCGGAUUUGCUUAUGACAAAGGACUUCAAAGCUUCGGUUCUUCAUGUUUCUGAGCUUUCCAUUGCUUUGCCAUGGAUUCCAAAGAACUCUCCUUAAUCACGGAUUGCUUUGGUGAUCAAAAAGUUAUCAAAACACAAAAACUUAACAUAGUUUGAUUAGAAUUGAUUGCAAGGGUUCUUAAUAUGUUAAUUGGGUUAAAAGGUGAUAACUACUACUCAAAAGUGUUUAUAAGAAUUAAUUACAAGCUAUGAAAUAACACUUUUUGAGUAGUAAUCAGGAUACAUCCUAGUUUUUCAUGGAAUUGAUAGUGGGUUGUUGUGCAUGAAUGCCACCAUUUCAACUAUGCUGUUGUUAUUUUUAAAAAAAAUAUGGAUUAUGCGCGAGUGGCAAUUCUCCACUAUGGAAAGUGGAUUGCUCCUUCAACCCAUGCAUGGCUACGUAUUCCUAUGUCUUUCUACUUGUGUUUGAUCCUCCAAAAAAAAUUUCGGUUUAGUGCUAGUAGAUUUUAAGUGGUGGAUCCCCAUUUUUUGAAAAUGAAGUGGCAGCCUCCCAUUUCAAGACAAAAUGGUAGCCUGCCUUUAAUCUUUGGAGAAAAAUCUGUGCAUGACCUUUUUUUUUCCCAAAAAAUCCGUGCAUGGUGUCCUUUAAUAUUUGGAGAAAAAUCUAUGUUGGAUCUUUUCUUUUCUAGAAACAUUUGUGUGGUCUUUUUUGUUAGCCCAAGGGUUCUUCUAAUCAAGUUUUGAUGAUAACAAACCAUGGUUAAGUGACUAAUUGGUUUAAUGAUUAAGAAUCUCAAACAUAAAAUCGAAAAUUCAUCAAAGGACCAAAUGGAUACAAGAUCGAGACGCUUGGAAGACUUGUAAUCAUAGGAAACUAAUGUAAGAUGAAUGCAUGAGUGCACUUAGGAUUUUCACACGUUUCAUGCAACUUAGAAAACCCAGUUUAUUCUUUAAAACUUCAUCCCAGUUUAUUCUUUUUAUGGUUGUGUGUGCUUUCCUUGAUACGUGGCUUAUUUAUUAAGGAUACAUCCCAGUUUUUCAUGGAAUUGACAGUGGGUUGUUGUGUGUGAAUGCCACCAUUUCAACUGUGCUGUUGUUAUUUAAAAAAAAAAAAAAUGGAUUGUGCGCGAGUGGCAAUUCUCCACUAUGGAAAGUGGAUUGCUCCUUCAACCCAUGCAUGGCUACGUAUUCCUAUGUCUUUCUGCUUGUGUGUGAUCCUCCAAAAAAAAUUUUGGUUUAGUGCUAGUAGAUUUUAAGUGGUGGAUCCCCUUUUUUUGAAAACUAAGUGGCAGCCUCCCAUUUCAAAACGAAGUGGUAGCCUGCCUUUAGUCUUUGGAGAAAAAUCUGUGCAUGACUUUUUUUUUCCCAAAAAAUCCAUGCAUGGUGUCCUUUAAUAUUUGGAGAAAAAUCUAUGUGGGAUCUUUUAUUUUCUAGAAAAAUUUGUGUGGUCUUUUUUGUUAGCCCAAGGGUUCUCCUAAUCAGGUUUUGAUGAUAACAAAUCAUGGUUAAGUGACUAAUUGGUUUAAUGAUUAAGAAUCUCAAACAUAAACUCGAAAAUUCAUCAAAUGACCAAAUGGAUACAAGAUCGAGACGCUUGGAAGACUUGUGAUCAUAGGAAACUAAUGUAAGAUGAAUGCAUGAGUGCACUUAGGAUUUUCACACGUUUCAUGCAAUUUAGAAAACCCAGUUUAUUCUUUAAAACUUCAAUUUCAUUAAAACCCGAGUUUUUAACUAAUGUACCUUAGGCAAAAUGUUUUAUAAUUGGCUUAAUAAUUCACCUAAAUACAUUUUCUAAGUGUUAGAAAAGAAAGGAAUUAAAAAAAGGUUUUCGGGGCAAAAAAGGCUCAACCGGUCGAGGCUAUGGUCAACCGGCUCAACCGGUUGAGGAACCAAUCGAUCGGUUGUGCUUGUCCGAUCGAAGACCAAUCGAGGGAUGCCAAAAAAUUUCUCUCUCUCCUAGUGGCCUUCUCUUCCCGGUCGAGGUUCGGUCUAGGCAACGGUAACAUGUCAAGCAUUAAAUGCUCCGACGACUAGUGAAUCGGUCGACCCCUAGCCCGAUCGGACGAGGUUGCCUUUUGCUGUUUUUGACUCCCGAGCUUAGAAACCUAUAAAUUGAGAGCUCCACUUCAUUUAUUGAUAAAAGAGAACACUUGCAUUCAAUAGUCUACCUACCUUUUCUUGAUCAAAAAGCUCUCAUUUCCUUCAUAGUGCAUUAAAUCAUCACUUGCAUAUCCUUUAGUGCACUAUUGUGUGUCAUCCUAGCUUUGUUUUGUAUUUGAGCUAUCCUUAAGCUAGGUUGAGGGAUUAUUUCUUAUAAAAAUCUGAGUGUUAAAGCCUUCAAGAGAUUUGAAUCUUGAAGAGAUUGUGUAAGAGCCCAUUGGAGCCGGAGUCCAAGUGUAAGAAGAUUGGAAGCUUGGUUGAAGCUUCAAGUUAGUGGAACCCUCACUCGGUUAGGAGGUUGAGGAGAGUGGACGUAGGUAAGGAAGUGUCGAACCAUUAUAAACCCGAGUUUGAAUUCUCUAACUCUAUCUCUUUAUUUUGCUUAUAUUGUGUUUGAAUUUGUUGUGAUUGAAAAGAUUUUAAAAACCUAAUUCACCCUCCCCCCUUUUGGGUUUUUUUUUCUUAAUUAAGCAUAACCUUUGUUUUCUAAUUUUCUUUUUAGGAAAAUCCAUGCGUGGUAUGUCCAAACUCUCCAAGUGGCAGUCUGCCUUCUUCUAAAAAAUUUGUUUCUAUUUCUUUAUUCGACUACCUUCCAUGUCUUCCUAAUGAGUGCUUGUGCUCAAUGGUCAAUCCCUGGUGGUUGCCUCCUUUUCCCAUAUAUACGUGUUGCAAAAUCAACAUCCCACUAUAUGUGGGUUGCCUCUAUGGCAAGUUCACAUUUCCCACAUGAAACCUAUGAGUUUCCACCAAAAAUUGCCAUGAAAAAGUCUUUAUAUGCAUCUCAUGCAAUAAAAAGUCAAGCCAAUACUCAUCUUAUCUCGAAAAAUAAGUAACCAAAAUCAAGAUCAUGCCUAAGUGAACUAUGCCAAAAGAAGUGUCCAAGUGACCUAUUAUGAAAAAAGUGCCUAAGUGACCUAAGGUGAAUGUGUGUAAGCUGGAAGGUGUCUAGGAUGUUUAGGACAAUGCCUAAGCCUAAAAUAGGGUUGCCAAGGGUCACAAUGGGGUUAGAUAAAUCUCUCAAUCAGAGUCUCCAAGGUGGCUCAUAAAAGAUAAGCUACACGAGUAAUGAUGGGCCACCAGGGAAUUAUUGUAAAGCACCAAACGAACACAUAAUAGGACAUGUGUUAGAAUGAAAAAAUGGAGGGUUUACAAGUGGUCUCAUGGAUGAGCUUGAUAAUUUAAAUGACUCACAUAAUGAACGUAUGUGAUGUUUCUCUCCAAUAACAAGCAAAACAUCACUAGCAAUAUGAUGAAUGUCUCCUAAAUCACUUGAAGUAGUCCUAGCAAAUCAAUUAGAAAAAUCACACAUAUUGCUCUAAUGUAAUAUUAUAUACAUCUGUCAAUGAAUGGGAGAACUAAUGACACAACCAUCAUGUUGAUAUCUCGAACCCUCUAAUCUCAUAUGUAGGUGGGAUCACACUUAGAAACUCAUAACACAGUAAUGACCAAUCUAAGUCAAAAUGUGUUGGUGAUCGGAGGCCCAUGAAUAUGAAGUUCUAGGAUGAUAAUGACAUCUUAUAAAGUAAUGAUCAUCUCCUUAAUAGAUAGGUGAAAUGUGUGUGUCUUAGGACACCAUCUCUCAACAAGACUUGUGAUCAAUCCCCAGUCUAGUGUAACAUGCCUAUUAUGACAUCCAUCGUAAAAUCUAGACUAGAUAAUAUAAGGACAAAUGUGAGGGUUCAUCUCCCUUUCCCACAUAAAUUUAAAAAAUUAUUAUUGACAAGUUAAGACCAAACUAAGUUGCAAAAUAUAAAUAAGUCCAUUAGAUAACAAAUUUAUGUUUUCUCAUUUUCUCAUUUUUAAAGAGAUAUUAUGUGCUUCCAUGUACAUACAUGCUAAAGUCAAUUAUACGAGACUUAUAUCCAUCUUGUAGAACCAAAUCGAACCUAUCUAAUAGAUCCAGAUUAGAAGUAUGUCCUCUAUACUCCAUAUUUAUAACACAUUUAUAAAGAUAAAUGCUAAAAAAAUGUUAAAGAUAUAAAUUUAAUGAACCAUACUUUAUGAUUUUAAUUCUCAAUUAUUGUUCAUAUUUAUAAGAGAAAAGUUAAAAAAAUUGAUAGAGUUUUCCCUCUAUCAUGGACAUUAUCCCAAAUAAAAAUAAAUUGAUUAUGCAAAUUACAUUAAUAUUUGUAACCAAAUGAUCAAUAACUAUCUUGUAUCAAUUUAGUAAAUAAAUUUAAGUAUAUCUUUUCAUUUAUGACUAACAAAUAACUCAUACUUGUCCAAUAAAAGCCACACCUAAUUUCUAAAAUUUUGUCUUCACCUCAAGUGAGUGUUACAUUGAGAAAGAAAAAAUAUGAAAGAAAAAAUGAACACCUUUUUCUUUUAAUAAAAAAAGGCCAUAACGAAACAUUAAAUCUCACUGUUACACCUAUCUUCAAUGGAAACAUGAGGAUGUGAAUGGUGGCGGUGAUAUUCUUUGCUUGAAGCUCAUAAACAAAUAUUCCUUACUAAGCCUAUGCCAUUUAGUAUUUCAAUAGUGGACCCCCCCCCCCCCCCCCCCCCCCUCCUUGCAUUUCAGAUUUAGCAAACUUAGAACCAAAUAACAAAGUGCAUUUGAACCCAUAAAGAAGUAAUGAGACUCUCCUAUAUUGGCAAUAGAAGAAAUUUUUGGAGGUAUAGGAGAUUCACGGAUGAAGAAGUUGGGCCCCAAUUGAGAUAAGACCCAAGAAAAGAUGGGGUAGAGAGGGAUGGUUGGAAAUUGUAAAGUAAGAUUUUCAAAAUGUAGUUGAUGACUAAGAUUUUGACAAUUUAAAAAAGGUUUAAAAAUGUAGUUAGCAAUCGGGGUUUUGUAACAUUUAAAAAAUAAAAUAAAAUCUCAGGCCACAUGGUAGCCCAUGUGAUUCAGAAGCUUGAGAAUUAUUUUAUAAGAAGACUUAAUUUGUGAUUUUUUUAUAACUAUAUUAUUUUUUUUCUUAACACACGAAAAAAAUUAUGAAAUAAGACAAUUUUCCUAAGAAAGCAUGUAAGUGACUCUUGGUUAUUUUAUUUAACUUCUUCUAGUUUGGAGAGGAUUAAUACCUUUGCUUUUACUCACUUGCUUGGAUAUGUACACGUUGUUCAUGUCACUUUUCAUUUAAUUUUCUGAUUAAGGGAAUUGGAACCGUACGUAACUGUCUUUAUUCCCUCUGAAACUUGGACUUGGAGUUGGACUUUCAAUCUCAUCAGUCGUGUUUCCAUAAAAAAGAAGAUGGAUUAACCAAUUUUCCUAUGCCUACUAAUCAUACACAAAACUCCACUUCCAAAUAAAAAGGAAUGGGAUAUCACUUGUUAAUAGUGGCUAAAGACUAUUAAUAACCAUGCAAAGAAAUGUCACAUUUUUUGUUCUACGCAAAUUUUAUUCAUCAACUACUAGAACCAUUUCAUACAAUAGUAGCUUUUCGAUCCUUUGAUAAAUGGACACUUGAUGUGAUAACACCAACUACACCUAUAUAUUCAAGCAAUCAUGCGUAUAUAAUAGUGGAUAUGGAUUACUUCUCUAAAUGGGCAAAAGUUUUGUCAUUCAAGGAAAGUGAACGAGGAAACACAAGUUUACUUUCAUCGGAACUAAUAUUAUAUAUUGAUAUGACUUCCCAUUAUUACUUACGAUGGAAUAUGCUUCCAUAAAAUGGCCUAGAUGAACAAACUAUCCAAGAAGUUUGGGAUCAAAUAAUAUAUAUAUAGUUCAUGUGUGAUUCUUUGGUUGACAACCUUGUUAAGGGGUGAGUGAAGCACUUUGGGCAUACCACAUACUACAUGCUAGACUUCCACCCAAGCUACCCUAUAUUCCUUAUGAACAAAGUAGAAGUUGUCAUCUCUCUUGAAUACCAAAUCCUUUCACCUAAUAAUGCUAUCUAAAAAGGUCUUAAAAAGGAUAAAAAUGCGCAUAUUUGAAUUUUUGAAUUAGGAGUGCUACUUAAAAAGAAGCUAGAUAUACAAUAAUAGAAUGUUAUCAAGCAUAUCUCUUCAAAGUUUUUGACCAAAAAAUAUAUGAUUUCUCAUUUUAGGUAGGAGACUUAGUACUCACUAUUCAAAAACCAAUUAUCAUUACUCAUAAAAACUAAUAGAAAGUUUGGGCCAAAGUAGGAUGGACCUUAUAUUAUGCAACAAUUAUGCCUAUAAAAUUGUUGCAAAAGAGGUUUUAGAAUCAAAUCAAUGAAUGAAAAAUUAUUAAAGCAUUACUAUGCUUGAAGGCUAGUCAUUUUCCCUUAAAGUGCAAUAUUAAGUUGCAUAGUACUAUGUGGAUCCGCAUUUUUCACAUGCGUUCCCACUCAUUGUCGAGACUCACUUUUUAGAAGUGAAAAAUUAGUUUUAUUAAAGUCGAAGUUGCCACUGGGGAUUUGAACCCUAACAAAAGGUUCAAUUUAAGGAUAAAAAUAUCGAUAAUCACAUAUAUAUAUAUUGGUACUUUGAUUUUAUGAAUAUAUUGAAGAAAUAUGGACAAAUAUUUUGACACAAAAUAUGUACAAAAUAAAAAUUAUAUAAAAAGUAAAAAUAAAUAUUUUAAAAUUAUUUUUUUAAAUAUAUAUAUAUAUAAUUUGACAUAUUUGAUAAUAAUAUAUAAGGGUCUCCAAAAAGCCCGUGGCCCGCUUUAGGCCCGGUCCGACCCGACAGGCUAAAGCCCGGCCCAAGCCCGCCGGGCCCAAGCUCGGCCCGAGCCCGUUUAUGGGUGGGCCGGGCCGCGAGCCCGUAGGCCUGCUCCUUUAAAAAAAAACUACAAAAAUAAAAAGUAUUAAAAAAAAUAUUCAUUUCAAAAUUUUAUUCAUUGAAUGUAUAAUUACAUUUGAAAAUGUGGGAAAAGUUUACAUCACUACAAAAUAAAUACAUCCCAACUAGGUUGGCACCUAUUUAUUUGUCAAUCAUCUGUAUUUUUCAACCACAAAAAAUAAAAAUAAAAAUAUAAUAUACAUUUAGUCAUUAUUUUCUGGCGGUGAUGGCGAACUAUCAUGCAUCCAUGAAGAUCUUGAUAAUUUUAAAGAUUCCAUAUCGGUAAGCAUCUUUGUUUCUCGAAUGGAAUCAUACAUCCUUUUAUCUGCUAUUUCCCAAUCUUUCACACAUAUCCCUGCUUUAAUAACAUCUGACGCUAAGUUGCAUCGUUUUUUACUAACUACUCUUCCACCUGCACUAAAAGCAGCUUCUGAUGCAACUGUACUCACAGGAACUGUUAGUACAUCACGAGCAAUUAUAGAAAGCACAGGAUAUUUGUGUUGAUGUGAUUUCCACCAUAUUAAAAUAUUAAAAUCUUCUUGAUCUUCAAAUGAAAUUAUAUCAGUAUUAAGAUAUUUAUCUAAAUCAGAUGUAUUAUUUGGAGAAUUAUUUGUUGUCUUUUUUCGACUUUUCAACAUUUCUAGAGCUCCUUUAUAAAAAGAUGAGGAGUUUGUAGAUGUAGGUGGUAAUUUAAUAGUAUUAAUAUCAUUACCAUAUUUUUCUUUAUAAUAGUUAUAUAAAUUAUAUAAUAAUGAAUUUAUUUCAUUUUUAAUUUCUUCAAUUUUUAUUUGGUCAUUAAAAUAAAUAAUUGUUAACCAUUCAUCCAAAGCUUCAAAUUUCAAUCUAGGGUCCACAAUUAAAGCAAUAUAAAAAAUUAAAGGUAUUUCUCCCCAAUAUUUUCUAAAUUUUUAUAUCAUUACAAAUAUUGUAUCAUUAAAUAUUUCAAAACUUAAAUAUUUUUGAAGUACAAUAAAAAUAUUAGUUAUUUGCGUAAUAACUCGAUUUGAAGUUGGAUAAUAUACACCACAAAAAAUGUUUGUUGAAGUAUCAAAAAUUUCAAAAAGAUCUCUUAAAACAUCCGCAAUAUGCCAAUCAUAAUCAUUUAAUGCAUAAAUAUCUGCUUCAUAAUCAUUGUUAAUUAAUUGUAUUUCAUAUAAUUCGACUACUUUUCUAUAUUUUGUAAUAUUUUCUAAAAGUUUAUAUGUGGAAUUCCAUCUAAUAGCCAUAUCCAAAUUUAUAUUUUUUCUUUUCAUAUUUAACAUUUUGCAACAAUCAAAAAAUAAUUCAUGUUUUGCUUGAAAACUAUUAAUACUAUAUGCAAUGCCUCUAAUUUUUUUCCAAUGUACUAUCAACAUUUUUUAAUCCAUCCUUUACAAUUAAAUUUAAAAUAUGUGCACAACAACGCACAUGAAAUAUUUUAGCAUGAUCUUCUUUUACUUGCCAAUAUCGUUUUAGUCUAUGUAUUGCUGCAUCAUUAUUAGCAGCAUUAUCUAAUGUUAUUGUCAAUAUUUUAUCACGAAUGCCUAAAUCUAUAAUUUCAUCAUUUAUUAAAGAUGCUAUAUUUUUACCACUAUGUGGAGUAUUUAUUAAUUUAAAUAAAAUUAUUCUUUUAUUUAAUUUCCAUUCAUUAUCAAUGUAGUGAACAAUUAUAUAUAAAAAACCAGUAUGAGUUAAAGAUGUCCAAAUGUCAGAUGUUAAACGAAUAUUUCCUUCAAAAUUUGCAAAAUUUUUUUUUAAAAUUUCUUUUUGUGUAUAAAUUUUUUUCAUAAUAUCUCUUUUAACUGUAUUUCCAGAUCAACCUUUAAAUUGAGGAUUAAUACCUCGUUGAAUUGUUCUUGCAAAAUCAUGAGUUUCCAUCAUGUUGAAAGGUUGUUCUGCUCUUAUUAUAUAAUCAAUCAUUUCUUCACAACAGUUAGAUUCAUCAUAAGAAAAUGUUUUUAAAUUUCCACUUUCAUUUUUACUUAAUUGCAUAUAAUUUCUAAUAUCUACAUUAUUUUUAGUUUUACAAUUUUCAUGAUGUCUUUUUAAAUGACUUGUAUCUGCAUUUGAGCCACCAGUAAGAAAUUUAUUACAAAUUUUACAUUUUGCUUUUAUUUUUUUUUUAUUAUUUUCUAAAAUUAUUUCUAUUCUAUCAAAAAAAUUCCAUAUAUUUAAAGUAAAUUUUUUGUUUGAUGAUAUUUCAUCACAUGGACUAGACGAAGAAGCACUUGUCAUAUUAUAAUUAUUGAUAAAAUAUUAUGCCAAAAAUAAUAAAGUAAUAAAUAUAAAAAAAAAUGUAACAAAAAAAAUAAAGUAGUAGGGGUGAAGUAUGUUACUCAAUUAGAGAACCUAUGCAGAAAUUCCUAGCAAAUUUGAACUCUUGGAGCCACCAAUGCUUGUUUUGCACCAUCAACAAUAUUGUAUAAUUUGAGGGAAAAAUAAAAGAAUUUAAAAUAUUGUAGAAUGUGAGAGAAAUAGAGAGAAUUUGAUGAAAAAAUGAAAAGGAAGAAAAUGUAUUUAUAGGAAGGUUAAAAAUAAUAAUAAUAAUAAUAAUAAUAAUAAUAAUAAUAAUAAUAAUAAUAAUAAUAAUAAUAAUUGGCCAUGUGACCGUUGGAGGCUUAGCUCCAACGGUCACAUGGGCUGGAGCUAGGCUCCAACAGUCACAUGACCGUUGGAGCCUUUAAUUUUUUUUUUUAAAAUAAUAUACUUUAUUUUUAUAUAUAUAUAACUAACUCAAUUAAUAAACAUAAAAAGAAUAUAGUUCAGUUGGUUAGAACCUUGAAGUUUAAACAUGAGGGGAGGGGUUUGAAUCCCUCCCUCUCCCUUAGGGGCUUUUUUAAAAGCCAUUUUGGCUUAUUUCAAAAAGCCUGUCGGCCCGACCCGCCCUGCAGCCCGCGGGCCUAGCAUUUUAGCAUGGCCUGGUCUGUUGACUAGUCAAAUGGCUCAUAGGCUCGGCCCGAACUGGGCCGCGGGCCUCUUAUUUACGGACCGGCCCGACCCGGCCCGCCCGUUGGAGACCCUUGAUAAUAUCUUCUAUAUUAAGUUACAUUAUAGUUUAUUUUACAAUAUUAUUAUGAUAAUAUGUCUAAUUUUAAAAUAUAUUUAAUAUUAAAAUUAUGAUCUAUUUUAAUUUAAAUGUAUUCAAUGAUAUCAAAUAAAUAAUAAUAUAUGUAUAAUUCUUUUAUUAUUUAUAUUUAUUAUUUUUAAUAAAUAUAUAGAUUAUAUAAAAAAGACCGGAUAUAUCUUUUCAAAUUUUGUAUCGCUCUCCAAGGAUAUUAGAUGUAUGGGAAUUUGUAUUGCUAUCUACGGAUACGUUGAUAUAUGGGUGAUUUAUCAGGAUAAUUAGAAAUUCUAAUUAUGUAAGCAGGUACGGAGUUCUGUGUCGGUGCGAUCUUGUCGACAACAGCUCCAAAUUGUGCAUCUUGCUCAUAGAGAGUAGCGGAAUGCACCAAUCGUAGGCUCAGAGUACCACUGAGUCGUCUGGCAGAGACCCAACUGAAGGUGCCUGUGUUGUUCCUGAUCUGAUCAGGCUUCAAACUACAAGGUGGAAUACUGGUUCCCCUAUAUCAGAAGCUGGAGAUACCCACCCCAUAUGCUCGUCUGGAUGUGCUCCUACCCUUUGAAGCCUUCUUCCGAGUCAAGUCCGAAUUGAUAAGGCUAGUGAGUUCCCAACCAACUGUACUCAGCAUGCUGCCAGGUGGAGACCCUCCAUAUUUGAUGGCUUCCUAAUAUUAAAAUGCUGACCACUGGUCUUCAUGUUCCACAGGCUUAAUUGUGUCCUUUGCUGAAAGAAUGGAUAGUGAUCCAUUUUAACACAUGAUUCACGCCGUCUUUGCCAUUCUUCAUGGUCUAGCCCUUUUAUAUAUAUGCUUCCUGAACUGUUGCUAUUAAUAAAAUGUGGUAUCUAUCCCGUACACCUUCCUGAUGGCCAGCGAAUGCAGAAGCUACAGAAACGGUUCCAUCUUUUGCUUCCGCCACUUUGGCAUCCUCCAUGAUGAGAUCGAAGGUGAAUAAUCAUAUUCUGGGGAUUUAUGUCCUGGAUAUUCUCAGUAAUGCCCAAUUUCCUGGUGCCGGCCUCAUUUCCAUGGGAACUGAUGGAUAACUUAAGGCUUCUACCAUCUGCGUGGUUCGCUUCUAACACAGGAAACUUCACGGCUAAAAGCAAGAUACCAAGAACAUCAAGGCUGUGACAAAAAUUAGUAUUUUUAACUUGUAGGAAUUUGAAAGGCAACCAACCAUCUAGCUCUGUUCUUAAAGCUCCCAUAGGAGGAUCAGAGGCUGGAUUGCUCAAGAUGAACUCAUCCAUUGUUGCACUUAAAAAGAAUUGGCAUGAAUUGUGGCCGCUCUAAUAGGUUCCCUAAACCAUCAUCCAAGUGGGCUUGCGGAAGGUAGCGAGUUUAAAACACCUAGGGCGAUGAACAGUGGACUGUGAUGCUCACAAAAGAGAAAAGGAAGAAUUCAAUAAUUCCUAAGAAUCCAUUUGCCUGUCAUCCAAAUUUUUAUAUUCUCUUCAGUCUGACGCGUUAUGCCAUAUAUUAAAAAUAGCGGCUUCUUCCAAGCCGAGACAGACUGUGCAAAGUUCGCAAGGCCAAUCAUCACCAUAAUCUGAAGUUGGCCUCCUCAAUCGCAGCUUGUAUCCGAAUGCUCACUUCACGGGAUGGAUUGUAAUGAAAACUAAUCUCAGUCCCAGCUAUGGCAGCAUCCUCACUUGACAGCAUUUUCUGCAUAUUCUAGAACAAAGCAAUAAACCCUCAAAGGCUCCUUCGGAUCAGAGUUAGAAGACUGUCCCUCAGGAACGUGAACACUAUGGUGGUUCUGAUAAGCAGUGAUAUUGCAUUAGAGCCUUUUGGAACAAGAGGAUCUUUUCAGGUGGAAACUGUAAACUGCUUCAUGUUGGGCUGCAACCUUUUCUUCAAGCAAUACUUUCUUUCUGUAUCACGACUUAUGUUGCUUCCGGAGCCAUCCCGUGUGGACUGCCCUUCAGUGAAAGAAUAUGUGUGUUGACAUGUUGGAUUGUAAUCUUUGUUCCACUCUAAUGGCUUUUGGUCCUCCUCUUUCUCUUUAUGACAGAGAACCAUUUAGUGAUCCAUCUCUAUAUUGUAGCAUUGCUGGUGCUUUGCAAUACUACACUCUCACCAAGCAUAACAUCUAUUUUUCCGUGACCAAAGUAUGUCGGUUUAUGCAUGCGCAAACUCUUAUUCAUUGGCAAGUUGUCAAGCGUAUCUCAUGAUUUCCCAAAGCCACAAGUUCUUAUGGUCUUUCUGUUCAAGCUUACAAUGAUCUAUCUUUUCUUGGUUAUACUGAUGUCGAUUGGGCUAGUUGCCCUGAUAACAAGCACAAUACUAGUGGGUACAACACUUUUCCUGGUCCUAAUCUCAUUUCAUGGGCAUUUUCAAAGCAGAAGGUUGUGUCUCACUCCAAUAACGAAUCUGAAUAUAGGGGACUCACUAAUUAAUGUUGUUGCCAAGGUCACUUGGAUUGAAUCUGUCUUACGUGAGUUGCGUGUUUCUCUACCCCAACCACCAAUUUUGUUGUGUGACAACAUUAGUGCUACACACUUGGACAAACCAUGUUGAAAUACACUAUCAUUUUAUCCAUGAAAGGCUUAUGCAUCACACACUCAAAAUUCAAUACACCUCUUCUAUAGACCAACUAGUCAAUGCUAUGACCAAAGCUCUUCCUUCAUCUCACUUGUACAAUCUUCAGUGCAAGCUGAUUGUUCUUCCCAAACCACUCAACUUGAGGGGAGAUGUUAAGCCAAUUUAAUAAAUUGAUUUCUUUUGGUUAAUUUGUUAGAAUCAUUUUUAUUAGAGGUUUGUUUGUACAAUUACAUCCAUUUAUCAGGAGAGUACACGUGUACAACUCCUCUUUUAAUCUCACCAUUGUAUAUAUAUGAUACACGACCUUACUCAGAAUUGCAUAACAUUUCCUCUGCUCAUUCCUUUUCUUCUUUGAAUUUUCCCUUACCUCACUGAUUUUGAUUUAUACCUGGUGUUUUCACCUUUGGUCUCUACCUUUCUAGCCAGUUUUCUAAUUAAUCCGUAUAUGGUAUACCUGUCAACUAAUGAGGAGAAAGAGAAAAGGGGAUUGCUGUUCCACCAGCUACAUAUAAUAAUUAAUUACAAUCAUGGUAAUGGAUCCUGAAAUCCAUCCUUUGUGGAUUUUGUACGGAAUAUUGUUGUUAUGUAUGUGGGCUCACUUAGAUGUAUAUUGCUAGCCUGUCUGGGAAAUGUGAUUGCAGGUCCAGAUUAUGAUGUUGAUAUUAGUGGGAUAAGCAAGAGAUGCAGUUAACACGUAUGUGAUGGACUUGAGUAACUUUUCCAUUUCAGUCCAUUUUUUAAGAUUAUGCUUAGUCUUAUUACAAGGAAAGACCAUAAGAAUCAUGAGUCAUUGGCAAGGUAAUAUCAUUCCCUCUUUACAGGCUUCUUCACCUUUUGGUUUUUUUAAUAUCCAUCAAGAUCUUUUAAUUGGAGGACAAUUACAAGUAUAUAUAUAUGUAUUAAAAGGGGAAAAUAUUAAAACAGGAAAUUUUAGGGAAAAUAUAAUAAUUAUUUCUUCCUUCUUUCCCAUAUAGAACUACACAAAAUAAAACUUUAAUAAUUUUUUCUUAUCUUUUUUAUUAUUAUUUUUUCUUAGAAACAUCCGUGGUCUCACAAGCUUGUAAUCCUAGAUUGUUAGGCUCCUUUAACAGUGCCCCAACAUCGUGGUCCAAUGACAAGCUUCCACGCCUUAAAAUCAGAAAAUGCCAUUAAACUUUAUCAGACAUUACAGUUCAAGACAAAGCUUUCAUUUGCUUAAUGUGAUAAUGAAAUUGUUAAUUUCAUUUCGUGGGCAUCUAAAUUUGGACGAGCAAGACCUCUGAAUUCCCUGUUUUUAUCACCAGCAGAGGAGAUAAAAUCUUAAUGGUGAGAAUCUCCACGUGAAAUUUAUGUGUACUGUCAACAUAUUUUUGUUUAUAUAGUCCAGUAGCUGCAGGAAGUCUAGAUUAUAUAGGUAGCAGUAGCACUAUUUAUAGCACUCGAUAUUCGCUGUAUGAAUACAUUAAACCUUGUUUUCAAUACGCAUCACAAGCAAGUACUAGAUACUACAAGGAGUGACAGUCGCAUCAACAUUUCUUGAUAAUAGCAGUGACUGAUUUAUACACAGAACAGUACUGUACACGUACCAGUCACCAGAGAUAGGAUCUUAUUCCUACAUACGACUCUUAUUGAUCGAAGUCACUCAGUUGGGGUAGCCUGGAGUUGGAGGUUUGUGUGGUGGCUUCUUCUUUGGAGGAGGCUUUAUCUUUGGAGGCAUCAUCUUUGGAGGCAUCUUGUGUGAGUCUUCUUCAGCAUUCUCUACAGGAGGAUGGCCAGGCUUAUGACCCUUAGGUGGUUUGCCAACUGGGAUUGGUGGCUUGUGUCCUGAGAGUGGCUCCUCUUCUUCGGGAGGUUUGCCAACUGACGUUGGUGGCCCGUGUCCUGGGGGUGGCUUGUGUUUUGGGGGUGGUUUCACUCCACCGGGAGGUUUACCAAUUGGUGUUGGUGGUUUGUGCUCAAUCGGUGGCCUCUCAACUGGGGGGCGCUUGGGGUAAUCAGCGAGUGAAGAAGUGGUGAGAACCACCACUCCAAGCAACAACACUAGCAAGUAUGUGGAAGACAUCUUUGAGUUUGGCUCAGAUG
rnacentral:lncRNA from 1 species